rnacentral:lncRNA from 1 species
UACCAGAUAUCAACUUUGGCAACAAAGCUUGGUGUCAGAAACAUUGCCUUCCUUGGGUCUGGUUUGUUGGUAGCAAAUUACAUUGCUGCUAUUGUUGUAGCUUUUCUCAUGCCUCAGGUAAUCUUACUGCUACUUUUGACCUCCCAUUUAGCUUCUUUUCCCCUUCCGGCUAGAGAGACACAAACACAAGAAUUGCUGUACUAAUAUGCAUUUUACUGGCAUCAUUUACAGUACCUUGUUUUUGUAUAUCACUAAUUCAAUUCCAGUAGAUGCUUAGAUGAUAGAAAUACAAAUAAGACAAUUAUACUACUACUUUACUUGAGGCUUUUUUUUCCUCGAACUACGCAGGAGAGCUGCGUCAUUGCAUUAAGGUAGAAGAAAAUACACGGGUUUGGGUAGUCCCUACCCAGGUACAAGAACACCUACACACCCCACACCACAGCAGCAACUAUAUUAAGGCUGCACCAGAUCUAGGAUGAGGCGACCAUAAACCUACAGAGCCUAAACUCCCAGGGGUGGCGACCUGGACACUAGCUCUUGAAGCUUGGAAGCCCCAGCCAUGCACCAUAGGCCGCCCUCAUUGCUUAUAGCCCUAAGGACCUCCUGAGUUUUUGGCCUAACCUUUUCGAACACACAAUCAUUUCCGUGUUUCCAAAUCUCCCAGGCGACCAGAAUUAUCAGUGAAUUAAGGCCCUUACGCAUAUCCUUAGGUACAGCCAAAAAUGUUUUCCUCCACCAUCCAAAGAAGCGGGUCUCGGGAGAUUCAGGGGCUAGAUGUAUCAGACCCAGGUGUUGGAAAAUCAGAACCCAAACCUGGCGGGAGAAAACACAGCCGACCAGUAAGUGAUGGAUCGUCUCCGGAGCUUGGUCACAGAAUGGGCAGGCCUCCGGAUGAGGCAGACCUCGUUUAGCCAGGCUAUCAGCAGUCAACACCUGUUGUGAAACACUAACCAAAUGAAGAACUUGCAACGCAGAGGAGCCCAGCUUUUCCAAAUCCUCCUCGAAGGCCCAAUCCUGACAGAUCCCUCGAAGAAAGCUGCAUAUGCAGAUUUACUGCUAUAUGACCCAGAUUGACUCAAUUUCCAUUUAUAUUGAUCUGGAGUAUCUUGUUGCAAGACAACGUUCUCCACAAUAUCCCAAAUCUGAAGGUACUCGUACAAAACCUGAACUGUAAGAGCUCCCUUGAUGUCACCCACCCAGCGGCGGUUUUGGAGCGCUUGAGCAACAGUCCUUCUUUUGGUCAAUCUUUUAGGAACCAUGCUGAACAGAUUGGGAGCAAUUUCAACCAAUGUAUGACCAUCCAACCAGUGAUCUGUCCAGAACAAGAUUUCCUCCCCAUUACCAACUAUUGCAUCCACGGCAACAUUAAAAAGGGCCUGAGUGUUUUGGGAGGCUUGAAUUGAGAGACCAGCCCAUGGCCUGGAAGGGUCAGUCUUUUCUGCCCGGAGCCAGCAGGCCCUUAAUGCGCAGCCAAGUAAUUCCAGAUUAAGAAUUCCAAGUCCUCCAUAUUUUAUAGGCCUUUGCACCUUUUCCCAUGCUACCAGACAAUUACCACCAUUGGCCUGUUCCUGUCCUUUCCACAAGAAGCCCCUUCUUUUUUUGUCUAUAGCCUUGAAAACCCAUUUUGGGAGGUCCAUGGCUAUCAUAUGGUAAAUGGGAGCAGCGGUCAAAACCACUUUCACCAAUACCAGUCGCCCGGCUCUGUUCAACAGGGAAGCUUUCCAUCCUGGAAGAUAAUCAGCCACCUUAUCCACUAAAGGCAGCAGCACCUCUUUGGUUGGUUUGCCAAUUGUGAGUGGAAGUCCAAGGUAGGUACAGGGGAAUGCCUUGAUAGAACAAGAGAGAACACCAGCUGUGAGAGCCAGCUCUUCAUCAGAGCAGUUGAUAGGAGACACUGAGCUUUUUGCUAAAUUGGUUCAAAGUCCCGAGGCAUGUCCAAACAGAUCAAGAAGGUGUCUGACUGUGUUUAGAUCCAAACUGUCAGGUCUCAAGAAAAUAACAGCGUCAUCAGCAUAGAAUGAAACCCGAUGCCGGGCUUGCUGAAAAGCAAGAGGUUGAAGCAAAGCCUCCCUAGAUGCAUACUCAAUCAUUGAAUUCAAGACAUCCAUUACCAACAGGAACAACAUGGGGGAGAGAGGAUCCCCUUGUCUAAGGCCCCGGUGGUGGAAUAUGUAUUCCCCUGGUCCUCCAUUCACUAGAAUCUGAGUGGAUGAUGUGGAUAGGAUCAGGCAAAUGAGAUUACACCAUCGCUGUCCAAAACCCACAUGGCGAAGGAUUUCCAAUAGAAACGACCAGGAGACAGAAUCGAAAGCCUUAGAGAUGUCCAACUUGAGCAGGAUAUGAGCUUCCUUUUUCUUAUGCAAACACUUCACCAUCUGUUGUACUAGCAUAAAGUUAUCAUGGAUAUUCCUCCCUCUGAUGAAAGCACUUUGAUUUGUAGAAAUCAGUGAGGGGAGAAAUGGAGCCAAACGAUUUGCCAAGAUCUUGGUGACCAACUUAGCAAAGCUAUGAAUUAGGCUAAUAGGCUGAAAAUCCUUCACCUCUAGUGCAUCCAUCUUCUUAGGCAGCAGUGUAAUGAAGGCCGAGUUGAGCAGUCUGAACUUGAAGACAUGGCCUCGUGAAUAGCAUCCAAGGCCAUCAACAAGUCUCCUUCGAUGAUACUCCAGCAUGUUUUGUAGAAGCGCCCAGUAAACCCAUCAGGCCCAGGGGCCUUGUCCAAAGGCAAAUCCUUUAUGGUAGCCCAUACUUCUUCAGAGAAUGGCGCAUCCAGACUUGACAGAUCAUGAUGCUGGAUGCCAAUUUCAUCCAGAUUAAUUGUAUAUUCCCUCUCAUCUGCACUGCCAAGAAUACUUUCAUAAAAUUCCAACACUGCUUCCUGUUUAUCCUUCUGUGAUACGACCACCUGUUCCCCAACAUGCAGCUUUGGGAUGUAAUUCUUCUUUUUUCUGAAUCUAGCCUGCUGAUGGAAGAAGGCAGUACUAGCAUCCCCCUCCUGGAGGUACAGAAUUCUGGAACGUAGCCUGGCAAUGGUCCGUUCCAGAGAGGCCAAACCAAGACAGUGAAGCUUGAGUUUCUUGCACAGCCAUUCCUCUCCAUCAGAUAGGUCCCUAGACUCCCUCUCAAUUUCCAAAUGGUGGAGGACCUCCUUAGCCAUCCCAAGUUGGACUUUGAUAUUCCCAAUCUUCCGCUGUCCCCACUUUUGGAGACCCUUACUGAGGCGCUGCAGCUUCAGAAAAAGACGCUCAAUGGCGCAAUUUGAAGGUACAGGAGCCUCCCAAUUUUGCUUGACAGCAUCCAAGAAACCCGGGACUUUGGUCCAGAAACUUUCAAAGUGGAAACGACGCUUUCCAUUAGUGCUUAUCUUCAAUCCAAGAAUUAGAGGGGCAGUGGUCAGAAACUCCGGCCGUUGAACUCUGUAGGACUGAAUCUGGGAAGAUACUCUCCCAGCCCAAACAACAGAAAGCACGGUCUAAUCUAACCAGAGUAGGAGACCUUCUCUCAUUCGACCAAGUGUAUUUACGACCCAUAAGCGGUAUCUCUUUUACCUCAGCCGCAUCCAAGAAGCGUCUGAAUCUCCCCAUCAUAGCCCUAUCCAGGUUUGCAUUGUUCUUGUCAGCAGCCUGGUAAAUCAGGUUGAAGUCCCCGCCACAAGCCAAGGCCCAUUGCAUAGUGCUCGAAUAUUUCUAAGUUCCUGCAAGAAUAACACCUUCUCAUCAUCACCUUGUGGCCCAUAUAUGCCAGUGAACCACCAAUUGCGACCUUCCUGUUCCGAGAAUAACACAGAAGCCGAGUAGGUGUCCACCCUGGAAGCCAUUGCGUGACAAACAUUACUCUUCCAUGCAAUCGGAACCCCUCCUCUGGUGCCAUUGGUUGGGAGUGCUAUGAAUUUGUCAUAAGCAGUGCCAAACACCGAGAAGAACAGAUGUUGAGACAUGUUGGCGACCUUAGUUUCUUGCAAACAAACAAUAUCAGCAUUGCUGGAAAAAAUGACCUCUCACAGAAUUCCGACGAUCCUUCUGAUUCAGGCCUCGUGCAUUCCAUAUCAGUAUAGCAGCAGGAUUCAUUUCAACAAAUUAACUAUCGACCUGAGAUAGGACCAGAGUCUCACAAGACUGUAAGAACAUCAGCAGAUCGCACCUGCUCUCCAUCCCCAACUGUCCAGCCAAAGAUGGCAGCAAUAACCGAUACAUGGGAUUCAGAUAGCAAAGGAUUGUAGAGCUUACAGUAUCUGUCCUGCGCUUCCGGCUCGAUGACUUCCCUUUCGCUAAAGCCUAGUUGCCUCAUCACCCUCUUCUGAGCAUCUGUUACCAUAGGCCCUGGUGAACAAGGCCCUGCACCAGCGACCCGACAGCUGCGCCGAGGCAACUUCCUCCGGCGCUUCUGAAUCAUUGGCAGAGGGAGAAGUGAUUCAACAGGCUUGCACACCUUGUUGAGCUUCUGGAUUGGUGAAGGCGGCCUGAUUCCCUGAGAAUUGGCAUCCGUUGUAUGUGUAUCCACUGAUUUGACUCUGCGCCGCUGCCAAGAGUACACCCUUAGGGGGGCAGAUGAGACCUCACUGACCUGAAACUGCGCUGUGGCCGGGGCAUCGUCUGGUGUCAGAGAAGGAGCAGAGGGUGCCGCUGGACACUCCAAUUCCUCACCCUGGGAGCCACCGACGGUGAGCCCUACCGCUGACGGGAAGAGCACUGGGAGUGAGGUGUGCGCCGCUGGGCUGGCCGACCCGUCCUCCAGGGAGUUACCACCGACGAGUUGAGGUGUGGGCGCCACCGCACUCGCAGGCUCCUCAACCUGGGCCCCGCUGCCAACGGGAGCAGCAGUGGGCGCCGGCGAGUUCGCCUGCUUGUGCGCCUCGGAGUCAUUGUCGGCGGGACAGGGCGCGGCCAAUGCUCCCCCAACGGCCUCUCGAUCCUUGGUCUCCUCGGGUGGCGGACCCUCAAGCUUGUCGUUUGGAGUCACCAUGCCGCACGAGGAACGAACAAGCCCCAGCCUUGAAUGUGCUGGGGGGCAUGUCACCUAGGGAACUCCGGACGUCGCUUGCCCCGGGUGCUCCACCGGCGAGCCUCGCCGCUGCCGCCAGUGCCUACAACGGCGACCAUGUUGGUGGUCAGCCGAAGGCGGGAGUGGGGGGAGGGGGCAUCAGCCAAUGGUAUCUAACCAGAAGCCAAGCAUGCAACCUCCACUGGAUAGAGGAGAGUCCGCUUCCCCUCCUGAUGAUCAGCUCCAGCUAUUGGAGGUUCCAAGAUUUCCAACUCCGUGCCCGAAGAACAUUCCGCCGAUCCGCCGUAUCUGGGUGCAAACCACCAACCCGGCAGAACUCAUUGAGCAGCUGAUUUGCCGUCACUAGGUCCCAGGCGUGAGCGGGGAUGCCGCGAAGUUCAACCUCGACUGGAACAGGAAGUGCCACCACGGUGGAGUGGAGGAAACGGAACUAGCGCAUGAUGUGCAGGCGAUGAACUUGAGAUAUGAUCGGUCUCCCUCCAUUGUAAACCCGUGCAGCCAUCUUAGCAUUGGGCAUAGUCAUCAAGAAGCUAGCAGCGCCAAAACGAUGAAAGACGAUCUCCUCUUCUUCCAACCCAAAACGUUGGACGAGCGAAUUCCUGAACACUGUCACCACCAGGGCACGCGAGAGCUCUUACUCCCGUUGCAUCAUAGAAAUUGUGCGAUCAAUGAUCUGUCGAACUCGUACCGCCGGGACUUGCUCCUCAUCGUUGGUUGCCGAGCGGGGAACAUCUCCGGCAACCUCCUCAUCGGGGGAGGUGUCUGAGACAUUGGAUGACGGUUGCCCAGCCCCAGCCUCCGCACGUCGCCCAUGGCUUUGGCGCCGUCUAGUUGCACCUGAUGCAGCUCCGGUCUCCUGGAGGGUCUCCAUGGAACUCACAAGGAUAGCAGCUGCCGCCGCCAGGGACCUCACCGGCCGCCAGACCUUACUGUGAACCAGGGCUAAUUCCGGGCGCGGAGCCGAGGGUCGCCGCCGGCAGUCGUAAGAAUGGUGGCCGAAUGCCUAGCAGUGGAAGCACCUUGGCGGCGAGCGGCAUCCAACAGCCCAGUGCUCCGUUGAGAAGCAAUUGAAACACCUGCCUCGGAGGUCCGAAGGGACCAUGCGACGAGGCCGGUGAGAGACACGCAGACGCGCGCAGCGAGAACGUCGGCUCUCCACCGUCCACCACCCUUCUGCGUCAGAUCCACGACGAGCGCCUCUAGAUGGAGCCUCCUGCGACUGGGCCCUCACGACGCGAGACGGGAGCGCCUCCAGCGACGCGAUGCGAGGAUAGGGGUUCUCCAGUGACGAGGCUGGCGAGAUCACCUGAGAAACGAAGUCUCCGGUGCGUCGCUGAACUGCCGCCGGAGAAGAACCCUUGAUAAGAGCUUCCUUGAAUGAUAUGAAUGAGACGCCGGAGUCCACCGAAGAAGGCGAACCAUCCAGCCACCGCUGGGCCUUGGAUCAUCCAGUAGCCGCCCCAAGCUUGACUGUCGGACGACGAGCAGGAGGAGAGCUUCCCGAUGCUAGAGAAGGAAGAGCUGGCCUGGGGGAGGGCCUAGCCGGAGGGGUGGCCGCUGUGCCCGGAGUAGGCGACGACGUGGGGCUAGGGGUAGGGGAGGCGUCGGGAAGGAGAGGGGGAGGGGGGGGGGGGAGAACUAGAGCCAUCUUUCCUCAAGCUCAGUUGCCUCACUAUAUCUUGAGGCUUUUUGAUGAUGAUGAUUGCAGGUGUAGUCAUGCACUCGCAUGUAAAGUUUAAACUCUUCUUUUUCCCCCUCUACUUCAUGAAACAUGUUCAGUCAAUAUGGCCUCUAUCCCAUUGUGCCACUUCUCCAUGGUUAUUCUUACACAUUCUUUUAUAUAAUUCCUCAGCUUGGUUUAUUUUUUUCGUCGUUUAUAUUUAUGCUGUAAAAUUCAUUUGUAAGAUUUGUCACAAUUAUUUUGUACAACUUUUUGUUCAAUAUGCUGAAUAGUCUUGAAGAAUAGUUUUAUAUUUCUGAAGCAUAUAAGCAUGCAGAUUCUUUACCUGAAGGAUUGCUCAUUUGCUCAACAUUGUGCAUGGUUUAACAUAGGUUGUUUUACCUCACCCCUUUUGCAUUGAUAUGUUCUAAUUUGCAGGCUUUUAGGCGCGCUGUCAUGGUUCCUGUGCAUGUUGCCCUUGCAGCUGGUUUAAUUUUCCAGGUAAACAUGUCGAGUGUCAUGAACUUACCAGCCGGGAACGUGGAACGUGGCCACGUUCAGUGUUUUAAAGGUGUCGCCUAGGCGUUCAGGCGGACCCAGCUCGCCUUGGGAAACCGGUCCGCCUUGUCGCUUGCCUAGGCGAUAAAGCGUGCAAAGAUUUCCAAGGUCGCCUUAUCGCCUUUAAAACACUAGCCACGUUCCUCGUUCCGGGAACAAUUUAGUGUAAAAACCUUUCAUAAGUAUCGUACCACGUUCCUGUUCCCAUCGUUCCAGGAACAUGGUUGCUAAGGUCAUGAAUGAUUGAUCCUACAGCUUUUAUAUUAUUAACUAUUCGAUGCAAAGCUAUGUGAUAUUAAUGAAUUGGACUAAUCAGUGUUGUUACCUUGCUUCUGUGGCACGUGUGUUUUAGUUCUGACUUGUUUAUUCUUUACCAUGAUUUCAGACGUGGGUUCUGGAGCAAGCGAAGUACACUAAGGUGAAGCUUUCAACUUCCACUUUUCACAGUUAAAAGUGUAUAGAAAAACUAUUCAGAAAAGUAGACUUCAGUAACUGAAAUUGCUAACAAAAGCUUAUUGCAUGUGAGUUUGCAUGUGCUUUGUUCAGACUAGUUGCUGUGCUUUAUUUCUAAUGCAAUUUAAUCUAAAAGGACUAAUAUCUUUAAAGAAGAAACAUGACCUUUCAGUGCCUUAGAUAUGGAAGUACGUCUAACCUAAGUAAAAAGAGCUUUCAAGCUUCCAUGCAGCAUGUUUCCCAUGAAUUAUCUAUGUUAUUGCUUUUGGAUGAGAUGCCACAAUAGAUGUUAUAAUCAUUAGUUUUUACUUGCAUUGUGUAUUUUGUUAACCUUUUUCUUUGUGGAAGAUCACUUGCAAAAGUAAUUGUGAUAUCUGAUGGGGCAAUAACGUACGACAAAAGGAUGAAUUUUCGUUUAGUGACCACAUGCACCUCAUUUCUGAUAUAGAAGUUUUUGCCUUCAUCUGUUUUGCAGGAUGCUAUUUCGCAGUACUACCGGUUCAUUUGGAAUCUCUUCUACGCUGAAUAUAUCCUCUUCCCGUUAAUAUAGAUUUAGAGCCUAGAGGUAACCUUUUCUAUUAGCAUUCGAUCCUACUUUUAAAGUCCCUUUACUUCCAAAAUUUAUUUGCAUAUAAAAUUUGUCAGAUCUGGUACUUCAGCCUGGUCUACAGCCAAAAUGAUGGGAGUAACUGAUAUAAAACGUGAUUGUUGUGCAUAUCUUGUACGGGAACAACAAAGCUGCAGUGUUACAAGGAUCCUGAAGUAGAUGCUGAAGACUUUGUUGGAGCCACGGAAGCAGGCUUUGGUAACAAUUCAACAGAGUCCCGUUCUGUAGGGCCUUGUUUGGGAGGGCUUGAGCAUAGAGGACUGAAGUUGAUGGAAGCUCAGGCUCUGGCCCCAAACAGGUGGUGGUGGAACGGCCAAGCCAAGCUCGUUUCUUGUCACUCGAGGUUAAGCUAGUAUGCGAGACAUAUUGACGGCGUGCCCUCUCACGAAAACUGGCUAGGGACCAUUAGUCCAUUGGUAUCAUACGCUUGGCUUACUGAGUUACUGCGUAUAUAUUUCUUGAGCUUCAGCUGAAACUGUUGUAUAGUAGGAACCACUGUCUUUUCCACCGUUCUGGACGACUGAAACUUCCUCCAUGUGUAUGCCUGUAAGCUGUAACUUGGCUCGCACAAAGCUUUAUGCUACAGAACUUGCUGCAUCAUGGAACCUAGCCUCAGACCAUAUGGUAGCAAAUGUGCGGCAUAGAGCCAAAGAGCACCACGGGCAGAGGUUGCACGAGCACGAAGCUCCAGGGCGGCAGGGCCGCGCAUGAGCGGUGCCGGACUGCCGGCGAACGGGCGAAGGCACAGAGGCACGGUCACUUUUAGGGCACGCAGGGUCUGCCGCUGUCCCCGGACCCAACUACCCGGAGUCGCCCUCACCGGCUCACCGGCCGCACCAACUGGUGAGUUGGUAUUUGGAGGAUGGAGGAUAGAGAGGGCGCCGUGCCCGCCGUGGCCGCCCGCGUCCGGCCAACCGUCACCUCCGGACGCGGAACACACCCUUCAGGCUUCGAUGUCGUCGCCCACCCGCGGCUGUCGGCCGUCGCACGUCGAGCGGCGUGCCCUCGCGGAUGGACUCUGGCGCGCCCCGUCGUGCUCCGCGCCGUGUUUCGCUCACCGUCGGGACCAUCGCUGCCCGUCGAUGGACACGGGAGGCGGCCAGGCCCGUGUGUUCAGGAGGUGGACCGAACGAUUGCCGGCGCGUGCACACAUGACUCCGGUGCUCGCCGGAAGGCGGCGGCGACGCUGGCGAAGAGCGCCGACCGUGGAUGACGCUACAGCGUUGAAGCGCUCCGUUUGCUUCGCCUGAUCGCAUCGGGUGUCUCUUGCUUAAUCGUGGCCGUCAGAAACGGAUCGGAUGGCUGCCACAUGCCCAGGGGGUGUACGGUAAAUGAAAUAUCGUCCACCCCCGGUCCUGGGUCGUUUGCGAAUGGCGGCUAACGCCGCACGCCGCCGCCGGCGAGCGAGGCUAGGGAGAGGAUAUCACCAUCAAUUCGACGCUGAUAGCCCUCGCGUGGCGUACCGAACCUUCCGGCGCCGGCACCGAGCAGCGCAGCCUUUUCUGAGCCGUUACUCGCGAGCAAGCGCCGCCCGGCGGUGCGCCAGGCUCGCGUGUGCCUGCCGGCCGGUGGCCGGCCACCACGGCGUCCCAUCGCACGGCGUGUGCUCCGGGUAGCUCGCCGCACGCGGGAACGCGGCGCGCUAUCGACGGUGAGGGACUCCGCGUCGCACCCGGACGCCGCUGCCGGCGGCACCGAGCACCGCAGCCUCUGUCGGAGCCGUCGAGCGGUGCGCCUGGCUCGCGCGCGCGUCCGCCGGCCGGUGGCCAGCGAUCACGGCGUCCCAUCGCACGGUGUGUGCUCCGGGAGCUCGCAGCACGCGGGAACGCUGCGCGCUUGCCUCAGCGCGGCGUGCGCGGCGGCGUGGUGGAUGGAGAUGUUGAAGGCCGCCGGCGGCGGUGACGUUCCACGAGCGGGCGGGUGGGAGAGUGGCCGCCGGCUGGUGAUGGCACGAGGCGAUGAGAAGAGUCAUCGCGGGACGCGUUCACGCUGCGAGGAGGGAUAACACAAAGCAGAGCGCCAGAGCGCGGCAACACAGGGUUGCCGAGGGUGGUAUGGUGCUUUCUUGCUCUGCUUCAGGUUCAGGGUGGGCAUGAACUAGCAGCAAUUACUCUCUGCGAUUUUCAGAGGCUAUACUGAACUUCAGGCUGACUUCAGAUUAUCUCCGAUUGAUACAAUAUUAGUUCUUUAAAAUGAACUUCAGAUUAACUCGUUAGAUUGAUAGAAUGUUGAAUGCUACUAGAAAUACCUGACCAGAUUCGGACUCUGCAAACAAGCCAUCAACCAUUUGGAGCUCCAUCAGACUUUGUAUGAUCCUUGAAAGUAAUUAAGCACAUAUUACAUAUAAAUAGAACAGUUGCCAGUCCGACAUUGUACUUAAAACCCUGUUCAAAACAUGAACGAUUUCAACAAGAAGAAGAAAUGCUUGAGACUGUCCAUCUGAGCCGAAAUGCUUUUGCACACCAAUGGUUAUUAAACUCAGAAUUACUCUGCAGUCUGGAUUUAACAUUUUAACUUAGCAGCUACCACUGUACUGCCGGUGGUUUUGACCUUAACCCUACGAGUUUCACCAAGUUUCUUUCCAACGAAGGGCAAGUUUUCGUGCCAAAUUAGAAAAAAAAAAGAACAGAGGACAGAGUUGUAUGGUGCCUUUUCUCCUAGCUCUAAGAACAACAGGCCAAACAAAAGGAUCUGAAACGGGCGAGCGCCGCAGCCUCUGUUAGAGCUGUUACUCGCGGGCAGCGCCACUCGCGCUCGGCGGUGUGCCAUGCUCGCGCGCGCCCGCCGGCCGGUGGUCAGCGACCACAGCGUACGUCCCAUCGCACGGUAUGUGCUACGGCGAGCUCGCCGCACGCGGGAACGUGGAGCGCUAGCCUCAGCGCGUCAUGCGCGGCGGCGUGGUGGAUGGAGAAGUUGAUGGCCGGCGGUGGCGUUCCAAGAGCCGGCGGAUGGGAUAGUGGCCGCCGGCUGCUGAUGGAGCAGAGCACGGGCGCUAGUCCGACUGAUGUGCUAUGGGCACCUUCUCAAGCAUGUCCAAGAGACGUUGAUGCAUCCCAGCUCUACCGGGGCAUGGCAGUAUGGAGGCAUAGACGUCGUCACGUCGAAAUGAUGUGUUGGAACGCGAGAGGUAAGUCCAUGAGAAGAGAACACAUCCAAUUUGCCACUCGAAAAAAGGAAGCAAAGAAGACAUUCCAAGACCUCCAGGUGGGCCGAACGAGCACCAUGAAGGACUCGCGAGCUCGCCGGAGGGCAGCGGCGAGGCCGGCGGAGCCGCGCCGCGGAACGACGGCAGAGCGCCGAAGCGGCUCUCCCUUCGACUCACAAAGUGUUCGCAUCGAACGCCUCUUGCUUAAUACUGACCGUGAGAUCUGGAUUGGACGGACGCCAGGUACCCAGGGUGGACGGUAAAUGAAAUACCGUCCUACCCCUGGUCGUUGCGAAUGGCAGCCGGGAGCCGGCGAGCGAGCCCCUGGUGGUGUUAGCCUGUUAGGUUGCUUGGAAGGAGGGUCGGGUGGCGGUGAGAUGGACCAUCGCCGGUCGUGUUUUGUGCUAUGAUGAGGUGCGACGCACGCGGCUACGGUGGGGCAGGCGCCGGAACUUCAGGUUGGGCAGCAUGGCGUCUCCUCUGCUCCAAGGUGAAGUGAGGGAUGGCCAUUGCGACUACAUGUGUAACCCAAAGCGAUGCACGUGGUAUUAGACCUCAAAAAUGAUAUGGUUGAUCGUUUGCUUCUCUACUGGUAGAAUGAAUCUAAAACUCACGUUCUAAUUUCAGACUCAGCUUCACUCGACAGAUUCACCUGAUAUACAAUUAUAAUGGAUACAAAUACAUGCACAAAGUUAGAUAUGCCCAGUCCAAGACCUGAAUAAGGCCUCGCAGCUUGUCAGAUGCACGCGCAGUCCAUAACAGGACUUCAGAAAGUCCCUGGACAACUUGUUCCAUAGCCCCAGUGGCGAACCUAGCCAUCAAACGGAGCCCCGGGCAAACUCCAGGGCACAUCUCUCUUCUCAUCUGUAUAUCAGAACAUGGUUGCAACGAUGAGAGCUCGCUCUUGCGUCCAUUAUAGCGCCGGAGUCUAGCAGGUGCCCAGGGUCCCCGGGCCCUGGGUCCUUCCCCUGCAUAGCCCUGCACUGUCGCGUUGCUGUCGAAUUACCCAUUUUUUGCGUGUCAGAGGCAUGUUGACGGCGUGCCAUGCCACGAAUACAGACUAGGGAGGAAGGCCGCCCCUGCUUCGGCGGUGCCGGCGAACGGACAAAGGCACAGAGGCACGGUAGCACGGACUUGUGGAUCACCGGUCCCGGCUCGCAUGACAACGCAGCGUCGCGUGCGGCCGCCGGCCAGGUGACAAGGAGUCAAGGACGGCCGAGCCGGGCUGUGUUCCCAGCGCGGGAGGUAGGCUCCCGGCUCCGCUGCCGCUGUCCCCGGACCCCGUCCGUACUCCCGGAGUCGCCCUCAUCGGAAGCACCAACACACUACCCGGCCGCAGCUACUGCCAUGGCCAUCCACCUACCUCUACGCCCCCACGUUGCGUCGGCGUCCGGUAGAUCUGCGGGCAGGAUCUACACGAACCCGAGCGCACAUGCCACGGACGACCGAUACACACAGCCACAGCGGAUGAAACCAAGACCAAGGGACAACCGGACAGGGAUGAUUUCGUCGGGUGGAUCCGGGUCAACGUUACGGCCUCGGCAGCAGCGAUUCUCGCACUCGGAGAAUCAUAACUCGGCACAGUCAGUGUGCAGUCUCGAUGCUCCCCCAAAGAACACGAAAAACCCUGCUGCGUGCUGUGGGGGAAGAUUCUUUGCAGAAAUCUGGAACCCCAGGUUACACGUACACAGUUCAUAUCAUUCGAGAAAAGGAGGUGAUAGAAUUCAUAGUUUGAGACGAAAAUUGAAGUGUGUAAACAUUUUUAUUUACAGUUCUGAAAUAUUCCAUCAUUCAGUCCUGGACAGGAAGAUAUGCGCACCAUGCAAAAAGACGCUGCAAGCCUGCAGCCUGCAGAGGAGGGAAUUUUGGAGGACGGGAAAAUGACCCGUCCGCGACCGAAAAGCUGAGCUCUGGAGAAAAGAGAGCUCUGCGUGUGAUUGGCACGGCGAAUGCUCCGCAUCGGUGCCCUUUUCCUUCCUGCGACUUGCUGUCCCGCUACCUUUUCGUUUCAAAAGAGGGGAAAGGUGAAAGUAUAGGUCUUGCUUGGCAGCUCGAAACGUUUCAAAUUCUAGCGUACACUGCCAAACGGGCAGAGGGUGAAAGGUUUCACCGGUGAAUCACUCGAAUCGAUUUUCUUUCUUUCUUUUUUUUUUUUGCCUAGGCACCUGAAACGGCCUCAGGGUGGUUUCGCUGGAUUUUGUUUCUUGACUCCACACUACACUAGCAAUCAUAUUCUUUUGUUAAUCUUUUUAAGUGCAACAAGUUAAAAAUUAAUCCUUUUUAAGUGCAGCAAGUUAAAAAUGGGUUGCACUAGCACCGUUCUUCACUCAAAAAAGUUUCGAUAUUUUUUAAUAAAUGUAUCUAUUUUUCAGAUUUUUUUAUGUAAAAUAGUAUUUUUACCUACCAAUCUGAAUGUAGCCAAACGGUUUCACAAAAUGAUUCUGAUUCAUAAAUAGAGAAACGUUUCUAUAAAGAAUCUGAAUCUAAACGUUCCUAUGAGAAUUUGGAACCUACCAAACGCACCAUAAAAACAUGGGUGAAACAGUUUGAAUUCGCAUCUUCCCACGGCGUGAAAAAUGCAGCAAAGUACUUCACAGCCAACUUGUUCCCUAUUUUUCUACCCAGUGAGCCUGAGCACAAAUCUCUUCAACUUUGGAGUAUUAUGGAACAUGUUACUGAAUGUGUUUGGGGGCAAAAUGAAUUUGCGAUUUUCAGAUAGGAGCAGGGUCUGGCUGAUGGCAGUUCAAAUUCAGAGAGCUCAUGCUUGUCAGCAGUAGUACACUACUGGUAUAAUUCUGUAUGCGAGCAAGCUAGGCAGUACUAGGCACUUCAGAGUUCAGAGUGGAUCUUUGCAUUGCAAAUAAAAAAAAGAAGGAAAAGAAAACCGAUUGGAUCUUUGCAUUAACAUGUCCCAUGUGUCCUACGACACUUGUGUAUGAUCUAAAUCAUAGUUUAAUCGAACCACACUUUUGGAAUUUUCAUUUGCACAUGCUUUUGUGGUACCGGACAGCGCUUGGAAAGGUGAAGCCAGUCUGAUUAUUGAUAACUCAUAGUGAAUCGGUUUGGAAUUGCAUUGUUUGUGUCAACCUGUUAGGCAAGUGCCGUUCAUAAACAAAGGAAAAUGGGAGUGUCUCCUUCACAUUUUCACCGGAUGGAGGUGUAAUGAACUGCUGAUUUCCUACUUAGAAAAGGCGCUGAUUCAAGCGGUGAGAUAUACUAUCCAUGAACAUAGUGAAUUCUGCAAUUUUGGAUCUUCUGCGGGGCACGAUUGGGUAACACAUGUGGGGCUAGACUACUACUUGAGUACUAUUCCCUCCGUCCCAAUUUAUAGGUUAUUUUGGCUUUUCUACCGUCCCAAUUUAUAUGUUAUUUUGGUUUUUCUAGGUGUAUAAUUUUAGCUAUGCACCUACAUAUAUGCUUAUGUCUAGAUGCAUAGUAAAUACUAUGAAUCUAGAAAAGCCAAAACGACCGAUAAAUUGAAAUGGAGGGAGUAGUGUCAAGUUCCUUAUGUAAGUAUUUUAGUAGAAAUUUUGAUGAAGGUAUGCAUAAAAAGGCACAUGAUUAUAUUUCUUUAUCAUAUUUAUAUCAAAUGAAUUAAUGAUGAAAAUAUCUUGUGUUUCAAACAUGGCGCAACAUCCCUUUCCAUGAUGCAAAAAUGUGCAAAGAAUUUUUGGUACAUUGUUUGUAUUAUUAUACAAUCAACACUGAAUAACAACUGGAUUGCAAGGACAACACAAUGAUUGUACAAAAUUCACAUUUAGAACAGCCUACUCCAAAUUUCAUGAAGCUUGUGGGUGCAUGUACUUUUCUAUAUCUGUUCCUUUAUCCCUUCCAUAGAUUAGACUGGAACGGUUUUAUUACUUCUUUUAUUACUUCGAUUCUUGGUUACGAUGAGGAUUUUCAUUAUAUAUCAGUUAAUUCAAUUUAUUUUAGAUUUGCACUAAUUUUCUAAUUCUUCCGUUCCAAAUUGUUGUUUUGGCUUUUCCAGAUUCAUAGAUAUUAUUAGGCAUCUAGAAAUGCACUAUAUCUAAGUGUAUAAUAAAAAUUAUGCAUAAAAAAGCUAAAAUGAUCUACGAUUUGGAAUGGAGGGAGUAUAUAGAUAAUGUUGUUUUCUUUUUCUAGUUUCUGACACUAUCCGCUUGCUCCUAUAUUUUCUUUCUAGUUUUAGUCAAUAUCAAAAUCUGUGUGCAUUAGUUGUAUACGCAUACCAACUCCUAUGCCAUCGUGUGGUACAGAACUAUGUCAGUGACAAAAUAAAAAAGAAUAAACAAUCAAUAAAUUAGUAUAGAAUCACAUAAAAAGCCCAUUGAUUACUUUCUUAAAUCAUGAUGGUCCAUUGAAUACUAAAGAGUUAGCUGUAGCUGCUGCACAAACUAAGCACGUACCAAUUCAUAAGAGCCUCUAAUUUUAAUUUCGUCCCAAGCCACGGAAAUGUCAGGUUGGCCCUGCUCGUGAUAUUAGAUCUCAGGUAGCAAACCUUAGUACUACCACAUGAGGUCAAGCCUCCAAUAUAGUUUUAUUGUAUAAUAUUAUAAGAGAAAAACAUCUUGGAUUUUUUAAAAUAAACGCCCACUAUCUCCAAAGCUCAAUUUAAGAGUCCAACCAACCCACAGGGUGGCCACAGGGGGUGUGACCACAGAAACGCACGCUGGCCUCCUGGCCUGGGCUGGCCUGUCCUUCGCCGCUCCUCUGGAACCUGCACACUGCACACCUCCCAACUCGUCAGUCCUCACAGUCAUCACGCUCCCGCUACCACGCCUCCAACAAUCAAAAAGCGCUGGCUUUGAUUCCCCCUCCCUCCGCCUUUCCCACCUCUUUUCCCUGUUAGUUUAUCCUCCGUGUCCCCUCCCCUCGAGGAAACUUAAUCGGAUCUCGCUGAGCUCUCGGUCAAUCGCUCGCAUUUCUUUACUAAUCGCCACUUCUUGGAGAGACCAGUUUUUAAUGGCGCUUAUUAUGAAGUGUUUUGUGUUAAACCUCCAAGGAGCAGAGGGAAGCUAGAGAGCCUCCAGAGCCAAGAACACGCUCAGGUACGCCGUACUCGGGCAUCAAAACCUCCUCGGAUUCUCUGCGUGCUGGCGCACAAGAGGGGAGAGAGCUUCCCGUUUCCCAUCAUCCCCACACAGGAGUGCUGCGGCAGUCAGUCUCCACUCUCCACUCCCCCAGUUCGUCCUCACUAGUCACUUCUAUUGGCGGCGGGCGGCGGCGGCGACCGCGGUUCGUCCUGCUCCGCGGCGGCUUCUUGGUGCCGUCUCCGUCUGUGAGGAGUUCCUCCGUGCGCGUCUGGGAAAGGGAGGAGGAAGAAAGGGCUCUUCUUUGAGGACAAAAUCAGGUGGCGAUCUUCUCUUUCCUUGCUGAUUUUGUUCCACUUUUUUUUUUCUUGUACUGUUGUUGAGAUUACGAUGUCGCCGUUUGUUGCGUUCUUUUGGACCCUUGUGAUCUUUCCUGCUCGUGACUUUCUACCAACUGAGGUUCCUCUAGAAAGGGGUGUCAUUUUAGCCGACAAACGGGUAAUGAGGUGUUCUUGAACCCUUGUUCACAUUAUGCCUGAAGGAAUUUCUAGGUGUUCGCUGAUCUCUGCUUUGCUUUCUGAUGUUUUAGUUUGGAGGGGCAUUCACAGUUCUCAGUUAUUCUGUCCGUGGCGGUUUAGUUCGUGUGUCUCGUAUGUUAUUGUAGGCUUGAACUUCGUGAAUGUGUGGCGAUAGAAAUUGGGAAUCUUUUGCCCUCAUGAUUAGCGGUGCCUACUCAUUGCCUCAAUUUCUCCAUUUAUUAGCAGCCAAAAGAUUUUCUCCAUGAUUUGUGGGUCAUUUUAAGUCGUGGAUUCAUUAAUUUAGAAGAAGUUCAUGGGACUGCCUGACUACCCUGUACUGUAGUACUUAAAUGUUUUCUAAGUUUGUUGCUCCGUGCUGGAGAUUUGGGUAAAUCUGAAAAUUGGUUUUCCAGUGUUAUAUUUAGCGUAUACUCUACAAAUGUGGAUGCGUACUGCUUGCAUUUGGUAUCAUCAAUGAAUUUCAUAGCUUAAAAUAUCUCCCAUAUAUGCAGUUCUUUAGUUAAGAAUAUAUUGUAGUCUGUUCUGGUUAAAUGAACGCAAUAACCAACCCCUUUUUUUUGUUGCUGUUUCAGCUUCGCUUGAGAUCUUCUGGAGUAUCCCUUCUUCACAGCCAAUCAGAUCUUUGGGCGUAACAAUAUGUCGCCCAAGCGACUACAGGGCGUGGUUAUGUUGUUAAUGCUCAUGGUUCUCAAUGUUUCAGGUACUCCAGCUCACCAUAUUAGUUUGUAGUACCUAGAUAUGGUUUUGAACUACUAUAUUUUGAAACUGUAGGUAUGGUUCCAGAAUAGUAGUGCUAAAAUUAUACUACUGACUGUAGAAAUAUGGCAGUGCAAAAAUUAUACUAUGUUCUAUAUAGAUGUACCGGAAUCAUUAUUUACCGUAUUCGUAGUUCCUCAUUCUGAUUUUCCUGAAUGUGCUGGAAACUAGUUUAGAAAAGACACCAAAAAAUGUUAUUUUGAACUGAUUAAUAGGUUCUAAAUAUAUAUAAUCCCUAUGUUUGCAUAAACAAUCAUUGCUGCAAUUUGUUGUAGGUGCAUUUGUUGGUAUCACUAUUGGUAAUGAUAUGUCAAACCUACCAUCAGCAACAGAUAUAGUGGCUAUCCUUAAAGCAAAGAAGAUUCAGCAUGUUCGCCUGAUUGAUUCAGACCAUCAGAUGUUGACUGCCCUUGCAAAUACUGGAAUAGAAGUGAUGGUUGGGGUUCCCAAUGAUCAGCUACUUCGUGUGGGGCAAUCUCGAUCCACAGCUGCUGAUUGGAUUAACAAGAACGUUGCUGCUUAUGUUCCAGCAACUAACAUCACAUAUAUUGCAGUGGGUGAUGAGGUUCUUACUAACAUUCCAAAUGCAGCCCUUGUUCUUAUACCUGCAUUGCAGUUCCUCCAAUCAGCACUGUUGGCUGCAAACCUCAAUACUCAGGUGAAAAUUUCGAGUCCACAUUCAAUGGAUAUGAUCUCGAAGGCAUUUCCUCCCUCCACUGCCACUUUCAAUUCGACAUGGAGCUCAAUAAUGUCUCAAUAUCUUCAGUUUCUGAAGAAUACAGGAUCUUCCUUCAUGCUGAAUGCCCAACCAUACUAUAGCUAUGUCGGAGGACAAGGCGUAUUCCCCUUAGAGUAUGCACUAUUCCGCUCACUCAGUCCCAACGGUCAAAUUUCAGAUCCCAACACCAAUCUGUUCUAUACCAAUAUGUUUGAUGCAAUCAUUGAUGCUACUUACAACUCAAUCCAAGCAAUGAAUUUCACGGGGAUUCCUGUUCUGGUCACAGCUUCUGGCUGGCCAUGGCGUGGUGGGCAAAAUGAGAAGGCUGCUACUGUUGAUAAUGCUUUGGCCUACAAUACGAACCUCAUACGUCAUGUACUGAAUAAUUCUGGUACGCCCAGCCAACCAAUGAAUCAGUCAAGCACCUACAUCUUUGAGCUAUUCAACGAGGAUCUUCGGUCAGGACCUGUAUCAGAGAAAAGUUGGGGGAUUAUGUUUCCCAACGCUACUACUGUGUACUCUCUAUCAUUUGAGGACGUGGCCACAACUAUCCCAGAAUCACCAGCUCUGCGCGGGAUGUUUUGUGUGGCAAAUUCAAGUGCACCCCAUGGUGCACUGAAGCAUAGUUUGGAUUGGGCAUGUGGCCCUGGCUCUGCAAACUGCAGUGCAAUUCAGCCUGGGCAACCAUGCUAUGAAUCAGAUAACAUUGUAGCUGUUGCUUCAUAUGCUUUCAACGAUUAUUAUCAUAGAACACAAUCUAGCGGUGGUACAUGCAGCUUUAAUGGCACUGCAAUGAUAACAUCUACUGAUCCAAGUAAGCUGCAUUCUGCUCUCCUACAUUUAGUAGGAUACAAUGGUUUUUUGGCACAAUUAUUGAUUAUUUCGUAUGGGUUUCAGUAAUUAUGGCAAAUAAUUUAUAGUUGCCCUACAUCAGCGCAAGCGACAAUCCAAAAGACCAAAUUUAGCACUGAAAUGCUUGAAGGGAUCAAGUUCCUUGUUAUGCAAAAUUUAACCCUUGAUUGGCUACCAUGGUGUUUUGACUGUGAUUUUUAUUACACAAAAGCCCUACUGGACUUCUGUUUUAUUAUCAUUAGGCGAGAAUUCUACAUGUUUAGCUAGCCAAUGCUCAAUCUCUUGUUGAUCUUUUAUUGUGUUCCCACCAGCAAUGAGACCUUCCUAGAAAUGUACCAUGCCCCAAAGCAAGCGCUACUCGUGCAAAUUUCUGUAGGGAACAUGUAAAUAAUCUGGCAAGCAUUUUACCUAAGAUGUGUGUCCCAUUAGGCCAAGAUAAAACGUAUGUAGGGAUGUGGGGUUUAGUCAAACUUGAGCUGUUACAUCAGAUCAAAAUCACAGGCAGUGUCCAAAUCAUAAUACCACAGCCCACAACAACUUUCAUCAGCAUCUUAUGUUUAAUUUAUAAUUUCUAGAAAUAGUUACUUGUGUUUUCUAGUUUAAAGACCUCACCUUUUUUGUCAUUUUAAUUUAAUUUCAAGAAAUCAAGGGUAUCUAGUAUUUUAGUGCUAAUGUCAAAUUGUUGUAUAGCAUGUAAAUAACACGAGCCUAAUCUAAAUUCCCCCUUUAUUUCUUGCAGGCCAUGGUUCAUGCAUUUUCGCUGGAAGGUAUGUCCAACUCAAAAUUUCGUGUCAAAAGGUUCCAAGUUCUAACCCUGUUUUGUGCUCUGUACUGAGAAUGUGAUUUGCUCCUGUUUGUAGCACGGGCGCCAACGGCAGCGACGGCGGUACAGCCUCCGGGCCUGUAAGCCCUGACAGUUUUGCUUCGAAAUCCCAAUCCUGCUGGUUGACUCACCUAGUAGCCGCAUUGCUGGCCAUUCUAGUGAUGUAAAACAUUGUAACAAUGUUGCAUUUUGGAUGAGAUACCCGUAAUUUGCCGUGGAUCUUGUCAUUAGAUACUGUAGGGGCAUAUUUGUUUUAGUGUAUUCAGGUAGAUCCCAUCGCCAUGUAAUCUUAUCCCAAAAUUUGUUUUCCUAGGAAUCAGCAUUGCGUCAAAUCAUCAGUUUUGAAGGUCAAUUUCGAAAAUCGAGCUGUGACAAGCAGCUUAUCUGAAUGCUGGAAGUUCCAAAUGAUUUGCACUCAGCACUCCUGCAUACAGUAUGGUUUCAGUGGUGUACUGCUGUCUUUCUUAUCUUUGCACUUUUAGCCUUUUCGAAAAUGGUUUGAGCCUAAGAAAAAAAUUGACUCGUUGUGACUUGUGACUGAGCGACUAACGCGGCCCAUAUUAACCCACCGGUCCAUUAUCAAUUACCGUAAUGGGCCUGCAAAUUGGAUUUAAAGCCUCACCAGGAUGCGCGGCGAGCCGGCCCACACGCUUUCGCCCUCCGUCACUGUCGUCCGUCGCGGCGGGCAUGUCCUCAUCCUCCUUCCCCACCUCCCGCUUCCCCUUCGCCGCCGGCGCCGGGGCCCCCGGCGGCGGCGGAGGAGGAGGAGGAGGCGGAAGCAGCGUGCGGCCGUGGGGGUCGAGCGGCGGGACGUCGGUGUCGUCGUCUGGUAAGCGGAUACAGAAAGAGUUGCUGGACCUCAACGCCUCCGACUGCUCCGCCGGGCCCAAGGGCGACAACCUCUAUCACUGGCUCUCCACCAUCAUCGGGCCCCAAGGUAUGAGCUCCCUCAAUCCGUUUCUCCAAUCGAUUCGAGACAGUUGAAAGCUUGCGGAAAUUUAACUGCGCUGGAGGAUGUCAGUUUUACUUGUUCAAAUUGCUGCUUCUAUGUUUAGAGUAGGUGCAGUAGUUUAAUUUGUACAAUAAACUGGGCUCACGAGUACGUGCCGGCUGAUUUGACGCAUAAUGUUAUGUCUUGCAGGAUCGCCGUAUGAAGGAGGGAUAUUUUUCCUUGAUAUCGUGUUCCCCCCUGAUUAUCCUUUCAAACCUCCCAUGGUAAUGAUUCACAUUUCUUGUUAGCAUGCUCUUCUUGUUGACGUUGAUCUGUUGAAGUGUGCUUGGGAAUCUUGGCUUAGUACAGAAUUUUUUUUGUGUCCUAAAAACUAAGCUCCAACUUCGACAUUUCUCCACUUCUUGUUAUGUACACCUUCUACCUAAUCCCUCGAUUCCUUGUUUACUCUUUUUGAAUGGACAAGUUUCAAGGAAUGUAUGUGUAUUUCUGUAUGUCACACUCAGUUGUGGUGACUCCGACUGCCUAAGUACUAGAAAGUAUUCGUAACAGAAAUUCAAGUGGGAGGUCAGAUCAGUUAGGCUGGUAAUAGUGUGUAGUUCUGCUCGGUAAAAAAAAAAAGUUUCUAAUUCUAGUUCUGAUUGUUCUGCUCUUGGGAUUCGUAAUUUGAUCAUCCUAGGCAACUGAAUGAACUGUGCAAACAGAGUGUUAUCAGAGCAAUGAACCUUAGUAUGCUUUAUAAGAUUCAAAGCAUCAGUUGCCCUGAAGCCUUAUAUCCCCAAAUUUUCAACAGUCUGGCUACCAUAAUAUGGGUAAACUUGAUUUUGAAACAAUAAUUUAUGAAGAUUUGCUUUUCCCUAGAAAAAGAAAAGCACAUUCAGCUAUCUGUCAAGAAUGAAGAUUAAUCUAGAAGUGCCACAUGAAAACGCCUCAUCAGAGAAUACUGGUAGGGAGGCAUGCAUCUGAUGGCGAGGAGUGGAACUAAUGUGAAAAAGAUUAUGCUGAAAGAUAGUUUUCUUUGCUGCUAAUUAACGUUAGCUUGUUUCUUCUAAAGCCGUGUUUGUACGUUUUCAUGCGAAGUACUGUAAUGUGAUGUUUUAUGACUUCUUAGUGCGAUAUUGAUGUAUGAAGAAAAACCAUCUGAGGUUUCUAGUUUACUGUUGUUGGUUUUUCUUUUUAAAAAAGAAAGAAUGCAGAACUGCUAAGAUAUUGUUUUUUGUUCUGGCAUGCUUCGAUCAAUACUUUCCCGAACAAAAGAUGUCAUAAAAUUGUUUUUACUUGGUGGAAGCCUUGCUAUUGCAACAGGUACUUUUGACAUCACCUCUUGUCAUGUGGUGACCUAUUGUUAUCUUGGCUUAGAAUAUAAGAGUCUGCUAACUGAGGGAAGUGAUUCUAAAUGCCUAGCCCACUCAUUCAUGUUAUUGAUAUUUAUUCAUCACUGUCCAGCUGCUAGCCAUAGCGAAAAUCACCACUGACACAUUUCUGGAGGAUGCCAACACCACCACCAUCUAUUUCCUGUUAUUACUUUUCAACUUUUGACAGGUUGCUUGAGAUAUGAGGGACCAGAAACAGCCAACCUCUGUUUUAGCUGUCACCUACCACACCGACCUUCAGUGGCGCAGUUUAACCAUGAUCAGCUAAUGAAACUAACAACCACACUAAAGCUAUUAAAUAUAUGAAAUUAUGGAAAAUAUUUUUGAAUGUUUCAAUUCUCUAAAUAGCCUAUCCCAGCUUGCUUUGGGCUAAAAGGCUUUCUUGUUUCUUUUUUUUUGUGUGUUGUCGAAAUAUGUUUUCAAUGUUCUAUGGAGUGAUUAUCAUAUCUAUACUUAUGUACUGAAUAACUUUUGUAGUGUUACAAGCCAUGCUAACCAUGAUUUGAUAUUUCACAUGUUAAUAGUUGAGAGUAUUCGCAAAUAUUUUACUCUUCUGGUCGAAUCUAUUUAAAUUGAGUAUAUUUGUCUAUUUAUUUUGAUUGGACAAAUUUAGUUUCAUAUAACUCCAAGUUUGUGUUAUGCAAUUCUCCCAGGUAACUUUCAAAACAAGGAUUUACCACUGCAACGUUGAUUCUGCUGGUAAAGUGCAUUUGGACAUAUUGAAGGAUGGCUGGAGUCCAGCUUUCACCAUUUCAAAGGUGUUACUGGCAAUAAAAGACAUCAUCGGCAAUCCAGAUCCAUGUAUGUUUUGAUCAUUCUCUGUACACCUUCUGUAAACAGUCAUGGAUUCCAGUGCAAACCAAGCCUACUGUCUGCAGGGUUUCUACUUUGCUUUAACGCUCAAAAGAGUUAUGUUUAUGAUCUGUUUGUGCAGACACCCCGCUUGUGAUGAGCAUUUCACGUCAGUAUCUUACUGACAGAACUAAACACGAUGAAAUAGCAGCUGAGUGGACAAUGAGGUUUGCAAGAUAGGGAAUUCUGUCUGUAUGUAAGCAAGAUUGAUCUUGUAAAAGAAUAAUCCUUAAUGUGGCCUGAGAUGUAGAAUGUUGGCAAAGGACCCGCGUUUUGUUUAAUCCGAGUUGUGACAUAAAGGUGUAAUUUGUGUUUGAGUAUUACUUGCUGCUUUUAAGCACAGAAUCAUCUCCUUUUUUUUCGAUUUUGCACUUCUGCCACAGUUGCUUAAUUAACUCUUCAGAACCUGCUAUUUGAGCUUAUUAGUUUCUCGAAAUUCUUUUUAUUGAAACUGGGAAAACCCCAAAGUUACUUGGAAAUGUUCAGUGACUGACAACUGUUAAUGUUACAGUUGAGCAAAUGAUUGAUUAAUUUUUCUCCAGUCAAAGUAGUUCAUGUCAUUCAAAUCUUUCACUUGAAACCAAAUCCUGCUGGUUAUCAUUCUGGUGGUGUUGUUGGACAAGGCUUCAGUUACAGCUGCAUUUUCUUCCAGAACAUUGUCCCUAGUUCGUAGGUGUUCCUUGGACAGAGUAAAUGUCAUAUUGUCAUCCAACAAAGCAUGAUCGUGUUGUUUCAGAAAGUUGCAGAACAAAGAUAUCAGAUGUUUAUGGAGAAUAAUGGUCACUUGCCUACUGCUAACUUGGAUCUCACUUCAUGUAGGGAUGAAAAGCUACCGGUGACAGCUACUGAUCUUACAAAUGACCAAACUGGGCUUCACCUCUGAAAUGGACGCCUCACCAGUUCACUGAUUCCCAGUACGGACUGUUCAAUUGAUCAUAUCUGGCGACCUUAUAACUCCAUCCAGAGAAGAAGAUGCAGAGCAACUCUUCCGGGGGCCUCCUCCCUAAGACCACAGACCAUGGCCACGGAGCUAGAUGUGAGCAAGUCUCGCCGCUUUGACAUGGCCAUGUCGAGGCGGACACGGCGAUCGACGAGCCUGGUCGCCUGUUUCCAAGAUCAGUAUGUGCCAUCCCUGGCACAACAACGCCACCAAGAGCUGAAGGAGUUUCUCCAAUGCCAAGAUGCAGAGCUGAAGGCACUCCAGCAAUGUGAGGAUGCAGAGCAGCUGGCACUGGGUCUGGAUGAAGAUGAGGAGUCGAAGAUUCCACAAGCACCACUCCAGUAUGAAGAUGACGAGCAAAAGACACCAAAGCAGUAUCAAGAUGAGCAGGAGAAGAAAUAUCAGCAAUAUUCAGGUGCAGAGCAGAAGAAACCAGAGCAUUAUCAAUGUGAAAAGGAGAAGAAACCAGAGCAGCAUAAAGAUGAAGAGGAGAAGACGCCAGAGCAGUAUCAAGAUGAAGACGAAAAAGCAUCACAAUACCAAGAAGAAGUGCUGAUGAUACCAAACCAAAGUGAAAACGAUGAGGAGAUGACAGCAGAGCGUUACCAACUACGCCAAGAGGCAGAUGAGAAGGCGUCAGAGCAGUCUGAAGAAGAUGAGGAGCAGCAGAAGGCAGAGCAGGAAUGGUGCAAGGCGGAGCAGAAGGAGCCGGAGCAAUUCCAAAGCGUGAAGAAGCUGCCCUUGCCACCGCGUGCUGUGGACAACGUGCCCCGGUUCUCCCUUCAGGAGCUGAUACAGCAGAAGCAGCUUCAAACCGGAGAGACAAAGCCUACCAACAAGCUAGGCGGCCACGGCGAGAGUGCCCUUCCUGACCAUAAGGUUUCAGGAUCAGGAGGAGGAGCAGCAGGCGGCACAACGCUGGCCAUGGUGAUAAAGCGACCCGAGGGAGGGAAGAAGUCGAUGGGGAUGAUACGCCGGUGCGUGAAGGCCCUGAACCAGAUGAUCAAGACCAAGCAUGGGUCCAAGAAGAACUUGCAUUUGUAAUUUGAGCAGAAUUCAUGUACGUGUGAUCCAGACUCGAGAGUUUCGUAGUGGACUGCACAUCUCUGAAGAAUGCACGCGCAGUUGUGCAGAACCAAGUUUUGGGCAUGAUUCAGAGUGUGCAAGAUCUGGUAAGAAACUCCGCAGCCAUACCGGGCUUUUUACGCUCCGGUCUAUUACCGUCUACCUAUAGCAAUAAACAGUCAAAUACUCAAAUUUAGCUGAAGAUCACUAGUCUGUUACUAUGUGAGAAAAUGCUCUACUCAGUGAUGUUUAAUUGUACACUAUUUGCUCGACGAUGUAAAGGGUAAAAUGUCAAAGGAAUCGAGAUUGGGCUCUGAACGUGUGUUGUUGUUGACUUCCUCUGCAAAGCUUCUUUUAGAAAUCUGAUCGUGAUCACAAAAGGGAAAAUGGUCUGUUGUACCGACACUUUCCCACCAGGUCAGCAGUGGUUUUGGUGCAAACUCCCUUUCGUUCUUUUUGUGUCGCGUCCCGGUAGGAUUUGGUGUAUGAUAAAUGCUGAGAGUACAAGUUAGAUCAAAAGAAAAGAUGAAAGAGCUGAAGCCUGUGAAGUGUGAAGUGUCUUUGAGUUCUUGGUUGAGGAUGUAACCCAUGGUAUUUGUAUGCCAUCACACACGUCUUGUUCAUUUAUGAUCACUCUGAAUUUACUUGUUUUGAAAGCGUGCGUUAUUGAGGUCGGGACUGGAGGACAUGUUUAUGAUAUAAUUUUUUUUGCUACUUACUUUUAUGCAACUGAAAUUGAACAGACAGUUUCCCCGGCUUCCUCUUUUAUGAGACUUCUCUGCUUUUAAAGAAACCAAAAAUGUUACUACUUGGUAUGCCAAGAACACUCGGUACACUGACGUUGUAUUGCUCCAUUUCACCGUCUGAAUCACAAAUCUGCCUCGCACGGAGAGACUUCGGCCGAUGUGAGCAGAAACGUGCCUGUUUUCUACCAGCUCGCGGAUCGAGCCCAGCGCCGUGCCCACCCCCUGAUUUCUACCAGCUCGCAGAGCUGAGCACCUCCACGAGACCACGACGCCAGAUUCUCCGUGCCGCGUGUCGCUAUUUCCUCCCGAAUAAAGCAAGCCCGGCGCGUUUUGACCUCUUUAAACUGCCGCGACGCCACCGGACGCUCGCGUCUACGCGUACGAGGGCUCGAUGGCAGGUCGGUAGGUACGGUACUCUUGCGUAUUAGCAGGACGCAUGGCAUUGACGAAACAAAGCCCUUGCACGUGACUAGCUCUGACGGUGUGAGCGUGCUGCUGUUCUUGUCUUGUUGAUGCAGCCUUCCUGUUCCUGGCGACUACGGCUUUGACCCCCUUGGCGGCCUUCGGUGAGUUCUGAUCCAAAGCAAAGGAUUUGCAAGUUUGCAACGCCUUUGUUGCUGUAUUCUUUCCUUGCUGUAUAUGUGAAAUAUUCACACGUCGUGUGAAUACUUCACAUAUAUACACAGCCUGAGUAGAUGUGAAGACGACGAAGGUUUACGUGGAAUUCAUAUCUUUUACGCCAAGUGAUGCUCCUAUUUGGUUCAGGCUGAGUCACGAGAAUUCAUAUCUAGAGCUAGAACCUCUCAAACUGGUUGGUUGGAGAGGCUGACGGCACAUCGGAGAAAUUUGGUGUCACGGACAGUGCGAUCAUCUAUCUUGUGCAUGAAAGUGAGUAUCAAUUAUUUCAGUUUACCUUUAUGCGCCGUGUUAAAAUGGAUUAGCUGAGAGAAGAAACGCCGCACCGGCAUGGUCAGAGAGUAAACAGCAGUUACGUACAGUUGUGAUGUACAAGUGCAACUCUCUGUAACAGCUGACAAACCUAGCAGCACUCAACAGCAACAUCUGCUCCUGCACGCUGCACGGUAGUUAGCUAGCAUCAGGCAUCAGCACUGGAGCGAGGUGUGCUAAUAGUCUCAGGCGUUUGGAGAACCACGGCACAAGGUUGUUACCGAGGCAGACACGGUAGCUAGAUGAAGAAAUGUUCAGUAUCUUGUGUAGUCCGCGCCACCAGAAGAGCUGACAAAAGCGUUAGGAUGAUGAAAAGAGUUUGAAAUCCAUGAUCAAGUGUGCUUAUGCCGCAAUACUAUAUAUGAAUGGUAUAUGAAUUACUUGAUAAGAUUCGGAUCAAGUUAUCUCUGUUCAGUUGUAACGAAGCAAAUCUGUUGGAUGCAUGGCAACCUUACAUUACACGCCGGGUCGCAAGGGUUAGUGCCGGCACGAGAGAGAAGAUCCUCAACAUGGCUCUCCUUGAGAUGAAGGACAGCUAAUGGAAGAGGGAGAAUCCUAAAAAAACUAAAGAAUAGAAGAAAAAAAGGAACAAAAGAAAAACACGGGCUAACCCUAGUGCUCAGGAUCCAAUAUGUUAAAGUACAUAUCACGAUUGGAUGAAGCCAGCCGUGUGAAAAUAUAUAAAGUUUAGGAUAGCUAAAUAUGACGUUUAGGACAAUAUUUAGUCUAAAUUAGUCUAUGAACCGUUUUCCUGCACGGGCUAGUAAUAUUGAGAAACAUAGGUGAUAAAAUUGAUUGCUUUGUACACGUUCAUCUCUCAUUUAUAAAAUGUAUUGUAACGAAGUCUCUAACAUGCAUGUAUGUACUUUUAUUCGAUCGUGAUAGGUUUUACAUAGUAAUUACUGGUCUAUAAAUUUUUCAUCUAUAUUUGUAGUUUAGUUAGCAAUUAUUAAUCGGAACCAGCAUCACACCCACUGGCUAUGUGCAAUGUGCAGUCAAAGUUGGGCAUGUAUGGCCGAUGGGCGCGAUGCUAGGGGUGGCGGGCAUGUUCAUCCCGGAGUUUCUGACCAAGCUCAACGUUCUCAACACGUCAACCUUUGUAGUGUUGUUGAGAUAAUUCUAGGUCACCGACACUUUCACACUACCAACCUCUUCAUUGCCAAUAUAAUCCUCAUGGGCAUCGGCUAGGGCCUUGUUUACUUCCCAAGUUGGGAGUUGUAAAAUUGGCAUUUUGCCAUAAAUGCGACAUUGUAGCGUUUCGUUUGUAUUUGUGAAUUAUUGUCCAAAUAUUGACUAAUUAGGCUCAAAAGAUUCGUCUCGCAAAGUACAACAAGACUGUGCAAUUAGUUUUUGAUUUCGUCUACAUUUAGUACUCCAUGCAUGUACCGCAAGUUUGAUGUGAUGGGGAAUCUUCUUUUUACAUAGUGUCAAAGUUGGGAAUUUGGGGGGAAGUAAACAAGGGCUAGGCUGACCUUGUCAAGCCUACACCACUAGGGGCGGACCCCAACCAAAAACAAUUUUUCAGGCUCGAGUGCUACCCAUAUAGGAUAUAGGGUAGGAAAAUGUAUUGGGUUGAUGCCUGCUGAUGAUGUUUUUGACUUAGGUAGACUGUCAAUGGUGAUAUGGAACAGCCAUGGAGCAAUCAUGUUAAUGUAUUUGUAAAUUUUGUAACUAAUGUAAAAGUAGGAUGGAUAAGCAUAAGAUGAUCAUCAAUUUCGCUUCACGUUUUUCUUUUUAAGAAUCCUCACCUACUGGAUCAACAUGAGCAUAGGAUUGUACUCCUAUAUAUUAUUCCAUCUAAUUUUAAACAUAAUAUUUAGGAUAUAUUAAUUUUUUUUUCAUCAGCUGACACCCUAACCACACCUCACCUUUUGCUCUGCCUCCCCUAUCACCUCCUUCUCCUCACUGGCAUCACCUCAUGUCACCACAACCUUAUCCCACCGUGACCGAACUUGCCACCUGGUGCCUUCUAACUUUUGCGCCGCUAUAUGGCCGGUUCUCGAGCUUGGCAUCAAAUGUCAUUUGGUCUCCAAACUCUUAAAAUGUACAUUCGCAUCAUUGAACUUGCUAAUCGACUCACGUGAGAUCCAAAUCACUGUUAACUGAGUUAAAUCACCUGCGUGGCGUAGCACUGACGUGGACCAUCUUCUCCCUGCCUUCUCUCUGCCUCACAUGUCUCUCCCUUCUCUCGCAAAAAACAUCUCCGGCGGGGCCUAUGGAGAGGCGGCGGCCGACGCAAGGUGCAACGACGAUGUAGCUAACGGGCCGUGGCAGGGGCUUGCCCGGCCGGAGCGGCGCACGACUGGGAUGGGGAGGGGUUCGGCUGGGGCGGCUCAGAUGCAGGGCAUGGCGCCAUGGCUCGAAGACGGUCGGAUUGGGGAGGUGGGUGGUGCCUGGCGUGGAGGCGCGAAGGAGCCGGCAUCCUCGUCUUGCGCCGGUCGAGCCGAGCUCCCAGUGCUCGAGCUCGCGCAUAGGCGCGCAGGCGGCUGCGGGGGCAACCAUGUGCUCCCCGCGUCCAUGGCUGCCACCGCCGUCCGCCUGCGCAAGGCCGCGGCCGCCGCCCACCCCCGCGGAGAUGCUGCUGCCGGGCCGGCCGCUCCAGCCAGGCCGCCCGCCAUCCACCUCACAGGGCAGCUCCUGCCCGGCCGACCGCCGUCCGCCCCCGCGCGGGCCACUCCUACCGACCCGGCCACCGUUCCCUCACCGCACCACUCGCCGGCGACGAUGGGCUCCUGCGCCGCCGGAUCCGUCCUAUUGCUGCACCUGGGCUCACGCGUCUUUGGCUCGAUUUCCUCUCCGGCGACCGCGGCCCAGCGCGCGCAGAUGGGGACGGCAGGCGCAACUCGGCCAGAGCGGACGGCGGUCGUGGCCGCAGCCCGGCAUAGGCAGACGGCGGCGCUGGCCAGCGCAGGCAAGCGACGGCGCUGGCCGAGGCCGGGCGCGGGCGGCCGGGGGUCGCGAGCCGGCGCGGGCAGAUGGCCGCGGUGUCCAUGGUUCAUACUGUGACAGAUUUUUUUUCUUUUUUCUUUAAUAAUUAGAAAACGUGGGUCAUGAUAGCAUUUGAGAAAAGAGAUUAGGCUGACAUGUGGGACCCUUGUGCCAGGUCCACGUCAUCAUCCAUUCAAAUACGUAAUGUCACGGGGAUUUGGACAUCGGUGAUCCGGUUAGCAAGUUUAGGAAGUUCAAUGUACAUGCUAAACUAGUGUACCGCUCGUGCAUUUUACUCAACUUUUAUCUUAGAAUCAUAAUUUUAUCAUUCACUACGGAUGGGACAUCUGAAGCAGCUGAUGAAGAGUGUUUGUGACACGAAUCGCUAUAAAUUAAAGUUUAUUUUGCUAAACUUUUAGGCUACUGAAAUCUAACCAGGUUUUUUUUAUUUUAUCCUUUUUGAGAUAAUAUUCUGUACGCUCCAUAUGCAAUGCUUCAGUGGACGUCCGUUUUAUGUUGUUGAUCAUUUGUUCGAGUGCUAAUUCGUAUGUUACGCUGUUUUUCGACGGUUUUACCCUGAACAAGUGAAGAACCAUGCAUAUGCUCCGACGUGACACGAGACAGCGAGGAACGCGUCACCCUCUUCUUUUAAGCACGGGAAUCUGCGUGUGCGUGGCACAUGAGCGCCUGGCCGAUAGCCGAUACGAGCAGGAACGUGCCUACAUGGCAGCAGCCAGUGCGGUGCCUCCCACUGAUUUUUAUCAGCUCGCAGCCGAGCCCCCUCCACGUCAGCGCGAUCCGGCGUGCCAGAGCCAGACGAGCAGAUUCUCCUCGCCGCGUGGCACGAGGCGGCCGCGCCCGCUAUCCCCUCGCGGAUAAGCCGGCCCCGCUCCGGCGCCCGCCCGCCGCGAGAUCCCUUAAACUUGCGGCGCGCGCGCCACCCACGCCACACAGCUAGCUCCCGCGCCACAAGCUCUCGCUGCCAUGGCACUCGUCUCCGCCUCCUCCUCCUCCACCACCGCCGUCGCGGCGCUCCCCAGGAACGGGCAGCGCGCGUCGUCCUUCCUUGGCGGCAGGACGCUGCUGAGGCAGGCCGAGGCGGCGCGGCCGUCGUUCGCCGUGCGCGCCGCGGCGGACCCCGACAGGCCCAUCUGGUUCCCCGGCAGCACCCCGCCGCCGUGGCUCGAUGGCAGCCUCCCCGGCGACUUCGGCUUCGAUCCCUGGGGCCUUGGUGAGUUCUGAUCACUGGUCAAUCUAUCUUCUUGUGAACAUGUAAAUAAUUUCUGAGCGAUAUAGCUGACACCUGAUGCAUGUGCUUGCGAUUACUCUGUGCAGGAUCUGACCCGGAGAGCUUGCGGUGGAACGUGCAGGCGGAGCUGGUGCACUGCCGGUGGGCGAUGCUCGGCGCGGCGGGCAUCUUCAUCCCGGAGUUCCUGACCAAGAUCGGCAUCCUCAACACGCCCUUCUGGUACACCGCCGGCGAGCAGCAGUACUUCACCGACACCACCACCCUCUUCAUCAUCGAGCUCAUCCUCAUCGGCUGGGCCGAGGGCCGCCGCUGGGCCGACAUCAUCAAGCCCGGGAGCGUCAACACUGACCCCAUCUUCCCCAGCAACAAGCUCACCGGCACCGACGUCGGGUACCACCUCUCGCUCCGGCCCCAUGCAUGAACACGCAAGAAAACAUUAUUAUAUUCCCAAAGACUCAUCUAGCUGCUAGCAGUCCUCAUAUCCAUGGCUGACAUGAAUUCAUCUCUGUGUGCUGGAAAUGCAUGUAAAAAUUAAGGUACCCUGGUGGCCUGUGGUUUGACCCGCUCGGCUGGGGCAGCGGCUCGCCGGAGAAGAUCAAGGAGCUGCGCACCAAGGAGAUCAAGAACGGCCGCCUCGCCAUGCUCGCCGUCAUGGGCGCCUGGUUUCAGGCCGAGUACACCGGCACCGGCCCCAUCGACAACCUCUUCGCCCACCUCGCCGACCCCGGCCACGCCACCAUCUUCCAGGUCAGCUGAAUCGAUCAAACUGCACAUACCUCACAGCUUCGAUCUGUACGGUUUGGUUACUGAUUAGUGAACUUUUGUUGUGUUCUUGAUCAGGCCUUCACCCCCAAAUGAGGAGUUGGAGUUAGCGAUCUGAGUGCUGCGUGCUAUACCACGCAUGCAUGAGGUGGAGAUUGUUAUAGGUUGAUGGUCGAUGCGACUUUUUCCUUUUUGUGGGACGGAAUAGACUGUGAUGAUUCAAUGGCUUGUGUGGAGCGAUGCAUGCCUCUUGAUCGUGUACUUGUACUAUGUUGUAACCAAUGUAAAAAUGCAAUACUCAUUAGAUGUUAUAUGUUCUUUUCACUGAAUUAACGACUUGAUGGCUGUGUAAUGCUCGUGGCGAUCGUGUUAAUGACAUUGCGUUACUAGGUCUGCAAACAUUAAUAGGUUACGAGCAACAUAAUCAAAAUUCUGACGUGAGGAAUGCUCAUGUGCGGCUAGCUUUGUUGUAGAUACCUUCACAAGAGUUUGGUAUAAUGCACCGCAGAACAUGCAAAAUUGGCAAAUAUCCCGCUACAAAUGGAGAUGAUCCAGGCAUUGAUAAUGCUUAACAUAUUACAUCCAUUUAAAAAUAUAUGGAUGUUAGCGGUACCUCCGCAAGGCUCGUAAAAUGGCUAAAAAUUCCUUCCUCAUGUUUUAUGUGGCUUUUAUGACGUGUCUUGAUCCGGGGGUACCAUGUGAAUGCAUGCACCAUGCUCAUUUAUAACAACAAAUGCUACUCCUUCUGUUACCAAUUGUAGUUCGUUUUGACUUUUGAUAUUAUUAUGCAUCUAGAUAUAGUGUAUGUCUAGAUGCAUAAUAAUAUUUAUGAAUCUAAAAGAGCCAAAAUGACCUACAAUUUGGAACGGAGGAAGUACAUUUUUAUGAUGCGUCAAAGAUUAGCUUUGAAUUCAAGAUAAAUGUAUUGUAAACAUUAUAUAGGGCCUUCACUUGGGCCACCGAAAAUGUUAGCAACGCCAUGAAUCUUGCCACUGGCUUGAUCUCCAUGUUCGUAUAUCCUUUGAGUAUAAAUUGAAUACAACUCAAGAUCCACCAGCUAAAAUCACUUAGAUUGAAAAGGCUCAAAAUGUAUCGAGUGCUUUAGAUGCAUAGUUGUACUCGAAAGCAUUUCCAGAGAGAAAAUAAGAAAAAUAUGGAUUUUCAAGGACAAAUAUAAAGAAGGGCUUGGCAAUAGGGAACAUAUAUAAAUUGUAACAAUAACGAGCUAUGGAAUCGUUAGCAUUAAAUAAAACACAUUCACCCUAGAGUAGUUAAUAUGAAUGACAUAAACUCGCCUUUUUUUUUACCUUCACUGUAUUAGACAGGUAGAGAAAUACAUAAAGUUGAGCAUAAUAAAAUAGAAAAUCGAAAGGUUAAAAAUAUUCAUUCGAAAAUUUCUCAAAUCAAGCGUAUGCCAUCAGGUGUGGCACUCCAUCAAACCUAUGCAUCCGGAAAAUUCGCUCCAAACCAAAGACGACUUGCUUUGCUGCAUUUCUUGAGCAUUUUAGCAUGUUUUACAUGCGUGAAUAAUGGUGAUCCAAUAUCAUAGCCAUUGGACGAAGAAGACCGAAUGGCAGCAUUGCCUUAAUGCAUUUUUACAUUUUCAAUUAUAUUGAGACUUGUUAUCUCUUAGUCACCUGAACUUGUUUCAUGAAAAUUUUGCUACAUAAAAAUGUAAUGCUUUUUCACAAACAAUACGGUGUUAUAUUAUUUUGUUCGGACUUUGGAAGAUGAUCGAAAAGUAUAGCAAAACAUCUAUCGCUUCAAGUUUCGCUGGCUUCCGAAAUAUCGACAUUACAGGGGUCUAACGCGAAGUUUGACCGCUCAACUUUCCCUGCAAGAAUGGAUCGCGACGAGGCCCCAGAAGAGUAGACCGAAGACAAAGGAAGGCGAGGGGCACCAUCCCAAAAACCCGAAACAAAUCGAAUCGAGUUGGGGGAGAAGGAAAAAAGCGAAGAGCACGCGCCGCCGCCAGCACCGCGCCCGCCAUGGCCGCCGCCUCCUCCCGCCGCGCGUCGCAGCUGCUGGGGUCCGCCGCCUCUCGCCUCCUCCACGCGCGGGGCUUCGCCGCGGCGGCCGCCGCCGCGCCCUCGCCGGCGGUCUUCGUCGACAAGAGCACCCGCGUGAUCUGCCAGGGCAUCACGGGGAAGAACGGCACCUUCCACACCGAGCAGGCCAUCGAGUACGGCACCAACAUGGUACGCCCCACGCCGCUGCCAGCCCCCGUCUAUCUCCCUUUGAUGCGCCCCCUCGAUCCGUGCGCUCCGUUCUUUGCUGCGCGAUUCUAGGGUUUGAUGGAGCCCGUACGGUCCAAUCUAGUGGGUGUGCGGUCGCCGAUCUUCAUUUCCUCGGGUCGUAGGGUUUCGUUUCGCUACCUUAUGGUCCGAUUCAGGGCGUGAUAUGUAGUACGCUUAACUGGAUGUUGUUGGAGGUAAAAUGUGUGAGCUAUCAUAAUUGCCUUUUUGUUGCAGGUAGUGCUAUUAUGUGGUACAAUGCCUGAAAGGCUGAAACCAUAAGUGAAGCAGCAGUGCCUAGGUUUCAUUACCAUUUGUUGAGUUGAUUUGGGUGCUGGUGAUGUAUGCCAUUUACAUUGUCUAGUAAUUUACGGUGCUGUUCACUGUGCAAUCUAGAGGCAGCAUUUGUCAGUCAGAUAGAUAGGGAUUAUUGAUGCAUGAACUCAAGAAAAUGUUGUCAAAGUGAACAAUGUUUUGAUGAAUUUCUUGAUGUUUUAUAGAACCAAGAUGCAAAUGGAUUGGAAUAUCUUUAGAUUAUGAGAAUCAUAUCCAUCAUGAAUGCGUUGAAACCUUUCAAGCUGUUCUAGUACAAUCUAACAAAAAUAUCAUGUAUGAAGUCUGUGGUGUUUAGAUGAUAUAUUCCAUGGACCUGGCAUGUUGCUUGAAGGUCUCAUAUUCUAAUUUACAGUUAUGUUCUUGACCACUAGAUUCAUAUAAUUAACUGUGCCAUAACAAAAGGAAUUGACCCUCAUGUGAACAUUUUUUGCUUGCUAUGUGGUACUGCACUAAUGUUAUUAUGAAUAGUUCAAUACGGCUGAAGGUGUUCGUGCGGCACAAUAUUUGAGCAACGGAUUUAUAUGUUUCAACAGUGUUUCAGUAAAUAAGUGUCAUAGCUUUUGAAUAUAAUAUUUUUUUGCUUGUAUUUUGUGGAACUCUUUUAUUAAAGUCCUUUUUGUUAUGACAGGUCGGUGGAGUGACUCCUAAGAAAGGUGGAACUGAACAUUUAGGGCUCCCAGUGUUUAACUCCGUAGCAGAGGCUAAGGCUGAAACAAAAGCCAAUGCAUCUGUUAUAUAUGUUCCGCCACCAUUUGCCGCUGCUGCUAUAAUGGAGGCAAUGGAGGCUGAGCUCGACCUUGUUGUCUGCAUUACAGAAGGAAUUCCUCAGCAUGACAUGGUAACUUUUGGACAUUUUAGUACUUUGUUAAUUACUAUUAUUCUUUGUCUUCUGAGCUUGGGAAUCUGCUCAGUGCCAUAUCAUCUUUGGUUCACUAAUAACUGUACAUGUAAAUUAAAUUUUUUUGGGCAAAAGCAUUAGAAAAUAGUGUGAAUGGUCAACGUCAUCUUGCACAGAUGGAUAUGUAGUAUGCUAUUAUUCUCUAGUGAGCAGGAUUGGUUAAAAAAUGAUUUGGACCCAAAUAGAUGCAGAUUUUAUUAGCAUGCUCGAUUGAGUAGUUUGCUUGCUGAUAUUCCUUUUUGAUAUAUUUUUUUUACAUAUUGCUAUUAGCUUGCGUUGCAAAUUCAAUUUUACUAUGUUAAUGGAACUUCAUGAGGUGAUAUCAAUGUUUCCUUUGCAAAUUUUAGGUGAAAGUGAAGGCUGCACUAAACAGGCAGUCAAAAACUCGAUUGAUUGGGCCAAAUUGCCCUGGUAUCAUUAAGCCUGGUGAAUGUAAAAUUGGAAUCAUGCCUGGUUACAUCCACAAGCCAGGGCGUGUUGGGAUUGUAUCUCGUUCUGGUACCUUGACAUAUGAAGCGGUAUGUUUGGUAUAUGAUUUUCUUAUGUAUGCACCUAAUCAGGUAAUUUAUUUGACUAAGGUGCAUUCGAUUUUUAUUGACAGGUGUUUCAAACAACAGCUGUAGGUCUGGGGCAGUCAACUUGUGUAGGCAUUGGUGGUGACCCAUUCAAUGGCACGAAUUUUGUUGAUUGCCUUGAAAAGUUUGUUGAUGAUCCUCAGACAGAAGGUACACCUUUUGCGACCAAUACAGCAAAAAACCUUUCUUUUUUAAAAAUAAGUUGUGAGAUGUCUCUUCCUGAACUGCAUACUCUUCUAUGUGGCAUUAAUCCAUUGAAUUUGGUAUUUUUGGCACUUGAAUGCUUCAACUACACUAUUUGUUGUUUCAAUACGUCCAUAUGCCUUUUUCAGUCAACACAGUUCCAUCCCAUUUAUGGAUUGUUCUCACUGUUGGACAACAUACUGUGCCUUUCAGGUAUUGUUCUCAUUGGUGAAAUUGGAGGUACUGCUGAGGAGGAUGCUGCAGCAUUCAUCCAGGUAAGAGUUUGUUAGUACCAUCAUAUUCCUGUAUUGAUUCUGCACUUUGCGACACCGUUCCCUCAUGAACUGGUGAAGUUUCAUGCAUGUUCAGUCUGAACACUCGAAAUCAUGUCCUACCUAUUUAAUAUACUGAUGUUCAUGGUUUUUUUUUGUGUUCCGUAGAUUUGUAGUACAAGAUCGAUGGAUAUUAAAAACAUGUGUCUUUAAAUAUUUAUAGCCAGAGAAUCCUCAGUAAUAAGAAUGCAUAUCUUUCUUAAAGAUUCCACUAGUGCUUUUUUUCCAUAUAGGAAUCUAAUCUUGUCUCUCUUUUUCUAUAUGUUGUAAAAAGUACCCGUGUGGUGCUGUUGGCCUUCAAUUCACUUAGUAUUAUAAAUUGUUAUCUCUAUAUUUAGGCAUCAGUGACACCAUUGAGCCAAAAUGUUUCACGGAUAAGUAUAUAAGGAAAGCCACUGAUCAUAUUCAUUACUGAUGAACUAGCUUAUCAUAUGAAGCUUCGGACAUUGUUUCGGUAAACACAGCAUGUAAACACUAGCAAGCCUCAAGCUGCCUUGCACUUUUAGGUUCCGAGUGGAAAAGGGAGGACACCAAAACAGCUUCCCCUCACCCCUAUUGUCAUGAAGGCAAAACCACGAUUUCAUAGUGUCCGGCAGCCAAAAUCAAACAAUAAUGGUAUCAUGUAGGCAUGUAGCAAAGCAACACUUUUUUACUGUCAUAGGGACACAUUUCCCAUUGUCCUUUUUACGUAAGGCAAUUAAGCUAGAUGCCUGUACCUUGAUUUAACUUAUGCAUAUAUUGCUUACUCAACCCUAGCUUCAAGCUGGUCAACACAGUUCCUAAGAAAGCUCUGUGUUGUGGCCCUCUGGGGCACAUUUUCGCUAAGUAGGUCAUCUUAUCCAUCUGGUAUAUGAGUUUAGUAAAACCUCUUGUGGCCACUACUCGCACCAUAGACCUAAGGUAGUUGUAAUGAACCAAACAUGUGACAUGGAAUGACCUGAUGAUGUAUCUGGUCAGGUUGUAAGUUAAGAAACUAACGUCUAUGGGUUCUGUCUUUUUUAUUCUAUAAAGGGAUUUAUCAUUAGUCACUGCUGAUAUUUCAUUUCAUAGUACUGCUUGUCUUUUGGUUUCGUUGCUGGAAACUUUUCUGCCCCUUUUUUUUCGAUGAGUUAAGCUACACUUCCAAUCUACUAACUUCAUCUGUUAUGGUCCUCAGGAAAGCAAAACACAAAAGCCUGUUGUUGCAUUCAUUGCUGGACUUACGGCACCCCCGGGUCGUCGCAUGGGUCAUGCUGGAGGUAUUUACCUAAGCAAUACCUCCAUUCUUUUAAUUCUAAUCUUACGAUUUCUUUUUCUCCCCCAUUCGAUCACGUAACGUUUUAAGAUAAGAAGUCUAAAUGGCCAUUCCAUAUUAUUGAGUUAAAAUAUGUUGCUUAUGUAGUUAUGUGUGCCAUUCUACUGACAUGGGUCCAAGGUGAUUAUGUCACUUUGCAUGCAGCAGUUCAGGGGGAAAAAACUACUUUAUGGAGAUCAAAUCAGUUUACUAAAUGUCUAUAGAUGACAAAAGAUACUCCAGCAAUUUUAGUAUCAGACUUGGGUGGAUGUGGUAUUGGUUCGCUUAGUAGCCAUAGCAUGGCCAAUUUGUACUUGUUUACCAACAAACAACAUGAAGAACAAAACCCUUCCCAAACAAGUUGUGGUAGGUGAAUUUGUACGUCUACCAAUCUGGGGCCCUUUUGCUACUGUGACAUUCAUCAAACUUGUGGUGACAACCUGGUUUGCAUUCUUGAAUACGCUGUAAUCAUCAAUCUGAUUUUGAUUACACUGUUAGAUAUUAAUGUGCUGAUUUUCUUAAUUCAGUUUCAACUUUCAAUUCCUGUUUACCACGUUGCAUGUGCUAACACAGCUCCAUGCCAUCCUUGUUAUGCAGCGAUUGUGUCAGGAGGAAAGGGUACAGCCCAGGACAAAAUCAAGGCACUCCGAGAGGCUGGUGUGACUGUCGUGGAGUCGCCAGCAAAAAUUGGUUCUACCAUGUUUGAAAUCUUCAAGCAGCGUGGAAUGGUAGAGUAGAGAGACAAAGUGGUACAGUAGAGACUGGAAAACCUCUUUUUGGUGCUCGUGGGGUAAUUGCGAGCAAUUCCUUGGCAGAGGCGUGUCGCUGGCCACAAAACAAAACUACUCAGGCUUCCUUUUCUUCCUUACCUGUCUGCAGUGUGCACCAGGAUCCUUCCCAUGAGGUCAUUUCAAUAAGACAUUCUGGAUUCACUGAUAUGCUGUUUCACUUGGAGUCAAUGUGGAUGCCAAAGCUGUAUGCUGUUUCACUUGGAGUCAAUGUGGAUGCCAAAGCUGUUUUAAUUUUUAUCAUUUGACAAAGUUUUCAAAUUAGGCUUAUUGAUCUGUUGGCAUGUCUUCGUGCACAUUGUAUUAUUUCCAUGCGGCUACUGAAAAUUUGCAGAUUUUGUCACCGGAACAAUAAAGGCCUCACAUUGCUAAUUCGUUGCUUUGAUUAAGCUGCUUAGCCGCUUGCAAUUGGUGUUGUUUAAAAGGUUCGGCGACCUUUCAGGGCUCCUUUUAGAGCACCGCAGCCGUCUCGACACCACCUUGGCCGCCGCCUACCCACGGCACCUUUCACUGCCCUGUCUACGUCUUGGAUAUGUGAGUUCUCCACUUUCCUCUUCUCAGGCUCAGAUUGCAUCAACCAGAUCGAGGAGGUAAGGGUUCUUCCUUCCUCGAGGAGGUAAGGGUUCUUCCUUCCUCUUGGAUCUGUGAGUUCUCCACUUUCCUCUUCUCAGGCUCAGAUUGCAUCAACUAGAUCGAGGAGGUUAGGGUUCUUCCUUCCUCUGAUGCGUUCUUGAUUUUGAUGGGAGAAAAGCAGGUUGGGCUCUGGGAGAAGACCACCUGCAUAUAUCAAUCAAGUUUACCAGGAGUAAUAGAUCGGUAAGGUGUGUGUGACCGUGUAUUUUUCAUUCUCCUCUGAGACCUUCAUGUGUUUUCCUUAUUAAUAGAUUUUGGACAGUCUGGUUAUAUUCUCUGUUCUGUCAGUCUGGUUAUACUAGGAGCUGGUUGUUCCUAAUAUGAUGCCCAACCAAACAUGAGUGAUUUUGCAUAAUGCUCGCCUCUCGAGCCGGCCAGCCGACGCCAGGUGAGUGCCGCCCUUCGAAUGGGCCUCACGCUGGCCACGCAGCCGUCAAGGUCCGGCCAUGCCUGCGCUAUCCCAACCAUUGUCAUGGCCGUCUCAUGCCGUAGGCCACCAUCAGGGCCUAGCCGUGCUCGGGCCCACCCUAUGCUGCUUGAGGGGGAGAAGGAAGAGAGGGGAAGGGAGGAGGAAGAGGGAGGGGGGAGAAGAAAGCUAUCUGGCAUGUGGGUCCACCGCCAUGUCAAGUAAAACAACAGUCAAAAUUAGCGAGAGAUAAAAAAUAAACGGAUUUGAAAGUUAAGGGACCGUGAAUGCCCGGUUUUAGGGUGUGUUUGGUUGCAUGCACCACAUGAUGCAUGCAUGGAUGAUCCUGGAUGGGGUGGUUCAACCAAGGUGUGUUUGGUUGGUUGUAUCAUUUGAUUCAUGUAUGUUCUAAUUCAACAGAAUCAUAUUCUACUAAGUCCAUACAAGCGAAUGGAAGGCAACACCUGUCUAUAUGUGAUGGUAAUCACAAACGCCACUUACAGCGCCUACAUGCUGACUCACCCGGUUUAACCUCGUUUGCUGUGCUNNNNNNNNNNNNNNNNNNNNNNNNNNNNNNNNNNNNNNNNNNNNNNNNNNNNNNNNNNNNNNNNNNNNNNNNNNNNNNNNNNNNNNNNNNNNNNNNNNNNUGAGCGGGACGAGGAGUACGAUGAACAGCAGGCGGAAGCUGAUGGCGCGGAUUAGGGACCUCGGGCGUCGUCAUUGACGCGGAGGAGCAACCGCCAAUUUACUUGUACCGUAUGGUUCACUCUAAUUAGUAGAAUAAUGUAUUAAGUGGGAUGGCCUCAUCCUGGAUGAGUUGGUCCAAUUCACCCAACCAAACAAAAGAUCAUUAUUAUUUUGAAUCAUUUCAUACAUGAAUCAAAUGAUACAACCAACCAAACACACUCAUACGUUUGACUAAAAUCAAACUACGGCAAUGCGCGGAUGGGCAUGCAUGAUGUUGUUGCCGGGCCAGCCCAGCAGAACCCCGUAGGCCGUAGGUGAAGGCCCAAGUGAGCGAUCCCAAAUCCCCAAUCCAAUUCCAUCCGUCCGCCGGUGGUCCUAAUCCUUUCCUGCCGGCUCGCAGCGGCGCCGGCGCUGCCGUAGUGGCGUGGGCUCGCGGUGCAGCGUCCAGUUGUGGGAGGCUGCGGAGCAGGAGCGGCGGCUGGCGACGCGGCCGCACGGCACGGCGGCGGUCUGAUGGAGGGAGAGGAGGAGCAAGAGCAACCCGUGCUCUGGGCAUGGCCGCGCCAGCGGAGAAGCUUCUGUUUCUGGAGGAGAGAGAAAGGGUGAUAAGCUUCUGAACGGAGAGAACCAAGCCGACGAUCCGGAGCUGGCACAGUCGGCACCAAACCAGAGGAGCAAGUGGCCACGCCCGGACGCCACCAUGGGCGACGAUGAGAAGAAGACAAGCAGCAGCCAUGGGAUCAAGAAUGGGGCCUGCCCGUCACUCUAUAGGACAUGCACUCUGAACUCUGAAAACCUCCCUGCUGCUCACCUGGCCCUGACUGGAGGACAUAGAUUCUGAAGAAGACUAGAUCCAUUCACUGGAUAACCACGCCAGCAGACUGCUUACAAGAACACAAGCAAAUUUAACAGCAUCCCAUUGUUAACAUUUUUCCGAAAGGAAUCCAACUGAUAAUAACAUUGAUAGAUCUCACAACACAGCGCACUGAGUUACUGAUUUUACCCUGGCCAAUCAACUCAUCAACAUAGCAUCGGUUCAAGCAUGAUCUUAUUCUAUUGCAGGUCUCUACUAGAAGUCAUCAGUUCUUCCACUGGAAGGCCACCGGGCUCCUGACUCGAUGCUUCUCGUUCUCCCAGCUGAUGUGCCCGAAGUCCCACCCUGACUUCCGGUUCCCUCCGGCUUCGUUCACGAACUCCACCGUGUAGCUCCUCGUCUCCUUGGGCUCCUUGAACUCCAGGGUCGUCGGCGUGAUGAUCACCUUCACGUGCUCCGGCGCCAUGACGGUGACAUUGUACGUCUCGGCCUCCUCGAACACCUUGGUCAGCGUCCGCGUCAGCGUGCGGAUGGCGGUGCGGUCGUCGAAGACCACGACGAAGGACGGGUAGUUGAGGUCGGCAGGGCCGCCGGCGAGCGUCCUUGUGCAUUUGACGAAGUCUGGCACGAACACGCGCAGCUGCUCCGGGGUGUAGUUGAGGGCGCACAGGAAGUCGACGUAGUCGCGCUCGCCGGCGUCGUAGACGAGGCCCGGGUCCAGCGCGAGAUUCGGGUGGACGUACCCGGCCCCGGCCACCAGUGGUGUCGCGACCCUGACGUCGUCGUGGCGGCCAACGGUAGCCCCGUUGUCGAGGAUGUCCCGGCCGCGGUCGUCGAGCGUCCAGGCGGUCGUCAUCAGCGCCGACCGUAUCAUGGCCGGCGUCCAGCUGGGGUGCUUCUUCUUGAUCAGCGCCGCGACGCCGGCGACGUGCGGGCACGACAUGGACGUCCCCGUGAUGAUGUUGUAGUCGGCUGUCCUCCCGUCUGCAACGCGGUCGUCUCCCGACACAGAUGCGUCGCCCGACCAGGCCGCAAGAAUGUUCACUCCCGGUGCGACGACAUCGGGCUUGAGGAGCUCGGGGACUAUCGGGUUGGGACCCCGCGACGAGAAACCCGCCACCACCGGCGCCGUGUUCUUGCUGAUGACCGUCUCACAGCCAAAGCUGAAGGACGCCACCGGGUUGGGCUCCGACGCCAUGUAUGCCCUGAGCUUCUCGCCGGCGGUGUAGCUGAGCGUGAGACCCGGAAGGGUGAAGGGAUAGGCCGUGCUCCCAUCUCGAGACCACUCGGCAGGAUCCACAUCAACUAUCCCUGCUCCACCAGCGUGCUGCAAGUGUAUGGCAUGCGCGACGGUUCCUCCGCCCAUGCACACCAUGAUUUUUCCCAUUACCUUGUCGGGCGUCCAGCUCGGCCACUUUCUGUGGCAGUCCGCGGAGACUACUAGCUGGAUCAUGCCGGUGCCCUUGGCCUGCAUGGUAUAAAGGGACUGCCCGGCGAGCACGACCCCGUUCCCAAGCGUGAGGUUCGCCGGGAAUUGCCGGUCCACGGUGGCGGCGCCGACGGUGGUCAUCCACGGCGCCAAGUUGAGCACCGUAGAUGCCGUCGGGCCGGCGUUUCCGGCCGAGACGGCCGCGAAGAUACCUUGGCGCUCGGCACCGAACAUGGCGAUCGCGAUGACGUCGUCGUGGAAGGGUAGGGGACGGUCUCCGAUGGACAUGGAAAUGAUGUCGACGCCGUCCUUCACCGCAGCGUCCACUGCCGCUACGAUGUCCGCAUUAUUGCAGUUAUCACCUUCGUGGUCAUCGUCACACGCCUUGUACAUGGCGAUCCUCGCCUUGGGCGCCAUGCCCCGCGCGGUCCCUCGCGAGAACAUGUAGAGGCCGGCGUCGGGGACCUCGGUGCCGGCGGCCGUCGAGGCCACGUGCGUGCCGUGUCCGUUCUUGUCCCUCGGGGACGGGACGGUGCCGCAGCUCGUGCUCCCUGCCAUCGCCUUCGCGGCGGCGUCGAAGGCCUUGGCGCCGACCAGCUUGUUGUUGCACAGGCUGGCGUCGAAGUCGUGGGCGUCGACGCACUUGCCCUUCCAGCUCGACCGGACGGGGCUGAGCCCGCUGUCGUUGAAGCUUGAGCUCUCGGGCCAUAUGCCGGAGUCGAUGAAGCCGAUGAUGACGCCGUCGCCGAAGCUUGUCUCGUUCCAGGCGCCGUUCCUCGGGUCGAGGCCGAUGAAUCCCGGGGAUCUCGUGGUGUGGAGGUUGAGCAGUCUGUCCUUGUACACGCCGGCGACGCCGGGCGCGCCGGACAUGCGCCGGGCCUCGUCGUCGGUGAGCUGGACGGCGAAGCCGUGCAUGACGGCGUCGUAUGUGUACAAGAUGCGGCUGGCGUUGACGGGCCGGGGUGAGUGGGUGUCCACCAUGGAAUGGUACCAGUGCUCGAGGGAGGCGAAGUGGGGCGGCUUGGCGAGGUGGUUGGCAUGGACGAUGUAGGUGUUCGACGCCUGACGCUUGAGCUCAGGCCGGCUGUUGAUCUCUGGGACGAGGGCUGAGUUGGUGAACUGCGCCAGGAAGAGGAACAUGACUAAGUGGUGCAAGAGCCAGGUCAUGGUGGACGCCAUUGCUGAUUGGAAGAGUGAUCAAGUUCGGUGGUGGGUGAAGGACAGGGCUUGAUAUAGGCGUUGAGCCCAGUUCAUGUGUCACCCUGGAAACCUGCUACACACACAGGACAGUGGUUUCAAACUGGUGUUGUUGUAGCCCUGUAGGUCAUGGUGGUCUGUAGACUGAAACUAGGAAAAAAUUUCGCUGGCUAACAAGUAGUUCGUGAUAUUUGGAAAAGUAAUCCCCACGCGGAGCGACGAGAAGGAAAUGCUUAGGACUAACCAAAACAUGGAGCUAUCUCGAUUUGGUAUACAAGAUAGCUCAAUGUAACUGUACGAAUUUGAAUUUAUCGUGCCACCAAGUUCAUAAAUGGCAGCGCUGAUAGUGAAUAUGGACUCUGAAGCAAUCUUUAUUCAGAAAAGAUUAACUCUGAAGCAAUAGGAUGCUCCUAGAAAGGUUAGACAACGUUUCUCCUUUAGCUUCUCUUUCAACCAUCAGCAUUUUGAUCAUAUUCUGCCAUUCUGAGGAUGAGAUUACAUGAUAAACCUUUUUCAACGAAAAUUCCAGGCUCCUUCCAUUUCAGAUUAGGAAUGGAUAGAAAUAAACAUCGAGUGCUCAGCCACUUUGCAAAUUCACAGUACCAUUUGUCCAGAAUGAGAGUGCAUGUGCAUCCACUAUUCCUAUCCGGACCAGAAAAUUCUCUGGUUCCAUCAAAUCCAGUUCCACCAGACAAAGCGCAAUGUAAGAAAAAUGGUGAUCAGUUGUGUUUCUUCCCAUAUAUGUAUCGAUUCGAUGAUGACAACAGUUGCUCGCAUCCGACUCCUUGAAUAACAGAAAUAGAGUACAUGACAGCUCUGAACCGCUUCAGCCAGUUAUAAUGAAAUACAAUCCUAUAAAAACAAUCAGGAAUGGAUUCACAUUCAAGCUAUAUACAGCUUCCAUUUCCCAAUGACACGACCAAUAAAAACUUUUUUGCUCCUAUGAUACUUUUAGUCCACGAUUUGUUGCAUGCGCUCGAGGGUUGCAAUACACGAGUUUGCCUAAUACAAACCUGUGCCUGACGCACUCACCUUAAGAAAUAGAUUGCAUCGAAUACAAGAUUGGCAUACCACUGAAUGCAACUUGCAAAUGCAACAGUUUCUCAGUCAUACAGAUCAGCCGAUGAGGUUAGCAGUUAUCUUAUAAGAGUAAUAAUUUCCCUCCUUUUUUUCUGGUUUGUUCUGAAACAAAGUCCAACAGAUAGCAUAUUCUUUUCUUUAGACUACAUACAACUCAUGGUAUCCUAGAUUUGACGCCACCUGACAAUGAAACUAUCUUCUGGAGAACUUUGACAGGAGAUAGACAACCAAGAAGCAAAACAGAGCGAAGAGGACGACAUGGAGAACAUGAUUUGAACCCUGCUGGAUGAUGCUCUUGUUCAGCCUUCGCAUGUUAUUCUUCACUCCUGCCUGAGCUUUUGCAAGGGUCAUUUGCUGUACAUGCACAGGAGAUAACAAAAGUCAGAGCGUAUCCAGGUUAUAGAUUGUGAGAGAGAAUAGGAAACAUUAGCUGUUCCUAAAGGUGAUGCUUUUAUGUUACAUCUGGGGCCUUAACAACCGAAAUGCAGCUAUACGCAACACAUCAAUCCAAUAUUUUACCGUUUCCUAGAGUUCAUCCAAGGGGCCUACAAGUAACAAUUUCAUGCAGAAGUACACAAUACCUGACCUCAAGUGUAGAUACAAAUAUAGAAAAUGAUAGAGGGAAAGAAACGUUCUGGGAAAUAUCAUGACAAGGACUAUAAGUGGAGGUGGUAAGAUUGAACAGACACCUAUAUCAGAUGAGAAAGGGAAAAUGAACAAUUGCGCACACCCUAAUAAGGACAACCAAGAGGAUGCCAAGAUAUAAUCCCAGUAGCCACAGUAAAUGCAACUAAGAAAUUGCAGGAACAUACCAAUUGGUUAAGGAAAUCAUUCUGGAAUUUGGCUUCAGAAUUUAUCUCCUGGGCCACCUGGAGAAACAAUAACAAAUAGCAAAAGUUAAAGACUUGGAUCGCGGAAUGAGAACAAACUACGACAAUCAGCAGCUUUCAAGAAUCUAAACAACACCUUAUAACAACGAUAGCAAAAAUGAGCAAUUGCUACUUGAAGUUUUUCCUUCAUUUGCUAAAACAUUUGAUAUAAGAACUACAUCCAGUGUAUUUGAAAUAUACUAAGGUUGGCUCUACAAUAAUACAAAAAAACAGCCAUCGACUAGCUAGAUCUGUGAUAGAGCUUGCAGCAUCAAGGCCUAAGUCAAUGGGGCCACAUCAACAUGAAAGGUCAAUGAAAUCAAUGAAUACUCACAGUAGGAGGUAAAUGAAAUAAAAUAUCAACAAGACAGCUAAUCAUAGAAAAUCUAAUGAUGAGCCAGGAGCAACGGGUAAUAUAAAUAUCCUGAAUUUCUGAUUCAGAGAUGGAAUCCUACAAUGAAACCAUGGCACAUAAUGAGGCAUAAAAAUAUUCAAAGUACAUCAUUAAUCUUAACAUACACUAAUUCAUAUAUUGUAUUUCCAAACACCCAAGAUCACAUCAGUUAUCAAAAAAAUACCUAACCCACUAUAACACCAUGCCACUGUAUAAAAUAACUAGAUGCCCGUUUGGAACAUGGAAAUUAGUUUCAUAUCCUGUUGGAAUUGAAUAGUUUCCAGUAAUAUUCCUGCAAAAUUAUCAUGAAAUUCUUGUGUUCAGGACAGCCAAGAUGUUUGAAAUCUAAGGAACCGGUGUUUGAAACCUUGCUAGCAACUAAUAUCUCCUUUGUUCGAAAACCUGGUGGUAACAGGCUGUUACAUUGGGAACCAGAAAUCUAAUUGGAUGCCAGGAGCACUGUAGGUCCCAGUGAGUGUGUUAUUUUGAGCUGCUUUAGCUUGCUUGCCUUGGUUUACCUCUAGAUGGUAGUAGUAGAAUCAGUUCAGGCUUGAUGCAUGUUUGACAGAAAAUAAAAGGUGAGGGAAUGGGUUGUGACUGGCCAAAAAAUGCCCAAUUCCAUGAAAUUCAUAUCAACUUGUUUUUAAAACCUUGGUAGCAACUUAUACCAAAGCCGCAGUUUGUUAUUCACCUGACAUGGUUCCAAAUCUAGUUCCACCCACUCCCAAAUGCUCUAGGUUUAAAGACAAUGGAACAAAAGUUAGCUGGACUAGCAAGCUGCAGCACCACCAUGCGCUAAAUCACGAAUCAAACUACAUGUUAAAACAAAAUCGAGCAACUACGAAAUACACUUAGCAUCACCACAUGAAAAAUCAGCGUCGCGUGUGUAACUGCACACCCAACCAAUUGGUUUUCUAGCUUCGGAGUCGCGGUUCCAAGGAACCCCCUCAAUUGAGCACACCAAGGCGGGAUGGGAGAUCAAUCCUUACCCCUUUGAGCAUGCGGACCCUGGAGUGCAGCCCGUCGAUCUCCUCGUCGAGGUCCCCGUGCACCGGGUCGAUCCGCAGCUGGAUCUCGUCCGAGCUCGCCGCGUUCCUGCAAACUCCCCACCCCGAGCGCCCAAAAUUUCAUAACCGGUUCUGAUCCAAUUUCUCGGGGCACAGAGGAUCCGCGAACAGAUGCCGCGGAGGUGGUACGGUAGGGUUUACCUGGAUCGGAGCGGGCCGGAGCCGUACAUCGGGUGCGCCAUCACCUCCGCCGGCGCGCGAGGGCUGACGGAGUCCGGGCCUGGAUUGGAUCGGCGAGGGAUCCGUUGACGCAAAUCUACAGGGCCAACGAAAAGCACUCAGAACGUAUGGCGUGCGGAGGGCUCCUGCCGCUCCUCUGGCCGGUCAGACCGGUUUCGUCGGGAGCCCGGCGAAGAUACGAGGAACGGCUGCUCGGGAGGGAUCCGUCAGGGCAAACGUACCUUGAGUUGAUCAGCAGGCAGAUUUUUCUUCAAUGAUCGGCUUUCCUGUGUCUAAUGUCAAAUCGAAAUUAUUAGCACCGCCUCGUGACACGGAGACACGGGAAGAACAACAUAUGGUUGGAAAAUUAGAGUAAAGAGAAAGAAAGGUAAAAAGAUAAAAGUAUAAUUGAUAAAUUCGAUUAGGAUGUCCUUAAUUGGGCGUGAGGGAGGGCUUAUAGGAGUUGAAAUCAUAACAAAUCCUGUUUUAAAAUACAACUCCUAACUCGGACUACACAGACCAGACCGAUCUGACCGCCUUAAGAAACAUCGGUUUUCUUAAGUGUAGAUUUUUCCGAAGUUAUAACUCUCUCAUUCGAAUUUCAAAUCGGACGUUCUACGUAUGCAUUUUGAUCUACUCGACGAGAGCUACACAAUGGUGAAUCCAAUUUGCAUUUUUGAGGACCUUGUUCCAACCGGUCUGACCGGUGGGGAGACCGGUUCAGAGACAUAAUCGUCCAGCUUUGCCAAUUUUGACCUCAAACACAUGCCCCCUGUUUUAUGGCAAAGCUUGUGUGCUAGAAAACAUUCUCAAUAAUCAAAAUUGUCUAAAUACGAUGAUAAACAAUACAUCGCCCAUAUGAUGGUUUCUUUAUGGAUGCUAAUGUAGCUAAAACAAAAUCCUAGUAGCAACUAUAACACGUAUGAAACUACUAUUUCAGCUUUUGGGAAUCUCAUAUCUAAUAGUAAAAAUCUUGAUCUGGCCAUGGCGGCCAAUUAUGGCUCCUUAGUAAAUUAUAAGCAUAAUAUUGAUAAUCAUAAAGCGAGAACCAAGGAUUAUAUCAAAACCACAAACUGUAAUAUAUACCUAAAUAUGCAUUCCAUGGCGCAUGCAUUGACGGGAUAAAUGAUGAAGACCAAUAUGAUGACCGUUGAUGCUUUUUUGCUCUUGGUGAUGAAAAAUUCCUCCUUUGAUUGCUCUCAAGCCGAUUGUUUUGAUUUUGGGCGGCUAUCUUUUGAUAUUUAUGUAACGGAUCUUCAAAGGUUGGCUUAUUCCUUAUCACCAUGUUGUUUGUUCUGAAUAUUUCAAUUUUACUAGAAUUCCUAGCAAAACCGAUUGGACCGGCUUUCUCAAAACCAAUCACUUUGAUACCAUCUUGGCCCCCAGCCGAACUUAGUUUUUGUUUAGCUAUAUUAUCUGAAGCAUGCUCAUCAUUAGGGACAAUUUGAUCAACGGAACUAGCCGAUUUUUCUUCAAUGGUCGGUUUUUCUGUGUCUAGUAUCAAAUCUGAAUUUUUGUUCAAUCUGUCAUCAUUUUUGACACAAUAGACUUGCUUGAUCACCUUAUGCUUAUUUUUCUACAUGGACCGAUCCUUUUGAUCAAAACGAUCAUUAUAUAUAUAUAUAUAUAUAUAUAUAUAUAUAUAUAUAUAUAUAUAUAUAUAUAUAUAGAGGUGGUGGCUCAUUAAUUACCGGCUCCCUAUAAGUAAUGUAAUCUGGAAGGAAAGAUCUAGGAGAAGACGACAUACACGAAUUAUAAGACCAUGGAGGACAAGAAUAAUGCAGAUUAAAAUAAGCUUCCCAUGGUACAUGUAAAGGUGAUCCAUACAAUGGAAACGACAUUGAUAUGUGAGAAUUACUCCAUUACCGAUUUUGAUCAUGAAACUUCUAUUUUGGAAUAGAUUUUGAAUGUUUGGAAUUUAUAGGCUGACUAGCAUUAUUGACAUAUUUUUGUCUUUCGGACUUAGCUGGAAGCUUUGUAUCGCGCUUCAACUCUUCCAUUUGACGCUUGCUACUGCCUUUGGAUCCAACUGUUUUCCAAACACCAAUCUCAGAUUUCUUGGGUUUAAGCAUCUUUGGUUUUGAUCUAUUUUACGAAACCCUAGAAGAAGCAGUUAGACCGGUUUGCAAACCGGUCAGACCGAUUAUGGCAAAACUGGCACAUUCGCCUUUGUUUUGUUGCAACUUGAGUGUGGAAGUACUAGACACAAUUUCUAUGCUCUUGCUAGGGGGUGCUGAGUCAACAAUUUCGACUGAGUCAGCACUAGUACUAAUAUUAUCCGAUUUUUCCAUUAGUUUACUUUCUCCUAAAGCCGAAUUAUCAAUAAUGGGAUUUGUUAAACCCUCUUUUCUAACAAGACUAGUCGGCUGUUUGCAAUCAAUAGCGGCCUUUUGUACCAUUAACUUGAGCUCUUUACGCAAUUCAACAAAUAUAUCACGAAUUUCAGAUACAUCUUUUUCAUCAAAGAUGAUUUUAGUAAUUUUUUCAUGUGAAUUCAUUGUACAAUUGGAGUGAGAUUCAACCGAACUCACUAGAUUGUUCACCGGCAUAUAAGUUUGUUGGGAUGCUAAUGUAUGAGAGUAUAUAGACGUACUCUGCAUGUUGCUAGUAUCAUGGAAACUUAGAGGUAUACAUUUUAUUUUGCAUAGGCUUUUGUAUGUGAUUUUCAGAAGCAUAAUUUGGAUAUCUAGAAUAAAAAUCUAAAUAAUUGCUAGCCGAUGCAAUAUUUCCUCAAAAGGUCUUGCAGCACAAACAUAAGGAUGCAUUGUAACCACAAGAUUAAAAUUAAGAGUCUGCACUCACUUGAAGAUUGCAAAUCCUUGAUGACGAUCUCAUUCCCUAGCGGAGUCAUCAAAAUGUAUUGACGCAAAUCUAGGGCCAACACAUGAAAAGCACUCGAACGUGCGGCAUAUGAAGGGGCUCCUUGCUGCUCCUCGGCAUAGGCCGGUCAGAUCGGUAUGAUGGCCGGUCAAACCUUUCACUGUGGAGCCCGACGGAGAUCCAACGAACGCCCGCCCGGGAGGGAUCAUGUCGGGCAGGCGCACCUUGGAUUACCCUAGGCUCGGCAGGCUAGCUAGGGCACUUGCUCAUGCCAUGGAGACAAGAGAAGAACAACACAUGGGGUUGGAAAAGUAGGGUAAAGAGGAAGAAAGAUAAAAAGAUAAAAGUAUUGUUGAUAGAUUCGAUUGGGAUACCCUCAAUCGGUCAUGACUCUUUAUAUUUAUAGGGUGGGAAGGUCUUGCCCUACCGGGAGUCGAAACCCUAACAAAUCCUGUGUCAAAAUACAACUCGUAACUCGGACUAUACGGACCAAACCGGUCUGACCACCCUGGGAAACCAGCAUGACUGAUUUUUGUGGGUGCAGAUCUUUCCGAUGUCAUAACUCUCUCGUUCGAAUUCCAAAUCGGACGUUCUAUAUUUGCAUUUUGAUCUACUCGAGAGCUACAAAAUGGUGAGGUCCAAUUUGCAUUUUGAGGACUUUGGUCCAACCGAUCUGACCGGUGGGGAGACCAGUUCAGAGACGUGAUUGUCCAGCUCUGCCAAUUUUGACCUGAACAAGAUUGUGGUGCGGCGGGGCACGCGGGGUGCGGGGCUGACGAGGACGACAACAGUGGACGGAGGCACGGGAGGAAGGUGUGAAGGGGAACAGAGGAGACUGGAGAUGACUAGGAGGCGGGGAAGGGUGGAGAGCCGUGUCUCUGGCGCUGGUCCCGGAUGUCAGAGGACCUUUGCGUUUUCCUUUCCUUAACUAUUUUUUUUUCUUAUAAUUAUUGUUUCAUCGAGGGGAUUCUUGAUAUGUGAGUAGCACUGUGUAUUGAUGUACUUGUGUGUUUGGACGAUCAAGCGAUGGCGACAUACUGACAUGGAAGCAUCCAAAUAUCUAUUCCCAAGUAGGCAUCGUGGUUUUCUAUUUUUUUUUCUGUGACAAACACGGUCAUGUCAUCAUUCUUCUGCAGCCAAUCAAAACGUCGGAAAUCACCAACCUUCGCCUCUGAAUAUUCCUGCAGCAUUAUCUUUCUCUGCAAGAGCUGCAAAGUGGAUUUCCACGCGUAUACUUGUUCGUUGUCUUGUCUCCGACAAACGAUCGCCUUCAGCAGGAUACCCUGGAGAUCUAAGAUUCUUAACAAGCGAAGAAGAUGACGCGGGGAGAGAGCAAAUUCCCAGCUUGGUCAACCAUAAGCAGCAAACGGCGGCAUGAAAUUGGCACGCUACAAUACAGCUGCUCAGUGCUCACAUGCUCCACCCAACCCAUUUCCAUCGUUCUUUUUUUUUUCCGAACCAUUGGCAAGCAUCACUCGGUCAUCGUAGUUUUUCAGAAAAAAAAAACUCAGUCAUCGAGAGCCCCCCGCCUUGCAGAUGCAAGUAAACAUGGCACGCAAGCCGCAAGGGCGCAAAGGCAUGCAGCUGCCCGCCCGCUGGCCUCUGCGGCCGAAAGCACGCCGUCCAUGCGUCGUCUCCGGCCGGCCCAGCUGCUUGGUUGGUUCCGAGGUCCAUGGGAUGGGAUGGGGAUGGCUGACGUGUGGUGGGGGCCCAUACCAUCCACUGUUUUUUUGAUUGCUGACGAUCUAUCACACGAUGGUCGCGUGCAUGCGCCAUCCUUCUGCAUGCAAACCCAAUCAGCCUGCCUCGGCGAUUAUCUCCGCAAUACCAUUCCACGGUGGGAAAAAAAGGGGAGAGGUAAUUCGGGUAGCAUUAUCUUAUCGGCAACAGCUCCAUGUUGUCUCCACUGACUUUGUGGCCGGACCCAGCCACCACGAAUUCACGAUUGGAUAUGCAGCGGGGCAGGAGUCAGCCUGUUCGUUUCAGCUUAUUCAGUUGGUUUAUCAGUCACCAAACAGUAUUUUCCUCUUACAUCAAACCAAUCAUUUUAACUUUUCAGCCGUCACAGCACCGCCCCAGAUUCGUGAACGAAACCGUACGCUGCAGCCUGCAGCAGCACGCGUUGCACGCCACCUGUCCCCACCCAUCCCACCCACGCGUUCGCUCACCGGUCACCACCUUGCAUCGUUCGGUUCCCACGGGACGGACCGGCAGCUCGGCACGCCGGCCGCCGGCCGCCGACGGAGGAGGAGCUGCGCAUGCUGCAACCGCCGGUCCGUCCGCUGCACGCGUCUGCCAGAUGCCGGCGCCCGCGACCCCCGCCACCGUCCGGCUCCGGACCCCGCCGCACGCCCCGACCCCGUCGCCUUCCCGGUCUCCGAUAUCCAUCCACGGAUCCACCGGUGCAGAGGGGCCAGUGGAAGAGCCCCACACCGGCUGGCGGCCGUGACGUGACGCGCGGCGCCAGCGCCACCAGGGCGUCGUCAUCAAUUAAUAAAAAAUGAUUCCAUAUCUUUUCGUCGUCUCCUAGUCCUACCGGGCCCCACCACCCGAGUGGGCAGAAUCUCCAUUCCCCGCUCACCUGACAACGUUGUCUCGGUGGUGCGCUAGGCGCGCGGCGCGCCCCGAUACAAUUCUUUUCUUCUCCGCCGAGAUUGCGUCCGCGCUUCCGCUUCCUCCAUAAAGUCCAGCACCUCCUCCUGCUGCCUGCCGUCCACGCGACGCUCCUCGGGCCCGUCGCCUUCCAUCGACCCGGAAAUCGACCCACCCUCUCUGACCCGAGCCGGAGAUAGUUGCGGCGGGGUUCCUUCUUUUCAGAAAGUUCCGAGCCCAAGACUCCAGGAGCCGCGCGGCGCGAGCGAGCGGAGAGGCCCUCGCUGCUGCUGCAGUCUGCAGGUGAGCUCCGGUGGCCUUUCCUCUGCCUCUGCUGGGUUUGGUCUCCGAGGGUUCUUGGGGACGGCAGUGCCUGGGUUACUUUCACGCUUUCACCGCAGCCUCUGGUUCAUUGCCAUGGGAUUUGAGGUUGCGGUUGUCUCUCGGGAACAUGGGAUUCGAUCUUCCGUUCUUUUGCCAUGGGGGUGCAAGAUAUCUCGGGGAAUAUUUCUUAGCGCGACUUGGAAUUAGGAUGUGUGCGAUUUCCUUUCAUCUGCAGGCGGUUCGUGUGGACUACACGACCAGGACUGCUAGAAAUUCUAUCAUUUUCGCAAGUCUUCAAUACAGUCUCGUUCUGUUUCACUCACUUUUGAUUUUAGAAUUCGAACUCCGCAGUAAGUUCUUGCGGACCUGGCCCUGGGGCUGCUCAAAGAACGAUCUUUUGAGGGAACUUCUGGUGCAGUGCAAUUGCUGUCUAAAUGUUUGUUGCGAUUUGCAGAAGUUUGGGCACGCCGGAUGUGUGGGCGUGAAUCUGUUACAACCGAAAAUCCUUGUUCGGGUAUGGGAAAGGUGGGAUCGGAGGUGGCUCAUAAAUCUGUGGAUUAUAGUAGGAGGGCUGGCUGGCUAGUGGAGAUGCGAAUAUAUCUCUUCUCGGUCGAUUCAUUUCUUAACUUUGGCGCACUGAAAAAUCGAUGUGCCCCUAUGUAGACUGGUUGACCUUUCGCAACGCAUGUACUUCUCAUAACUGCAAUCACUAUGGUCACGUCCAUGUCUCGUAUUUAUUGCAGGGCAAUACUAGUACAUUACAUGUCAGAAUCAGUCAUGCAAGUGAAACAUGGAUCUGGUUCUGUCACUGUAGCCAUCGUUUAAAAGUUCACAACUUAUAAUCAUGCGAUCAGCAUGCUGUCACUUGGUUAAUCCAAAGAUAUGCCUGAUGAACUAAAACUUGGGUUUUAUGCUGAAAUUUUGCAUCACAAAACUCAUGAAUGACAUGCAACAUUUCAAGUGUUUAUGAAACUUCUAGAUAGCACCUUUGCAGUACUAUUCUUUUUUUUUUCCUGAAGUUGUGAGGGAGACUUUGUGCUAGUCAGGUACUGGUAAGUGAUAACUGAAGGUAACAUGAUUGCCAUUGUGGUGCAGGUGAUACUUUUAUAGUCUUUGCUACCUUCAAACAAUGGUUAAUAUGAGGGACAACGAAUCAUCAUAUGAAGCGCAAAUGGAGGAGCCAUUAGGGAGGGUGCGGAUACUUUCUUAUGGUUCUGGGCAUAUGCUUAAUGAUAUCACAUCGUCUUGUUGGUUUACCUACCUGCUUGUGUUCUUGACUGAAAUGGGACUUAGUCCACGGUAUGUGCUUUCUGGGUUGCAUCCCCUUUUCUCCUAUUCUAAUAUAUGAAUAUAUUUUGUUUCUAGUAUGUUGCUCGAUCAUGUUAAACUGGAGGUCUUUAUGAAAUCGCGUUAGCUUUAGUCGAACUCUUUAUCCACUCUACUUAAAGUGGAAUUUUAUGCUGCUAUGAAUUAGCAAUUUCAUGUUUAAUUUCAAGUUGUCUUUGACGUGACGCAGAAAUUAUCUUACUGCAAUAUAACCAAACGUCCUUUCGAAAAAUAUAUAAUCUAAAACUUUAAGUGUAAGUAUGUCACUGGUGUUAACAAUGUUAAAAAUUUGGCAAAUAUGGCUUUACCAUGUUCAAAUACUAAUGAGGCUAUAACAGAAAUGUUAGUUGCUAGGGAAAUGCCAGCUACUCCCUAGGUCCCAAAUUACUAUUUGUUUUGGCUUUUCUAGAUGCAUAACUUUUGCUAUGUAUCUAGACAUAAUAUAUAUCUAGGUGCAUAACAAAAGCUAUGUACCUAGAAAAGCCAAAACGAAUAGUAAUUUGGGACGGAGGGAGUACUUUUUUUAAAGCCAACAAAUUUUCUAAUCAAUGACAUGUUGUAGUCUGCCUAAAAAAUUGGAUUGUUGGAUCAGAUCAUAUGUUCGUUCAUCCAGGUUAUGGGAAAUACUGAGAUGCUGAAAGCUUGUAAGUAAAAGCUUCAGGAUUACUUCAGACACUUUACUUUAUAAUUCACCUUUGCAGCGAUGCUGCUGUUGUCAUGCUUUCUGGACAAUUGGCGGAUGGAUUCACAACAAUCUUUGUCGGGGAACUGGUAUGAGCCAAGAAAUAACAUGAUCCAUCUAUUAAAAAGUUCAAUACAAUAACAAUUUAUUUGAUUUUCUUAUCUUUUUAAUCAAUAUGAGAUAAUUUUCUUUAGCAUCUGUUGUGUAUAAUUCUGGUGAAGAUAUAUAAACAUACUGCUUCUGUUCCAGAUGGACCGUUUUGGGCAUUUCAAACUGUGGCAUGCGGGAGGAUCUAUUUUAGUGGCAAUUUCCUUCUCAUCUGUUUUCGGUAGCUGUGUCCCUUGCAAACUUAUGGGGACUAAUUCAUCUACUUUGGAGACUGUUGGAUACAGCACAUUUGCCUCUAUCUUUAAUGUUGGUUGGGCAGUUACUCAAGUCGCUCACAUGUAAUUGUUCCUUUAUUUCAUUACUUUCCCUAUGUUUAUGUCUAUGGUUUCAGCAUUUUAUUUUUUCAAAAGGGUGGCAAAAGGUUUCAAUGUUUCAUUUGCGGGUGUCUUUUUCAUAUUUAUAAGGUCAAUGGUGAACUGCAUGACAUCAAGUCCAACUAGCCGGGUUUCACUUGUAAGCUGUCGUAAUGCCUUCACAAUGGUUAGAAUACUCUACCCUAAUAUUUAUUCUGUUAUGUCCAAAUGAAAAAGUAAUUGAAUCUGAUGUGCUCUUCCAUGCUUUUGCUAGGUUGCAAAUCUUAGCCUGUAUGGCAUUGCUUUGCUGAUAUUUACUCUAUUGCAUUCAGUGAGCGUAAUAGUUCAGGUACUCUCUUUGUAUUAAGUAAUAUGUUUAGUAUGUGCCUUAUAUUCUGGAUAUUCAUUAUAAUUUGUUAAUACUUUUGACAGUACCGGUGGAUUGCUUAUGUGUCCAUUUCCAUCGGAUCUUGUUUUGUUGUCAUCUUCUUAGUUGGAACUAAGGAGCCAGGGUAAGAUGGAUACCUUCAUACUAAUAUUCUUUUGAAAGAGUUAUCUUUUUCUAUUUUGAAUAAAACAUUUUAUCUUUAGGUCAAUUCAGCACCCUAUGGAUAAGAACCUUUCCAGAAUUUCAUGGGCCUACUGGUUCAAGAGAGUAUUAUACUACCAAGUUGCUCUUGUCUAUACUCUGACUAGAUUGGUGACCAAUGUCUCACAGGUAUCUAGUAAUCUCUUCAUAUUUGAUACAGGACUGAAAUUACCUUUUCUUUGGGAACUUCUAAAGGCAUUUAUACUGUUCAUUCUAUUUACACUGGUGAAUUUUAUUUUUGAAUAUACAACUUAUGCUUGGAACUUCAACAAGAUGACCAGUCAGUGAUAAUGUUCCGUUUGUUUUAACAGGCAUUUCUUGCUUUUUAUGUGAUAUAUGAUUUAGAAAUGCCUCAGUCCUCCAAAGCAUUGGUAAGGUCCAACCUCAGCCUUGUUUAUUUUUUAAGAUUUAUUUCUGACUCUUGCAUUUAGUUUGUCUAUUUUUUUAUUAUAUCUUUGGGAAAGUGUACUCAUCCAAUGACAUGCUAUUGUAGAAAUUUUAAACGAUUAAACAAGCAAGUGAUAUAGUAUAUUCUCUUGAACUUAUUAUCAAUGUUGUAAGAGGUGCAAAACUCUUGAAUGUGUGAAAGCUGCUGAAUUUCAGUUUGUUUUCUGAAAUUAAUCUGCUUUCUGUUAACUCCAGCACUUCUGAUGAUCAGUCUAGAUAGUCCGAUGGUUCAUAGUCAAAAUAAUCUGAACACUGAAAUAUAUGUUAAAUAAUAAUUAUUUUUUCUUCUUCUGGUAGCUAAGAUACCAUCACCAAUUUUUCGUAACUUUUACUCCAUAUGUUAUAUCAGUUAACAUGAUGAAGUGUGUUGGCAGUGGCGGAUUUCCAUCUAGGUUCGUGGCCCUAGUCUUGGGCUCUUAGCCCAGUUGCGCCUUGGACUCCCUUCUGUUUUUUUUAUUUUUUAUGUAGUCCAGCCCAAUCAUGGAGCAAUACCAUUGUGCGGCCCUAGUCGCUUGACCAGCACAGCUCCGCCCCUGUGUGUCGGCUUGUAAUAUGUGUGCCCCUUGGACUAAUUAUUUCACAUUUUCCUUCUUCAGGUUCCUGCUAUUAUUUACGUCUGCAGUUUGAUAGUAUCUGUAAUAUUACAGGUCAGACUGUUUUUAAUGUCUACUUUUUUCUAAUGUAGUACUUUGUUACUCAACUCAUUGGACUUUUGAAACGUUUAUAGGAGACUAGAUGGUCAAGUUGGCGUCUCAAGCUUUACUUUUCAGCUGGAGCGGUGCUUUGGAUAUUGUCAGGUCUUGGAAUUGUUCUUCUACCAAGCAGAUUGAACAACGUCAUGUAUGCCAUUUCAAUCGUAAUAGGAGCUGCCAAUGCACUUAUGACAGUAAGUACGAUGUUACAUUGGUUAAUAUUUAAUACCUGUACUGCAAAGAGAUGAUACAACUUUAGGAAAAAGUAGUUAGUGUUAUACUAUGUAGCUAAUUCAAUAAGAUGUACAAUUAAAGAAAAACAUGCAAGAGGAUAUAUUACCAAUUAAUCAUGCCAUGGUGUAUGCUGUCAUUCUGGCCCAUGUACCUAGUUCCUAGUUGUUAGCUGGGUAAUGUAUCUGGUAUGCUGGUUUGUAUUUAAUUCCUGACCUUUACUGCUAUUUGGUUUAGUAAAUGUAUCCUUGUUGAUCAGUUAUGGUAAAAGGGAGUAGAGAAAAACAACUUAAAUAUGUGCUUAUGCUAUCCUGCAUAUUUUCAGCUGAAAAUUUCCCACACAUAAUUUUGAUCGUGUGGGAGUUUACUUCCAUCAUUUUUACCUUUCCUUUUCUUUCCUUGGUACCAGGUGACAAGUAUUAGCAUGGAAGGUGUUUUAGUAGGAGAAGAUCUAAACGGUUGUGCUUUUGUGUAUGGCUCAUUAAGUUUUGUUGACAAAAUUUCAUGUGGAAUAGCCCUAUAUAUACUCGAGUCCUAUCAAGGUAAUAGCUGUAACUGUCUUAGUGCUGGUACAUCAACAUAAGCACUGACUUAGUAAUCUUUCAGUUAAAAUUUUAUGAGGUUGGGAUUUUGCAUGCAGGAAAUACCCAUAUCACACCAAAUGUAGGGACAGCAUUUGGCUAUUCAGUUACAAGACUUGGCUUGGGCUUAGUUCCAGCUGCCUGUUCACUGCUUUCAGCGAUAGUAGCUUAUACCAUGGACCUCCCUGAUACUCGGCGAAGACCUUUGGUGGAGCCCCUUCUAGCAUGAUUUUGCUGGUGGCACUGCUACAGUUUGACUGUCAACAUUUGGUCAUCAGUAAUAGACACAUGGUUACGCGAUGGAAUGACUCUAGUGCUGGAGCCUGAAGCUACUAAUGAUAUUGUAGGGCAAAGGAUGGAAGGAGCAAUCGGAUGCUUGGUCAAUUCAUUUCCACUUAUGUAUAUUCUGAAUAAAUUGAUUGUGAAUGUAUUCAGCGACGCGUUGAGUACGGAUUAGAAGUAGCAGCAAUAGGAACAGGAAGACUUCUUUUGAUCAUACUGAACUGUACAGAUCAUUCCACGAUCCAUUGUAAUGCAACUUAUCUUCAUUGUUCAGCAACUAAACUGCCACAUAGGCAUAUAUUGCUCAUUGCUGAGCGGAAAGAAUGUUUACUCUAGUUCUUGUUUUAUAGGACUGUAAUUUCGUUGUGAUCGCAGAAUAUACAAUGUACAUAUAACGGAUGAAACAAUGUCACCUAUGGUCAUGUAAAAUUAUUUCUGAUAUUCAGGAGGCAAGCUAUCAGUUCAUCAUUGAUACAUACAUGGUAUGAAAGCUAACUGGCCUCUUUCUAGUGGUUUGAUGAACAUGAAAUUCAUCAAGGAACAUGUCCUGAUGUCCACUUGUCAUCUAUCACCUUCCAACCCUAUUACAUUCAAACGCAGGUCUUGUACAAUUGGGAGAAAGUUCCAAACUCUCACCUGGUUUUGCGCUGAUUCCUUCGCCAGUUCCAGCUGAAAAUAACUCUUGUCCAAGUGCUGAAUAAUAGCAGCUGCAGUUCAUUUUUAAGGAUUUCUUUCUCCGAUGGCAAUAUAAUAAAGGUAUGUACAACGCGGCACUUGUUGCAACUUCGAAGCUUCCGCUACACGCUUUGCUUCUAAAUGUAGAUACCUUUUUUUACAUCAAGGAAAGAUGGAGAACACUGCUACACGUUUUGCACUAGUUGAGAACACUGCUACCUUGCCUAUUGCACUAGGAUUACUGAAGUGUCACUUAGGAGUUAUGAUACUAACAUUGUACCAUAAGUUCAUCUACACCAUUGCAAAUUAAUUCUUCAGUACACUUGGUACUUAUCCACGGAUCUUUAUGACCGCGAAACUGUUACGAUUACAAUUUACAAGUCACAUUCAGAAGUGUGCCAAUCUUGCAUUGUACAACCUGUUUUGUAAGGUUUGUCCUACACAAACACUCUUCUUGGCUGUUUUUGCGUGUUGCAGCACUCACGAGCAUAUGCAGCGAGUUGGGUGUGGAUCAAAAGUAGCAUAGGAGCAAGAAAACUUCAAUUGGUCACAUCGUUCGGAACAAUACACAGCUUUUCAGAUCCAUUUUGAAUUGUUUUCAUGUGACUGUAUUUCAUUACAAAUGGCUGAAGAAGCGAUUUUAUGUACCAUAAUUGAUUUUGAUAAUCAGGAGACAGAUGCAAGCAACUAAUUUCAGGAUUGAUUACACAGGAAGAAACCUAAAUGACCACCGUUUUUUAAUAUGUGUAAUCUCUGGUGGAACUGGGUUUGAUUGAACCAAGAGGAUAUUUGAGGCCGGACAAGUCUCGUGGAUGGCCUCUCGUCUGAAUACAUGGUGCUGUCAAUUUGGGAGGUGGCCGUUAAGUGUUUAUUUCUGUCCAUCCCUAAUCUGAUACUCGUAUUUCAGAGUUCAUAUUCUCUCUAUAUAUGUGUCAUCUUUUUCUAUAUUUAGCGGCCUGACGAUAUCGAAAUUCUUACGCUUUCCUUGAGUUAUGUAUAGAUUCCUAUAUAGUGUACCAAAGUAAGAAAGCUCCAGAAACUGAUUUUGUUCUAUAGCCCAGAAUAUCCACUAAUGCUUUCUUCAGUGUGCUCGGUCGCACUGGAUGCGACUUGCACGCUACAGGGUGUUUACAUAUUUUCGGUCCCCUUGCCUGUAUAGUCCGAGAUAAUUGGUUGCAUUGCAUUUCAAGAAAAACUGGUAUAUGCAAACCCAAGUCUUGUGAAACACUUACCUGCAACUGCAAGUUUUAUGCACUAUAAGAUGAGCAUAGGCUGGAACUUUUCCAUUUUUCUAAACAAAAAAAUACAAUGUAUGAUGAAUUUAGCCUGAUAAUUGCAAAAAACAAUGUCCAAAUUAUUUUUGCAGAGCUCCUCACCUGGGUACACAUAACUCUACAUCUUUUUAGUAUACCUCUCUGACGCAGUAAUCAUACACAAAGUCAUGUCCCUUUUAUUUAUGAGGGAGAAACUCAUCUAACGUGCAGGUAAUGCCCAUUAGGCAUGAGCACACAAUUACCUUAAGAUCGGACAAGUUUUAGUAGUCUCACAUUGGAUACUAAUAUUACAUAGGUUCACAACUCUAAAAAAACACCAAAAUUAAAUCCAUCAACCCCUUACUGAAGUUUACCCUAGAGCCACAGAGGGCAACAGCAAUUGUUACAAAUCCACAAUCAGAGCUAAUCUAGAAAGGUUACAGCAAAUGGUAAUUACAAUGAUUAUCUUCUCAGAUAGAGGAACUGUGUUUACAAGUGUCUGAUAGUCCUAGAAUUUACCAGUAUGAGUUAAUUCUAGGGGGGAAAUAGUCCUAGAAUUAACUCAUACUGGUUGGAUUGCGUCCAUUUUCCCAAUAUCAAAUGUCGAGCAAAUUUUGCCCAAAUUACUACAAAGAUAUUGUACAAUAAUUGUUAAAAAAGACAUAUUUUACAAUAUAAAGUAACAUUGUUAUCACUGACAAAAUGGUCCUACGCCCACAUAUCAUCCCCCAUGUUAUCACUAUCUUAUAUUUUUAAUUUGUUGGCGAGCAAAAUUUCUUCUCCUAGUGUCAAUCCACCAUGACCACCACCACACAAGUUUGAAACCACAGUGCUGUGUAGCAGCAGGUUUCCAGGGUGGCAGAUGAACAGGGCUCAAGCACUAUAUAAAGCCCACACAGGACCCGCAUUCCUUCACCACCGAGCUCACACAUCCACCAGCAAUGGCGUCCAUCAUCACAAAGCUCUUGCGCCAUUUAGCACUGUUCCUCUUCCUUGUGCAGCUCACCGACCCCGCUCUCGCCUCAAAGAUCAAGAACCACGCUUCUCUCAAGCCUCAGCCAUCGAGCACCUACAUCGUCCAUGCCAACCACCUCGCCAAGCCGCCCCACUUCGCCACCCUCGAGCACUGGUACCAUUCCAUGGUGGCAGACAACUCACCUCACCCCUCCAACACCAGCCGCAUCCUGUACACCUAUGACACUGUGAUGCAGGGCUUCGCCGUCCAGCUCACUGGCGACGAGGCCCGGCGCAUGUCAGGCGCCCCCGGCGUCGACGGCGUGUACGAGGACGGGCUGUUCUACCCUCAGACCACGAGGUCGCCGGGGUUCGUCGGCCUCGACCCGAAGAACGGCGCCUGGAACGAGACGAACUUCGGCGACGGCGUCAUCAUCGGCUUCAUCGACACCGGCAUAUGGCCCGAGAGCGUAAGCUUCAACGACAGCGGGCUCGGCCCCGUCCGUGCGAGCUGGAAGGGCAAGUGCGUCGACACCGAGGACUUCAACGCCAGCCUGUGCAACAACAAACUGGUUGGGGCCAAGGCCUUCAGCGCUGGCGCGGACGCCAGGGCGAUUAGGAAGAGCGGCGGCGGCGUCUCUUCACCGAGGGACAAGGUAGGACAUGGCACCCACACUUCGUCGACGGCCGCCGGCGCGGAGGUCUCGGACGCCGGCCUCAACAUGUUCUCGCUAGGGACCGCGCGGGGCAUGGCGCCCAAGGCGAGGAUCGCCAUGUACAAGGCGUGUGACCCCGACGGCUGCUCAGGGGCGGACAUCGUCGCGGCGAUCGACGCCGCGGUGAAGGACGGCGUGGACAUCAUUUCCAUUUCCCUCGGAGGCCCGCCGCGCUCCUUUCACAGCGACGCCGUCGCGAUCGCCACCUUUGGUGCUGAGCGCCAAGGCAUCUUCGUCGUCCUCUCCGGCGGCAACGCGGGACCGGAAUCAUCUACGGUGAUCAACUUCGCGCCAUGGAUGGCCACCGUCGGCGCCGCCACCGUGGACCGGCUGUUCCCGGCGAAUCUCACGCUUGGGAACGGUGUCGUGCUCGAGGGCCAGUCCCUUUACAUCAUGAAGGCCAAGGGAACAGCCAUGAUCCCGCUAGUGUCCAGUGGAUCCCCUGAUGACUGGACGCCCGACACGGUCAUGGGGAAAAUCGUGGUGUGCAUGGACGGCGCAACCGACGCGUAUGGCAUUCUCUUGCAGAAUGCUGGUGGAGCAGGCAUAGUUGAUGUGGAUCCUCGCGAGUGGUCUCGAGAUGGCAGCACGGCCUAUCCAUUCACCCUUCCGGGUCUCACGCUCAGCUACACCUCCGGCGAGAAGCUCAGGGCAUACAUGGCCUCGGAGCCCAACCCGGUGGCGUCCUUCAGCUUUGGCUGUGAGACGGUCAUCAGCAAGAACAGGGCGCCGGUGGUGGCGGGCUUCUCGUCGCGGGGGCCGAACCCGAUCGUCCCCGAGCUCCUCAAGCCCGAUGUCGUCGCGCCGGGAGUGAACAUCCUCGCGGCCUGGUCGGGCGACGCGUCUGUGUCGGGAGACGACCGAGUUCGAGACGGGAGGACAGCCGACUACAACAUCAUCUCGGGGACGUCCAUGGCGUGCCCGCACGUCGCCGGCAUCGCGGCGCUGAUCAAGAAGGAGUACCCCAGCUGGACGCCGGCCAUGGUACGGUCGGCGCUGAUGACGACUGCCUGGACGCUCGACAACCGCGGCCGGCGCAUACGCGACGACGGGGCCACCGCUGGCCGCCACGACGAAGUCAGGGCCGCGACACCGCUGGUGGCCGGGGCCGGGUACGUCCACCCGGAUCUCGCGCUGGACCCGGGCCUCGUCUACGACGCCGGCGAGCGCGACUACGUCGACUUCCUGUGCGCCCUGAACUACACCCCGGAGCAGCUGCGCGUGUUCGUGCCGAACUUCGUCGGAUGCACGAGGACGCUCGCCGGCGGCCCCGCCGGCCUCAACUAUCCGUCCUUCGUCGUGGUCUUCGACAGCCGCACCGCCGUCCGCACGCUGACGCGGACGCUGACCAAGGUGUCCGACGAGGCCGAGACGUAUAAUGUCACCGUCAAGGCGCCGAAGCACGUGAAGGUGAUCGUCACGCCGAGGACCCUGGAGUUCAAGGAGCCGAAGGAGACGAAGAGCUACACGGUGGAAUUCAGAAAUGAAGCCCGUGGAAACCAGAAGACAGAGUGGGGUUUCGGAUACAUCAGCUGGGAGAACGAGAACCAUCGUGUCAGGAGCCCAGUGGCCUUCCAUUGGAACUGAUGACUUCCAGUAGAAACUUGCAGACUUGCAGUAGAAUAAGAAGUGAUGUGACUUGUGAGAGAGCUAUUCCAUUGGAAUCAUUGGAAUAAGAAGUGAAGCUAUGUUGAUGAGUUGAUCGGACAUGUAUCCUCUGUUGUGACUCUGUGAUUGUGAGAGCUACUGGUGUUAAUAAUAGUUAUAUAAUCUUUCUUGUGUUCUGUUAAUUUUGCUUGUGUGCCUGAACACGCGACACAGUUGCAAUUCAUCAGAGUUCCAUGGCCUCGGUCCUCCGGGUGAGCAACGGAGAGUUUUCAGAAUCCAUGUCCUCCUGGCCUCCUGGGUGGGGACCUUCCAUUGAGAAGGAGAAGAAGAGGACCCCCCCACGCCAUGGUGGCGAGAGCAGGCCCGAUGCUUGCUCUCCACGGCUACUGCUUGAUGCUUGUGUUCUUCUCGUUCUCCUCCAGUUGAAAGCGGCGACUUGGUGCUGCCGGCCGGAUGCAGCGGCGCGAGCGUAGCCGGCAGUGACGGAUCCGCAGCCGCGUAUGGGAGAUCUCUGUCCACGGAUGGAGGCGCGGGAGUGAUCUCGACGGGAUUCGCGGCGGCCAACGGUGGUCGGCCGGCCCGUCACGCCGCUAGGGACAUUUUGCAGAGAAAUACCUAAUUUGGAUCGCGAUUAAUAUUUUCAUAAAUCACCCUAUUUUGGAUCGUGAUGAUUAAUCGCGAUCCAUUAUUUCACAAAAAAACCCAUAGUAUUUUCAAAUAAGCCCUUCUCCAGGUGGGCAGCUCGUUCUGAUUGUCCCCCUCCUCCCGGCGAGCCGCCGCUGCCGACGGCCGCGCCGUCAUCCGUCCCUUGCAAGAGGAAGGUUCAACGCAUCCAUCAUUCCAUCCCAUGCUCCUCCGCAAACCGUAGCGUGGCCUUUCACUCGUCCGAUCCAAAGGCGAUUCACAGGCUCCUGCGGCAAGGGCCGGAAGCGAGCGAUGCGCCGCCUCCUGCGCACGCGGCGUGGCCGAUCCCCCGCCGUUGUUUGGUCAUUGGGAGUGUGGUGACAGAUGGAGGGGCCUCCAAUUGCGUCGUGCUGCUGUAGUUACUCCACCGGACGUAGGGAAGCAGGUAAGGGAAGUAAUCAGGCCACAAAGCUCUAUUUUUGCUUUAACAAUGCCACCGUUAUAAUCAAGAAGGUCCCCGCUUUUUCAUCCAUAAUUGGGAUAUAAAGUACAGUAACAUUUAAACUGUUCGGUAUUUCAGUGCUUGCUUGCCUGACUUAAGGUGGUUCUUUGACAGCCAGAAGUACUAUGCUGGUUGUGGUUGGCAUUUACUUGCAAUUUCUCCACACGUGGUGAAUUUGCUAGACAGAAGACAUGAACAGAACGGAGGUAUUGCUUCUGCAGUGGCUGGUGACGGGUGCACAAACAUGCAUGUUCUGGAACAAUAUUUGGGAUGGAAUUGUUCCUUGCAGCAAUAGUUUUCCUAUGUUACAUGAGGAACCAAAUGUAACUCAAUUACAGAACUACUUCCACCUAGACCUCUCUGCAAGCAUUCCAGAAAUUCAUUUUGCCAGUUUCAGUGCUAGCUCGGUUAUUUGGGUUUAUAGAUGGGGUAAUCCUGUUUUAACCUCAGUCAAAGGCUUACAAAACUGUCGUUGGGCACAGGCACACUCCAGUUCAUCAAAUGGAAAAUAAAUGUCUCUUCCAUCAAGUUGGCCUGAAAGUCAAGAUUUAUCCUUGAGUUUAAUUCCGUGGUGUUAUUCAUCAUAGAGCAAAAUCAAGAUACUUCCUUCGGAUUUCUGAUUGGCUAGAUUAUAUUCUCAAGUUCUUUUCAUGUUCUCUCUUUUUCAUUCAAUGCUUGUACAUAUACUCUUUUUUUUCCUUUUCUGUAAUAUAAUAUAAUUUGAGGGCCUUGUCCUUUCUGUUCUUAAAAAAGAAGAAGCUGCAAUCAGAUUGCGGCUCCAUAUAUUAUUUCCAUUAGAUGAUAAACUUGAGGAAAUGUUGCAAACAAUAAACAAUGCAGUUCAAAAAAUUGAUGAUACACUCCUCACAUCACAUAACACAAUUACUCCCUCCGUUCCAAAAUGUAAGUCGUUUUGGUUUUUUUAUUACAUAACCUAGAUGCAUAUAUUAAAAUUAUGCGUGUAGAAAAGCCAAAACGAUCUACAAUUUAAAACGGAGGAAGUAUUUUCUACAAUUUUCACAGCACGUGUGACAUGACUUCUGGUCAUCGUACUUGUCGACACAGCUUCUUAUGUACAAGGAUAGAACGUCAAUGAUUAUAUAAGGGCGUGCCAGAUUGAGCCCGCUUGAAGAGCUGUAGGUAGGUAUGUCUCAUUUACAAUCCAACUCAGUCUUAUUUAUUUUUAGUUUAAAAUAAUAUAAUAUUAUUGUCCAGCUUUUAUAGAGCCCGGUUCUUAAAUUUACGAGGGCCUUUUACCAAGCUGUAGGCGGAGGGUUCAAUGCUUCGAUCCGCCAGAUAGUAGGCGUCGAUUUUGCCCCGACCAGUCCUGUCAUCCAAUUCAAAGCCUGGGUAGAUGGUGUCGGCGCUGAUAGAAGGGAACACCUUAGGGCUCACUGACAAUGCGCGGAACAUGCCAAUGAACAUGGCAUUCCCGUCGAGGCCAUGGACAGGUAUCGUCUUCCUCGCUUCCAAAUCAACCCGGUACACUUCAUACUUCCUCGUGUAAAUUGACAUGCUACGGUGCACAAGCAUAAGCUCCCUGGCAUUCUCCACCAGCUGCAGAGCGUCCCCAUGGGGAAAGGUCGGCAUGGGCAGUUCGGCGGCCACCACCAGCCGCGGUGGCUGGUUUCCUGCAGUCUCCACUACCAUGACUUUACCUUCCACGAUGCAGUAGAAGCGGCCUGUGAAUGACAAGACCGACAUGAUCCUGAACCUGGUGUCGCGAUGGGCCCGAACGCGCAGUGGCCCUGGAGCUCGGGGAUGUCCAUCUGGACGCACUGCCCCGUGGACGCGUUCAGGAACCGCCGGCGGUGCGGGGUGGGCGCGUCGACGUCCUCCCGGAGCAUGAACCAUCGGCGCGGGUGGAAGCGGCUGUCGUGCAGGGCGCCGUGCCCGCGGGGGUCGGCGGCGCACCGCCGCCACGCGCGGCACACGGCGCGGGACCGCACGUAGUCCGCCACGUCGCUGGCGAGGACGCGCUCGGAGAUGAGCCACGCCGGCCCGCCCGCGAGGCCGUUCGCCCAGUCGUGGGCACGGACCAGAUCGUGGGGCGCGGUGCGCGCGCGCUUCGUGCCCCAGGUGGGGAGAUUCGUCUCGGCGGUGGAUGUGGAGCAGCAGGGGCGUGGCGGAUCGUCGAGGAGGGCACUCGGCCGCUUGGCCGCCCGCCGUGACGGGACAUGGGAUCGGGACGCCGCUCGCUUCGUCAUCCGGAGGUGCAGAUUGCGGCUGCGCCUCGUGCCCGGGGGCUGGAAUCGGUGGAGUUUGCCAGUUUGGUGCGUGUUCGAGUCCGACCCUACCGAGCCGGGACGGGAGCGCUACAUCUUUUGCGAUCCGUGCAAUACAGGGACUAGAACUCCCACAGUCCCACUCUGAUCUGGUGCAUGCCAACUCCGGUUCGAUGAAGACUGUAUGGUAAUGGUACCGACAACUAAUUGUUUUUAAUUUUUUAACUCGUGACUUCAUUAUCUUCAAAAGUUACAAGGCUUGGAAAUUUUUACGUAUAGUACAGUAGCAACUUCAAAUACGAGCCUAAAAUUUGUGGAAUAUAAAUCGCAUGCCUCAAUCAUGAGCAUUUCUUGUCUCUUUGUAAUUAUCUUACUACUCCCUCCGUACUCACAAAGGAAGUCGUUUUGGACAAGGUUUGGGUCAAACAUUGGGAAUAUAAAUUAUGAAUAACUUUUAAGUUGUUGAGUUUGGAAAUGUGAAAGUCAUAUAAAUAGAUUUGUCUUGAAAAAUACUUUCAUAAAACUAUACAUAUAUCACUUUUUGAUAAAUAUUUUUAUAAAAACAAAGAGUCAAAGUAAUACUUUGGAGACCGUGUCGCUGUCCAAAACGACUUUCUUUGUGAGUAUGGAGGGAGUACUUGUGAAGGUAGCACACCAUCGAUAUUAGUGUCUUUUUUUUUUCCGAAAGACCCAUAAUGAUUCCCAACGUUAAUUAAUAAGAAGGGAAGCAAUUACAGGCACCAGAGGCGCCAAGGCGCCAAGUUUUAGUAACCCAUCCUGAAGGAUAUUAGUGUCCAGAUCGAAACAGAAUGCGUGCCCUUUCUUGGAUGCAUCCAAGUGCCAGCAUACACAUGACCUGCCUCCCCUUCUAAUCCGAGAAAUGUUACUGUCAGAGAUAUGAUCAGUGGCUCAAUGUUGCUUCUCACGCUACUCCAUCAAACUAAGAAUAAUUUUGUCUCUUCGUAAGAGCGGGAGUUGCCUGAUUAAAAUGCCAUGCCAAAGCUAUACUUAGCUAGCAAGAUGGCAAUUUUAAGCUACAACAUUCUGUUGGCGAGAGUGGUGACGUGCGUGCGGGAGCUAGCCAUUUGCAUGGGGAAGGAAGGUUUAAGAGGAGAGGAUAUGUCCAAAAAUUUUAGAAAUUCGUAUGCAUCGUUCUUAUGAAAGAUAUUUGUCAUAUCACCCACUUUUGUUACCUGAAUUUCAUACUAUUUAGCCUAAAAUUCCAUACUAUUUACCAAAAUUGCAUAUUGUUAGGUCCAAAAUUUGUUAUCUCUAGAAAAAUCAUCUGAAUUGCAUGAUGUUUAUCCUUAAUUAUUGCUGCACAAAUUUAUAAUUUUGGUACAAAUGUAUAUUGUAAUUUUGACAUGUCCAUGAAACAUGUGUUCAUUCCCUAAAAAUGGUAUCAUAAAGAACCAUGCAAAAAUCGUAAAACGUUUCACCCGCAACUAAAGAUGGCACCAUGAAGCACAUCCAAUGGACAGGAAAUUAGGUGAAAUGACAAAAACUUUAUGAGUCAUGUUGCAAUGAAAGGGAAAAAAAAACAAAGUUAACAGAGAAGUACACAGCAUAAUACUUUUCUUUUCUUUUGGGAAGUACGAAACGGCAACACUAGUGCCGCACCCGUUCAUCAUGUCACUGACAGGUUGGGCAAAUGAGUGCUCAUGCGGGUAUAAAUACCAGUGCAUCCCUACGCCAUGUCUUCCCAAGCCGGAACCUCUCGUGCAUCAACAAUGGCGUCCAAGUCCCCCAGUCUCCUGCAUUGCAUACCCAUUUUACUUCUGCUCGCACAGCUCGCUCACUCGGUCAUCAUCCCACCUCCGAGCGGUCCGAGUGGCUGCCAACAAGAGCACGAUCCCCAGCCUUCCAGCGCCUACAUCGUGCACACAGACCACCUCGCCAAGCCGUCCCAGUUCACCACCCCAGAGCACUGGUACACCGCUAUGGUGGCCUCGCUCUCCCCGGCCACCACCUCCAAACGCAUCUUCUACGUGUACGACACCGUGAUGCGCGGCUUCGCCGCCGAGCUCACCGACGACGAGGCCCGGCUCCUGUCGGGCACUCCGGGCGUGUCCGGCGUGUACAAGGACACGGUGGUGCAUCUGCACACCACCAGGUCCCCGGGCUUCCUCGGCCUCAACAAGGACUUCGGGAUCUGGCCGGAUACGGACUUCGGCGACGGCGUCAUCAUUGGCUUCGUCGACACCGGCAUCUGGCCAGAGAACCCCAGCUUCGACGACACCGGGCUUGGCCCCGUCCGGCCGAGCUGGAAGGGCCGGUGCGACGACGGCGAGCGUUUCAACGCUAGCAUGUGCAACAACAAGCUAGUAGGCGCCAGGUUCUUCGCCGCUGGCACACGCCCGGAAGCAGUCGACGUGGACACCGACUUCCAGUCGCCAAGGGACGCCUACGGCCAUGGCACGCACGUGGCGUCAACGGCAGCCGGCGCGGAGGUUCCCGGCGCCGGCCUGUUCAUGUUCGCGCGUGGGACCGCGACGGGCGUGGCUCCCAGGGCGAGGGUCGCCAUGUACAAGGCGUGCAACCAGGACGGCGGAUGCGAUCUCACGGCCAUCGUCGCGGCGAUCGACGCCGCGGUGAACGACGGCGUCGACAUCCUGUCCUUGUCCAUCGGAGGUGGCGCCUCGGAGUUCUACAAAGACACCAUGUCCAUCGCCUUGUUCGGCGCCGUGCGGGCAGGCGUCUUCGUCGCCUGCUCGGCCGGCAACUUUGGCCCGCUAGAGUCCUCGCUGAGCAACGUGGCGCCGUGGAUCACGACGGUCGGCGCCGCCACCGUGGACCGGGUUUUCCCGGUGAGCGCCACGCUUGGAAACGGCCAGGUCCUCACCGGUCAAUCUCUCUACGCCCAGGCGGCCAAACAAACACCAAUGGUCCGGCUGUUGCCCAGCGACUGCACUGGCAACGACCUGGUGCCGGACAGGAUCAUGGGCAAGAUCGUCGUGUGCAGUAGCAAUUUCGGAGUUUCUCCACCAUACGGCGUUGCAGUGCAGAGGGCCGGUGGCAGCGGGCUAGUUUCCGUUGCCACCGUGGAGCAGCAUAUGGACGGGCUCAUGGUCCAGGCGUUCACCCUUCCGGCUGUCAGCCUCAGCGCCCGUGAAGCCGAAAAGCUCGCGGCGUACAUCCACUCGGAACCUUACCCGGUGGCGUCGUUUCGCUUCACCUGCAGCACGGUCACCGGCGAGAACCGCGCGCCGAUGGUAGCGACCUUCUCGUCGCGCGGACCCAACCAACUCGUCCGCGAGAUCCUCAAGCCGGACGUCAUCGCGCCCGGCACGAACAUCCUCGCCGCCUGGCCCGGCGAGUCGCCCCUGACACGCGCCGACGGCGACACGAGAAGAUCAAGCUUCAACAUCAUCUCGGGCACCUCCAUGGCGUGCCCGCACGUCGCCGGCGUCGCCGCGUUGCUGAAGAAGAAGCACCCCGACUGGACUCCGGCCAUGGUUCGGUCGGCGCUCAUGACGACGGCGACGAUGCUCGACAGCCACGGCAGGCCCAUCACGGACAACGCCCGCCCCGGCGGCAGCACGACGCCGAUGGCGGCCGGGGCCGGGCUUGUCCGGCCGCAGCUAGCGCUCUACCCGGGCCUGGUCUACGACGCCGUGGAGCAGGACUACGUCGACUUCUUCUGCACCAUGAACUACACCACCGCGCAGAUCCGGAUGUUUGUGCCAGACUUCGCCGGCUGCACGAGGACGCUCCCCGGCGGCGUCGGCGACCUCAACUACCCGUCGUUCGUUGUGGACUUCAGCAACGGCACCGACGUCCGUGUCCUGACACGCAACGUGACGAGGGUCUCGGAGGGUCCGGAGAUCUACACUGUCAGGGUCGUGGUGCCGGACGAGCUGGUGGCGGUGACCGUCACGCCGGCGACGCUUGAGUUCGGCGAGCUGAAUGAGACGAAGAGCUACAAGGUCGUGUUCCAGAGCAAGAACAGCUCGGCUGGUGCGCAUGGCGCGGGUAGUAAGAUGCAGUUCGGGCACAUCGUGUGGGAAAACGACGCGCAUCGAGUGAGGAGCCCCGUCGUGUUCACCUGGAACUGAACCUGACGGCGGCCUGUUCUGUUUCAGGCGCUGAAUAAAGUCAGGCCAGCGCAGACGUGUUCGUUACUUGUUGGUGGUGUACUUCACAUCUGGUGUCCAGUAAUAAAAGGUUGCAUAUCACUGUAUCUAAACUGCUCGAGUUCAACGUCAUGAGACGCAGAGUUCAACAUGAAUGAAAGUUGUAGUGCUAAACUGCUAAUAUGAUACCUUCUUCGUGUCAGUAAAAUUCUAGUGCUGGUAUGAACCCUUGUGCAGUUUGUGAGCUUUGUCGAUGUUGAUAAUUGCUAUAUAAUGUUAAGUUUUCUUGUGUUGUCUUAAACUUACUUGUGUGCCUGAACAUGACACAAUUGCAAUUGCAAGCUGGCCUGGUAAGCAUUUUGUCUACUUCAGAAUUCCAUAUCCUCCAGUUGAACGGUAAGGUGAACAGCGAGUUCUUGUUCUUCAGAAUCCAAGUCUUCCAGGGUGAGGGCCUGCCAUUGAGGAGGAGGAGGAGAACACCACCACGCCCUAGUGACAAGGGCUGGCCCGACGCUGGGUCUCCAUGGCUGCUGCUUGUCGUCUUCUCAUUCUCCUCCAGUUGAAGGCGGCGGCUUGGCGGUGCCGGCCGGAGGCAGCGGCGCUUGUGGCCGGCAAUGUCGGAUCCCGAGCCGCGUCUGAGAGCUCUCUGUCCACGAAUGGAGGUGCCGGAGGCAUCACGGAGGGAUUUGCGGCGGCACCCAGUGGUCGCGCAGCCUCGUCGGCCGCCGUCAUGCCGUCUGAGAUUUGUUUCAUACAACCCCCUAAUUUGGAUCGCAACUAAUAAUUGCGAUCCAAAUGAGGGGUUUUGGAACAUUACCGGAAGAUAUAUUUUCAGAAGGGGUGUCAUGUGAAAAUUACGGUUCGUAUUUUUUUUUUGGAAAACACCCUGCCUCCUCCGGAUGGGAGGCGGAUGGGCGCUCAUUCUGAUUCUCCCCCUCCCGUUGAGCCACCGCCGCCGACGGCGGCGUCGUCUUCCGCCCAGUGCAAGCGGAAGGUUUAACCCAUCCGUCCCCUGCACCUCCUCAAACCCUAGCACAAGCUUUCCACUCCUCUGGUCCAACGGAGAUUCGCUGGCUCCUGCCGCAACCGCAAGGGGCGGAAGCACGAUUCGCCGCCUCCCUCGGACGAGGCGUGGCCGAUCCGCGGCCGGUCAACGGGGCUAUGGGGGCAGAUAAACUGGUUCUCUGAUUGCGUCGCGCUGGUGCAGGGAGGAUGAUGAGCGAGCCUGCUCUGGUUACUUGGCUGAUGGCUGGACGUACUUGUGUCAUUGUGUGCCAGUAAACAUGAUACCAGUUGCAAUUCCUGAGAUGAAGAAGGUAGUAUCCUUCUUGUGGAGAGAUGUGGUAAAAUUCCUAAAUUUUCACAGAGGUAUCGCUACUGCAGACUGCAGUAGCUGCGUAACUGGUGAUGGGAGGGGAGCACAAGCAUGUUCUGCAACGACAUGUGGGGCUGGAAUUGUUCCUUGCAAUUUUUUCCCCUGAGCUGCAUACCUUUGCCAAGAAUGAUAGACUGCAGGAUGCAUCAAAUUAACUCAGUGCCUACAUACCUCUGACAUUUGGGCUAGUACAUGUUUUCUCCUCAGUCAAGGCUUACAAAAUUGUCACUGGGCACACACCAGUUCAUCAGGCAGGCGAGCCACUAGCUCUGGAAUUCAUCUAGCCAGUUAAAACACAUGGUGUUCUUACUGGCUUCUUUGAACGACUUGCCGAGCUGGUCUUUCAGGAAGAGAGAAUAUGUCACUAGUCUCUUGCUUUAUGGUAAGAGCAAUAGUCUAUCUGUUCCUGCCCUGCAAUUCUGCUAGGCCUUGUUGAGCUUCAGCUGCACUGCAAGUUCUGAACUUCUGAUACUGCAAUCAUCCAACAUUUCCUCAACUCUCUAGCUGUGCAUUCUUCAUUGGAAUCAUAAUCUUGAUGAGUUGGAGUCUCUGGAAAGUGAAAAAUGAGUGUCUUUUUCUCAAGUCGAUCCAACCCCUACUGCUUCAAAGUCAAGGUUCAUCCAUGAAUUUGCUGUGUUUAUUCAUAGAGCAAAAUCAAGACACUUCCCUCUUAUCAUGAACAUUUGCAUCUCUUUCUUAUUUUAUUUUUGAAGAUCACGCACUGUCCAUAUUAGUCCCUAGUGCGGAGAUCAAACAGAAUGUCCGCACUUUCUUGAUUGCAUUCAAGUGCCACGACCAUGUGCUUGAUCUGUCUCCCUUCCUAAUUGGAGAAAGUUUAUACUAUCAAAGAAAUGAUCAGUGGCUCACUCACGCUACCACAUCAAACUAAAAAUAAUUUGUCUCUUCAUAAGAGACGUGCAUCAAGUGAGGAGCCCCGUUGUGUUCAUGUGGAGCUAAAUCUGACAGCGGCCUGUUCUGGCGCUGAAUAAAGUGUAGCAACUCAGACGUGUGUUCACUUUGACAUCUGGUGUCAAGUAAAGGCUUCAUCAUAUCAUAGUAUUCACUUGGUAGAGUUGAUCAUGAAAAUGGAAACAAAUUCAGCAAUAGAUGCAGAGUUCAGUACCUCGUCAAAAUGUCUUUUGUUUUCAUUGAACCUGAAUCGAAGUUGAAAUGCUAGUAAUAAAUUACAAUGUUUACAUUCUCUGUGUGAUUAGGACUUGUAAAUGCCCCCAUCAUCACGUAUACAUUCCAUCUGUGUUGCGUGAGUCGACAUUUUCAGGCGAGACAAGGAGAGUGGAGGCAGUUUCUUUCUGAAAAGUGCUGCUGCAAAUGCAAUGCACAAACUGACAACUCGAUGCUUAUUUUGAGUAAUGGAGAUACAAUACCACAACCAUGCGGGCGCACAUAAACUAAAACCUGGCACGUAAACAAAUCCCCAAAUAAAAAAAUCAUUUGUUACUUGCUAGUCUAUCUAAGAGCACAAAUCUGAAAAUUCGUUUGCUGUUGAGGCAAAUAUUAACAUUGGCAAUAUUUAAAAAGUUUUGUCACCAACAAUUGUAGCCACUUUUGAUUUCUUGACCAGCAGAAAAUAUGGAUAUAAGUGAGAAACUCCUACUCCUCCAAAACUCUACCAGAUUCAAUACUAUAGCAUUGACUGAUUGGAUGUUAGUGGUUGAACUGAAAACAAACUCAUUGUGUUCGUCAUGCAGUACACACCUAUUCUCAAACAACAUUGUUACCUUUGUCUAGACUCCCUGUUUGCAGUCGCCAUCACAAUCACUGCAAUAAGUAAGGUAGGAUUUCCACAAACUAUCAUGAUUUUACAUACAUGUGCAACAAGUAAAAUCAACAAGAAAUUUUUUAAUGUCAUACCAUUUCUAGUCAACAGCCACAAGCCCACAACCCAAAUUAUUCCUUUUUUAUGAUCAUAAAUCCUCUAAGCUUAUUACUUCUCUUGUUUCCAUACAACUAUUGCCCAGGAAAAGGCAAUCACAACUUCAGAAUGCUUGCCGCCAAUAGUCGUUUAUCGAGAAGAGAUGGUGCGGCGGUGGUUCUUUGGAAUAUGAAGGAAGGUUGAGAACUUUGCAUGAAUCUGGUAAAGAAACGGAUGACUGCUAAAUGAGUACAUGAUCGCUAUCUUUAGAAUCAUUACCCAUCAACACAACAGGGGAAAAUCAGCUUAAUGUGUGACAGACUGACAGUGAAGAAAUAAAAGAUGAGAGAGAUUUAAGAAAGUGACAAAAGGAAAGACACGGUAGAAAUAAUUAGGAUGAUCCGAUCUUCGUAGCCAUUGAUGCGGUGCUUCUCCAUCCGAAUGCUCUGUUCUUCAGUCUUCACUAGGCAUCGACUGAUCGACCAAUGCACAGGUGGUGGGCAUAGAGACGAGCCGGGGGUCACUAGACGCACAUUGUCAGCGAUCGGAGCGACAUCAACUCGAUCAAGGAUGCAGGAGUUGGUCGGAGCUACAUGCCCCUGCUGCCCCUGGCGCCCUUCUUCCCCUACGUGACGAAUGCCUGCCGGAUGACGACGGAAAUCCAGCGCUCCCCUGGGCUCCGUUACCUCUGCCACGUAUUCUCCGGCGAAUGUAACUCCGUCCGCUAAUCUGCGCGGUGAUAGUGCCACCGAAAUUGCUCCCUAUGUGCUUUGGUGAGAGGAACCUGAUCAGAACAUAGUGAAAUUUGAGCACCGCUUCGUUUGCCGUCACGCUUGGACACCGCAGGGAGGAGGUCGUUGGAGAACAACCAACGGCGGGCCCAGUAUCGUGAAGUGGCGCGGCCAUCUACAACCUGGCGCUGCUGCCCAGGAUGCGGAGAACACGGCCAUGUCAGUCAACGUGGUGUCCAACAGCCGUGAAAUCUUUCUCGGCACACAUUUCCCCACUGUACGCUGUAUGGAUGUUUUGUUUCGCUCCAAUAUCCUACUUUGCUAAUUGAGGGGCACAUAUACACAAGAGGUGGGCGAAAAAGACCGAGAAUUGUGCAGUGUUAGAACAAGCCUAGGGGAGAGCUCGCUCAUGAAGGCGAACACAUACACUGGAAUCAGCAGAGGAGGAUUACCAAUUCGGCCUUAGCACCGCUUCUCUUAUUUGUCUGUUCUCUCCGUUUAAUGAAAGAGCAUUACAAGUCUACAGCUCCGUCUUUAAAAACACCAGGUCGGCAUCCAAUAACUCAAGUAGCCGGAAUCCGCACGCACGUUAUGCAUGCACCAUCUACUAACAAUUCUCACUCUCCAUGCUUGUGCAAUGAAACUGUCCAGUGAGACUCGCCUUAGCCUCACCAAUUUGCUGUGUAAUCCCUUUGGGAAGAGAGAACAAUUUGGUCCAGUUCCCAAACACUCAUGCAGAAAUCCUCCUCCAAAACAGAAAAUGCGCACCCGUUGGACCACGCAACAUGUGCGGGGCAACACGAAGCUCGCCUCCUACUGCUCGUCCCAUCUCUCUUUGCCGUUUGUCAUGGAGAGGGCAGAUCAUACUUCCCUGGCUGCGAUCCGAUCAGUUUAGCUGAGAAGAACAUAACAGAAAAGAGGUGCUAGUAUAAGUAGCGGCAGCCUCCUGUGUUCAUUUUCUCCAUGACUGAAUGUGUUGACAGCCAUGACCAUGAGCGACUGGUCCGGCCACAUUUCCCCCUCCCAUUUGGUUAACCAUUUAGAUAUUGGAGCAAAACAAAGCACAAGGCCCUAUUGUUGACAAUUUGGAGUGUCCUCCCCUCCACGUACCAAGAGCGCCGCCGUCAGGAUGUUACAUGAGGUUCUCCUGCUCAGAUUUCUUAACACAUAGCACCGUCAUAGUCCAAUUGCUUAGUGCUGGACAAGUUCAGUGCGAUCCUGAACUUGUCAUCAGUUAUCUGUCUGUGCCACAUAUUAGAUAGGGGUAUAAAUGGAUACACACAUCGCCCACCCAUUAGUCUGUUCUGGGCUGCGUUCCUGCCGAUCGCCCGCGGCAUGUCCCGCCACUACGGACCUACACUAUGUGUGUUGGUGAGCCUCUUGCGACUUUCUUCUUUCAGUUUUCACUUACAGUGCCAUAUAUUCUACUAAUUUGUUUGUUUGCUUUUAUUUUCUUCCACAGUGUAGCUGGAGCUCAUUCCCCACAUGCGGCAGCGACCCCGAUCCAUUGCUGUCUCUCUACUACUACCGUGUGCCGAGAUCUAGGAAGAAUGAGACAGUAGGUGACCGUGCGUGUGAUGAUAAUCCAAAGGAAUAAUUGCUACCCGUGGCGUGUUAUGGAAUAAUAUUUUGACCAAAAGAGUGCAGCAUUACAUAUUUACAUUUGCGUGCAGAAACUUAAAUGCAAUCACGAGUGGCCAGAUUGCAGCAUUGCCUGGCUGAGAAUUGCACGGCUAUUUUUUCAAGAGCUGAGGCUUCCAUCGGAGCUAAGGCUCUGAAAACAACAGAAGGCACCAGAAGAGCAACUGAACAAGAAAAUCAUAUACCGUAACAGAAAAGGAUGGAUCCAACAGAAAACGCAGUCUGUGGUGGUGACGCGCAGGGUUGAAAGCUAUGCAGGUGUGUUGUCAAGGGCUUUCAGGAUUUCUGAAACAGCAGUGCAUUUCCACGAGGCUGAAAAGUUGCCAUGCCCAAGUUUAUGUAUAAUAGUACAUACUGGCCUGCUGAAUAUAUGUGGCUUAGUAUUCAUUGAUCAUUCAUAUUUUCUUUUCUUAAUUUCUUUUUCUUGGCUAGGUCUAUCAUUAUUUACUACUCCCUUGGGUCAUAAAUAAUUGACGUUUGGAGAAGGUCUAAUCAUUUCGAAACGUUGACUAUUGAUAGCUUCUAAAAUAUUUAAUUUCAAAACGUGGAAAAUCUUAUAUUUGGAUUUACCUGAAUAAUACUUUAUUCGGUACCUUAUUAUGCCAAUGAUUAUUUACUACUCCCUUUAGUCAUUAAUAGACUUACGAGAAUUUAUUAGGAUCUAAUUAUGUUUUUUUUACCAGAGGGGUGAUUACUGCCAUAAGCGCCUGAAUAUACCGCGGACGACUUGAAAUCCAUGGCACCUAUCACGAAAAUCUGUUUCUUUUUUCUGAUUUCAUUCGUGAAGAUAAAAACAUUGUAAAUAUCGGUAUGGUAACGAGGUUCUGCAGUCUGCGUUUCAUACAUAAUGUCAUGCCAUUUCACGAUCAACUCAGACAAGAGAAACAUAAUGAUAUUGGAUUUUUUUAUUUUAAUACUAUUACGUAAGUUAUUUAUAAAAAUACUCCACAAAUUAGAAAUAUAGUUUCACAAAUUUAUAAAAGUAUAGCGUCAGCAUCUGUUGAGUGGAGGAAAAUAGUAUUUACUCCAUUGGGAGGACAAAAUUGAAAUUUUGCCCAAUUGGUGAAUGAAAAUUGAAUUUUCAUCCAUUGGAGGACGAAAAUUCCAUCCAAUAGACCAAAGCUCAAUUUUUGAUCGUCCAUUGGACAUACCGUAUUUUUUUUGUCCACUCGGCAGAAUGUUCUUCCGCCCAUAGGACAAAAAUUAAAACACUAGUUUCGUCCGUCCAUUGGAUAAAAAUUCAAACUUUGUCUGUCCAGCAACAAUGGUGCUAUCUUUUUUUGGUCCUGAACACGACCUUGCUCAAUUCUUGCUCCUGAACACGACCUUGUACCUCUUCUUCUCAUUCUGCUUGUCGAACCGCAGCGUCCGUGGUGUGACGGUCACCGCUACCUGGUCCGGCGCCACGACCCUCACGGUGUAGGUCUCGGGACCCUUCGACACCUUCGUCACAAUUCGCUUCAGCACGCGGACGUCGUUGCCGUUGCUGAGGUCCACGACGAACGACGGGUAGUUGAGCCCGGCUGCGCCGCCGCGAAGUGUCCUCGUGCAGCCGGUGAAGCCGGGCACGAACAUACUGAUCUGCGCGGCGGUGUAGUUCAAGGUGCAGAGGAAGUCGACGUAGUCCUGCUCCUCGGCGUCGUAGACCAGGCCCGGGUCGAGCGCCAGCUGCGGCCGGACGUGCCCGGCCCCGGCCGCCAUCGGCGUCGCGACGCCGCUGCUGGUGUGGCUGUUGUCCGCGAUGGCCUGGCCGUGGCUGUCGAGCGUCGCGGCGGUCGUCAUGAGCGCCGACUGGAUCAUGGCCGGCGUCCAGUCGUGGUGCUUGUGCUUCAGCAGUGCCGCGACGCCGGCGACGUGCGGGCACGCCAUGGAGGUGCCCGAGACGAUGUUAAAGCUUGCUCGCCUCGCGUCGCUCUUGCUUUGUGUCAGGGGCGACUCGCCGGGCCAGGCGGCGAGGAUGUUCGCGCCCGGCGCGAUGACGUCCGGCUUGAGGAUCUCGCGGACGAUGUGGUUGGGCCCGCGCGACGAGAAGGACGCCACCACCGGCGCGCGGUUCUCGCUGGUGACCGUACGGAAGGUGAUGAGGUGAAGCAGAACGACGCCACCGGAUCUGGCACCGAGUCGAUGUACACCGCGAGCCUGUCGGCUUCACGGGAGCUGACGGUGACUGCCGGAAGGGUGAACGCCUGGACCAUGAGCCCUUCCAUACACCGAUCCAGGGGGGCGACGGAAAUUAGCCCGCUGCCACCGGCCAUCUUCACUGCCACGCCGUAUGACGGAUAAACGCCGAAAUCGCGAGCACACAUGACGAUCUUGCCCGUGAUCCUGUCCGACACAAGGUCGUUGGAGCAGUUGCUGGGCAACAGCGGGAUCAUUUCUGUGCGGUUGGUCGCGUGGGCGUAGAGGGACUGCCCGGUGAGGACUUGGCCAUCCCCAAGGGUGAUGCUCACCGGGAACACCCGGUCCACGGUGGCAGCGCCGACCGUCGUGAUCCACGGCGCCACGUUGCUCAGCGUGUAUUCCCGCGGGCCGAAGUUGCCGGCCGAGCAGGUGACGAAGAUAUACACGCCCUCCGAUGGACAAGGACAGGAUGUCGACGCCGUCCUUCACCGCGUCGUCGAUCGCCUCGACGACGCCCGCGCUGCUGCAGGAGUGCAGGACGCACGCCUUGUACAUGGCGACCCUCGCCCUGGGUGCCACGCCCCGAGCGACCCCGCGCGCGAACCCGAAGAGGCCGGCGUCGGGGACCUCGGAGCCGGCGGCCGUGGACGCGACGUGCGUGCCGUGCCCGGCCUUGUCCCUCGGGGACAUGAAGUCGUCGUCUCUCGUCACGCUGGGGCCGGCGGUGAAGAACCUGGCGCCGACUAGCUUGUUGUUGCACAUGCUGGAGUUGAACCGCUCGCCGUCGACGCACCGGCCCUUCCAGCUCGGCCGGACGGGGCCGAGCCCGGUGUCGUCGAAGCUGGCGCUCUCCGGCCAGAUGCCGCUGUCGACGAAGCCGAUGAUAACGCCGUUGCCGAAGUCCGUGUCCGGCCAGAUGCCGAAGUCCUUGUCGAGGCCGAGGAAGCCCGCGGACCUGGUGGUGUGCAGGUGCACCAACCUGUCUUUGUGCACGCUGGCCACGCCCGUGGUGUUCGACAGGCGCCGGGCCUCGUCGUCGGUGAGCUCGGCCGCGAAGCCGUGCAUCGUGGUGUCGUACACGUAGAACACGCGGCUGGAGUUGGCGGCCGUGGAGAGGGAGGACACCAUGGAGGUGUACCAGUGCCCGAGUGUGGCGAAGUGGAACGGCUUGGUGAGGUGAUCGGUGUGGACGAUGUAGGCGGUUUUAGGCUGAUGAGGUUUGUGCUCGUGGUGAAAGCUGCUCGGACUGCUUGGUUUUGAGACGGAGGCCGAGGCUUGUGCAAGCAGAAGCAAAAGGCUUAAGCAACGGAAGGCACCGGAGGUUUUGGACGCCACUGUUGAUGCAAGGGAGGUUUGGCUUGGGGCGACGAAAUGCAUAGGGAUGCACGGUUAUUUAUACUCGCGCGAGCUCUCAUUCGCCCAAAAUGUCAGCCAAGGGCUGAACAGCCGGGACCGAAUACUACCACAGGAGUGCACAUGUUUAUGGCCGGUCCCAUGACUCCAGUCACACAAUAGAUGGUUUUUCUUUCCAUGGGUUUUCCAUUUUGUUUGGCUGGAGGAUGAAGCCAUCAAUUUGGUCCAUGCACUGCAGUGGCUGUACUAGAGUACUACUAUGACAUACUUCGUCACAGUCUGAUCUGCAAUAGUUUCUUAUUAGACAUGAUUAGGCAAAUGUUUAGUUCCAGCCAAAGUUUAACCAUGCAAAAUCUUUUUUUUCAAACAAGAUCCUACACGUCAUAUUCCACGAAGAUUAAGUUGUGUUGCUAUUUUUUCUGUUUUGAAAUAUAAUGUUGCUAUUUUUGUUCGUCGCAACUUAAGCAAGAAUAAUUAAAUUAUUAAUAUAAUUCUCAAGUUAGGAGUAGAACCAACCAAAUGAGAAUUUGCUAUAUCUCGGCUGGCAAGCGAUGUGGCUAUACACAGCAACCACCAGCGUUCGAUUUCCCGGAGCAGAGCUGGUGCACUACCUUUCUUCUUCUUAACGAUGCACCAUUUGUUUUAUUGAUAAAAAAGAUAGCACCGUGCAAUAAAAAUAGAAGCAGUCGACCAAGAGAAAAAAUAAGAUCAAAAAAACUAUUAAUUGCUAGGAACGAGGUGCCUCAGUCUCUUUGAACCCACUAGGCACCGGCUCCAUGCCUCCUUAUUUUUUGCGAGCAAUACCAAGGUGGGUGAUUAUUUGUGCAAAAAAAAAAGGCGUUGCGCUUCUUCCAAAGUCCCAAGACAAGUUGUGUUUGAUUGUCUUCCUCAGGACUAGAUCCGAUCCAUUGGCGACACCGGUCGCCUUCCCACUACUGGGAGGUUGUUUAGCAAUGUUGCCAUCCAGAAAAAUUCAAUAGCACCUUAAUAAAUCAGUAGCAUUGGCACCGUAGUUGUACGAGUACUGCAUGUUGUCCACCUUCGCUCUCUAGGUUUGAUUUUUCUGAAGUUUCCUAAUUCAUAAAACUCAAUAUCAAAGGCAAGAAGAUAUCUUGAAAUUUGGACAAAUCAAGAACUGAUGAGUGACUUGUAAAGUUCGUCUUGGUUGUAAAGGUAAAAGAAAUUCUCCACCGGCACAUUUAUAAUGUUUUCCCCACGGAAAUAAUGUUGAUCUCUAAUCCGAACUUCGAGCAUGAGUAAAUCAUUGGCUGAAACCUCCAUGUACCAUUGGUAUAAUUUGUACAUCUUCAUUGGAAGAUGGUCCACCAACUGCGGCCACACUUUCCUUUUUCCUAAAGAAAUACUAGUAUAAGCAAAUAUAUUCCUGAACUUAUCUUUCUGGUGUAGAUUAGAUGCAUGUAAUUUAAAUAAGUACUACCCAUCACAACUUGUAAGACUUAGCCUAAUCUUAGCAUGGAAACCUCAAGCUGUUCUCACUUCGAAUGGAGUUGAUGUAGGCGAUGGUGGAUCUAUGCUAGGUAGGGUACCUCAGUUUAUAAGGGGAGAGUAGGUCAGUGAGCAGGUGGCACUUGGAUAGUUGGAUGAAUCCAAGAAAAUGUGCACGUAUUGUUUUGCUCUCUCCACCGAUAAGGUAUUGUCUGCACAUGCAGCAAUUUUUUUUUGAGUUACACUUGCUUUUUUUUUAGAUCUUGAGUUACACUUGCUUUUUUUAGAGGAGUUACACUUGGUAGUUGCUAGCAUAGUAGCAUAGCACGUGAUCCGAUCAGCGUACUUCAUUGGGCCCCAUUACUACAGCGAGGCCCAAAAUAGCUGCACAUGGACCGGACCUCACCCAACAGCCUUCUGCGGCUGCUGGUUGAGCCUUGGCCCUUGGACUCCCGUAGUCGAUGCGGCUUUACUAUCCUUGGGCCCAUGUCCGAGUCAACGCUAACAACAAUAAUGCCUGACAACGAGAUCGCCUGACGACUCCCGAGAGGCUCAGAUCCUAGCGAUCCUCGGUCUGCUUACUGCUGACCGCGACGCAACCCCNNNNNNNNNNNNNNNNNNNNNNNNNNNNNNNNNNNNNNNNNNNNNNNNNNNNNNNNNNNNNNNNNNNNNNNNNNNNNNNNNNNNNNNNNNNNNNNNNNNNCCCCCCCCCCCCCCCCCCCCCCAGUCUUCAUCACAGCUUCUCAGUCGAAGGUUCCACCGCUUUGCGCAGUGAAUCAACUAGUUCAGUUUCAUACAGAGUAUUCAUCCAAAGAUUUCAGCGCUACUGUUUCACGCAUAAAAUUUGUUAAUUUUUACAACAGUCUACACAGGUCGAAGGAAAAAGAAGAUAAACACAGAGAACGAGUUGUUUCAGCACAGAACAGAUUGGAGCCAACAAGUUUUCAGCCCGGUGAAGCCAAAGCCAUCAUAGCCAGUAGUAAGUCAGGUGCCAACAAAUUUCAUGCAAUCGGCAAAGGCCAAAGGGUAGUCAGACAUAGAAAGUUCUCCCUGGAGAAAGCUGCAGCCAGAAAGCAAUCGCGAGAGGCCAGUCAGUAUCGGUGCCUGUCUGCCUGACCUCGAGACCUACCUACCAUGGAAUCAAAGGCCCUGUGCAUGUUCUUCAGAGACGCAGAGAGAAAGGACGAAUCGAACAGAACAGAAAUACAUUGUGUGUAGUGGGGUGCAAGCUCCAAGGACGCCUGCACUGCACGCAGAUGUUGCCGAGACGUUUCAGCCUUUCAGGUUCUCUGAAACAGCUAGCGUUAGGCUCUGGGAGGUGGUUUUCAGAGAUGCAAAGAGCAGGAGGUGAUGCUGGCAAGGCGCUUGGCGGUUGGCGCCCGUCAGUCCAAGGAACAGCCAUCUAAUUCUGGAGACAUGCCUGGGACAUGGCUAACCUUGCACGAAUGGCUGAUUGCUCCACUAAAAGCUCAUCUGCAAGACAACACAGAACAGGAUGGAAUGCAAAAGUGAAGAAGCUGUUGCGUUACCUCGUAAACCACGCGCCAAAGCGGCUCAAGAGCAAGACCAGCGCCAGCGUGCAAAGCAACAACGGUGACGGCUCGCCGAGGUGUCUGUGUGUCCAUUAUUCAGGGCUAAUGGGUCCUAAGUUCAGGGGAAAUGACACCGGCUUCAGACGGAUCGACACAGCAGAUGCACAUCUCGAUCGACCCGUCCGACGUCGGUGUCAUCUCUCCUGAGCGUAGGACGCACACCCACAACCGCAGGCAGCUCUCGUCCCUCUCGCCUCUACUGCCUCUGCAAGUUUUCGCUUGCUGUCUGCAGACACACACAACCAUGUACUCCUACUUCUCUGUGUCCUUCUAUCUGAAGAAAGAAUACACACACAUGCUGCCUUUUUAUAGAGGCGGCAAGCAGGGAGUGGCUAGAAGCUAGGACUGUGCGCGGUAGGCAUUUCUAGUGGCCGCUGCAGGUCUGCAGCCACCGGUUGAUGCGUUCAUGCCGGUAGCGAGUGACGUCCGGCAGGUGACGACUGGCGAAGAAUGCCAUGCGGUGAUCCAGCCAAGCUUUGACCGGUGGAAGCUCGUGCUUCCACACCGGUGAUAGGCACGGGUCAACGCCUCUGUCACCAGCGCGCGUCGUUGUAAGUGAGAACGCGAUCAGGCGCACACGACUGUGACGCAGCAGUACAACUACCCGAGCAAAACCAGGUUGUGAGCACAGUGAUGGCGUGAUGCUCUUCGACGCCAAUGUUAUGAAUCAAUUUUCGUGUUUGUGCAACCAGCACGGCAGGAGCUGUCGCACGGACCAUUUUAGAUUCCUCUGUUCUUGUCUCUUUGAUGAUUCUGUUGUUGUGAAUUGCGACUGCUCUGUAUCUAGUUCACUGCACAGAGCAGGGCUCUCAGGUCUCCAGGCUGUGACAAAGCAGAGGUCCAUGGUCAGCACUGCUGCGUUCUCUUUUUGAGAUGAAACCGAGCCUUUGGCUCAUCUUACAAUCAUUGGUUUCUCCAAGAAACCUGCCAUGAUUGAAUUAAACCUUGAAGAUAUAGUACGAGUUAAAGGCAAAACAAUAGGUUUAGGGGGUUAUUGGUUCCCACCCAUAAAUUUUAACACCUGUCAUAAAAGUAUUAAACAUAGACUAUUUACAAAACUCAUUGCACAGAUGGAGGCUAAACGGCGAGACGAAUCUAUUAAGCCUAAUUAGUACAUGAUUUGACAAUGUGCUGCUACAGUAACCAUUGGCUAAUAAUGGAUUAAUUAGGCUUAAUAGAUUUGUCUUACCGUUUCGCCUCGUCUGUGCAAUUAGUUUUAUAAUUAACUCAUAUUUAGUCCUCCUAAUUGGCCUCCAAAAAUUCGUUAUGACACGAACUAAACUUUAGCUCAAGGAACCAAACACCCCUUAGAGUUUUUUAAGCCACCAUAGGUUUGAUCGACGCCUUCUUUCGAACGGCCAAAUUGGUCAGAUUCCCUGUGAUACGCAGCUCUUGUGUUUUACGCCUCUGCCUUCUGACUGAAUCAUUCUGCCUUAAAAUCAACGAACAGCGAAGAAUCAUGUAGUCCCUCGUGAUCCAUGACUGAACUUUCGUUUCAAGCUUUUCUGUUGCUUUACUACUCUAUCUUGUUUAUUCUAGCAUUUUCAUGUUUGUUCUGUCAGAAAAAAGUCUGCUGGAAGGGGCUCAAUAAUGCUACAUGCAUGUUAUGUUCAGUGAACCUGACCAUUAGAAAAGAAGUAGUCUAGUACCGUACUGAAAAGUGUUGUAGAAAAUCACAUGUAUUGCUUUCAGAGAUACUAUGAUCUGCUGCAGAUCAAAUGCACCUGUAAUAUAGUCGCUAGAUUGGUCUGAAGUCUGAACGGCAUAAAGGUAUGAUAUGGCUGUUGCAGUGGCAGGAUUUCAUAUACAUGCAUCCGACCUUUUUUUUCGAAUUAAAAGCCUUUUCCUUGUUAGGUCUGCGUUGACAAUGCAUUUUAUUUUAACAAUCAAACUGUCUGGUGGUUCAAUCCAUAGGCUAAAAUUUUAGGAGAUCUAAUCUCACAAGAUGCAUACCAAUUCCUUCUGAAAGAGGCAGAGGGAUAGCUAGAUGCAUCCAUAUCGUUUACUUCAAAGGAAAAAAAAAGGAAAGAUUAGCACAUAUCAUUGGUGGUAACGAAUAUCACAAUGCAACGGUUGAACUGGAAUAUGUGAUGUCAUGAAGCAAAUGUUAGCGUGUAUCGUUGAAUUGUCUCCUAGGUUAGGUCUACUCCAUUAUGCAACAUCCACAAUGAUAGACCCUUGGCUGAAUUCUUUAGUGCAUUGAAUCAGUUCUUUCAGAUAGCAUUUUUCUUAACCAGCUACAAGUUUAGAAAUGCUCAUGCAUGUAUGUUAACAUUCCAUAAAAAAAAAGUCGCAUGCUCAUUGCUGACCAGAACUGAAAGUUCAUAAAUUACAAGAUAAGGAUUAAGGAUAAAUGUUCAGGAACCAUGAGAUGAAAAUUUGUAUCAGGAAGAUCACGCACUUCGGGGAGUUUACCUUUCUUCUUCUUCUUAGAAACUUUUGGUCCAUGUUGCCAUCAUAGCACUUGUGAAUACAAGCGUGAUAUCCAUCCGUCUAUCCUUUUGCGCAACGAGAAAACGUGCAACAGACUUUGUUUUCAGACGGAAUAGAAGCCGAUUGAUGAUCAGGCUGCCCCUUUCUGUGGUCCACUCAAAUAAUGCAUAUUUUUCUCCGAAAACAUUGCAGAUAACUCAUAGGCUCCAUACAAUUUGCAAACAUCAUUUUUGGAGCUGUUCUACGUCAAGAAUUCCUCGAGUUUUCCAUUCUUUUGAUUAGGAUGGGUCCCUAUUGAAGAAUAUUUUUCUUGACUAGAGCCAUGGCUUUGAAUUGUCGUCUUCUUUGGAGACAGCUGGGAACCUUGCUGUUGCCUAGGUAUAUCUGUCACCACUAGAAAAAUCCAUACACGUAGAUUCAUCCACUAUUAUCAACUACUUUAGACUGGUCAUUGCAAGAAGAAUUUAUGCCUUUCUGGAUGCUAAAUAGAUUGUCUGAAAUUGACUAGUAACCUAAACAAAGAAUCAAAGGGACAGGGGACACAGACACUUGAGAUCUUAUCAUGAUUUGAACAAAAUUCUUCCAGAGAGGUGAGAUCAUAUAAUCAGUGAAGAAUCUUCUACAUCUUAAGAAAUCCUGGUGUGGAUUUGCCAAAUCUGUGUUAAUAGUGAAUUAAUUGGUGCACACAUAUCAUGAUGCAUACUUUCAUGCAGCACAAACAGUACUGAAAAAAGAUUGGUUUGGUCGGACAUUCGUUGUUUUAUGUUGUUUUUUUUACCUUUUUAAAAAAAGUGUGUUGCUUUCCUUGCAGAGUUGCAAUGGUUCGUUACUUAAGCGUUUCUGUCAUUCGUGUAUUCUGAAUCUUUUAGCUGAACUCUGCUUCGGCACUAUCACUCUGUUCGGAUUCCACCGUACUGAGUUUCCAUUACCAUACCAUAUGACAGAAUUUGUACAGCAGUUGAACAGUGAAACAAGUUUCAUUCAAGAUCAUAGCUCUGAUGUAUAAGCAAAGCAAUGUGAACCACAUAAGAAAGACAAAACUUUGACCGAGACUUGUGUGCUGGUCAUCAGACUCACGCUGCUGACAGUAGCAGGAAGGCAUGGCAAGUGUGUGCAUCACAUGUUAAAAUAAGUAUUUUAUUUCCUAGAAAUCCAAGGAAACAUUUGCAAGGUUGGUAAAAGUUUCAGGAUUCCAAACUUACAGAGAUGAUCGUAGAUACCAUGUCUGUUCCAACCAAACCGGACAAGUGGCACCAGUCGAAAAUCCUCCACUGCGAGCUUUUUUGGAUCAAUCAAACUGAAAGGACCAAUCCAUACGUCCUUCGCUCCUCUUCCCUCACAUAUUUUUUUAAGGAAAGAGGAGAGCUCCCUGCUGAUUAUAUUAUGUAUAAAAUAGGAAUGGUAUACUUGCAGGUUAAAAUUAAGACACAAAGAACGAAAGAAAGGAGAUAAAAAAUAUUACAAUGUUUGCUGUGGUCAUGCAGACAUUUAAAAUUUCCAGUUCUCUUUUACUCCAAGAAUAACCUGAGUAAAAACUAGUUUGAAAUGAAUCAAACAUACUUGCACUAAAGGAGAGAUCUCUUUGAAGAUCCGAUCAUUUCUAGCCAUCCAAAUACUCCAACUCAUAAUAAUGAUAAUUUCCAUAAAUAACUGGACUUGUAGUUGCGUUCGGAAGCUCUCUAGAAUUACAUAUAGCUUAGAAAGGUUUGGGAAGAGCCCAAGAUGAAUCCAACAUUUUUGUGCAAAAGAGCAGCUAAGCAAAAGAUGAAAUAAUAUUUCCUCAUCUCCAUAUUGACACAGAACACACUCAUACGAAGGAAGGGACAUGUUUUGCUUUUUUAGGAUGUUUUUUGUAUUGAGCCUGUCCUUAAACACCAACUAGAAGAAGACUUUACAUUUAUUCUGACAACAAGAUUUUCAUAGCCUGUCUAUGUCCAUUGACCUAACGGUAGACCUUAGCCUCACAUAUUUAAUAAACUCUUUACACCUUGUGCUUCGCUGGCGCAAAUUGGAAGCUUCUGCUGGGAUUGCUGCUGCCUGUCCACUUCGAUCUGAGGUGACCGUGGACUAACCGCUGACGGACCAGAAUUGCCGCAUGCCUUGAUCGAGUUCGAAUGAUUUGUGGACCCAGACAAAUCUGACUAUUUGAAUGACGUUUGAUUGUCCUGAGUUAGCUUUCAGCUUUGAACUCAAAGAAUAGAAGUCCUAUGGACACCAGUUUUUUUUUUUACCACGGAUUGAUUUACAGGUUGCAGUGUCCCCCGUAUUUCAUGACAGAUGGAGUAGGGCAACAAAUAUUUUUUUCCUUAGCUGCGCAUAAGGUAGCUUUCUUUUAAUUGGCAAUAUUUAGGGGCUGCUUGGUUGCCAACCGUAGCGAGCCACACCAGGCACCAGAGGCCAGCCAAUUAGGCCAUAAGGUCACUCGGAUAAUGGCCUGGGGUUAUUUCUGGCCAAAAUCGCAGUACAUGUAUAUCCACCACUCACCCCAUUAGGGGAAGCCCUGAAGGGCCCCAAAGAAAUCAAACCGAAAGAAGAUAGGGCAAUUGAACAUCAUCCAUAAGAGAGAUGUUAAAUGUUCCGGUCAACGGUCAACCCAGGCCUUGCGGGCUCGAGUCAUACGAGGCGUCACCGUGGCCUCCGAGGCAAAAAAAAAAAGAAGUAUGGGCCUCAUUUCGUCUCCUCUGCUCGGCCCAAUCGUUCCGGCCCGCUCCGUCCGUCCUCAGCCGCGGAAUCCACAGGCCGAGGUUCACCGCAAGGCAGACGCGGCGGGCAGCGGCACACGCACCACCGAUGGCCGCGCGUCCGCGAUGAGAGAGAGACACUGCGGCAGUGGCACGAGGGGGAGAUGAUUAAAAAUGCAGUGGCCUCGCUGAUGGUGCGCCUCCACCACCUGCCCCUGCCCCGCGCCGCGCCCGCCUCCACCUACCGCCACCACCACCACCACGCGCUCCAUCUCCCGCCGCCCGCAUCGGUCCCGCUGCGCCCCGCCGCCGGCGCCGCCAUGUCAACGACGGCGGAGCAGGCAGUCGCCGACCAGAAGCGCGCGCUUCGCACAGAGGUGCGCAGGGCGCUGAAGGCCCUCUCCCCUGACCAGCGCGCCAGCGAAGGUGACCUGCGCCGAGCUUGCUUCGUUCGAUUCGGGUCUUGUUACGGGAUUGCUGGGCCGUUGGCGAGACCACCUGUUCGUCAAUUUGCUUACUAGGAACUGAGCUCUGCCUGUGCUGCUUUUGGCUAGCUUUUGCGCAGACACACAUAGGCACACUGGAUGUUAGUAUUUGGGACGAGAAAUAAAAGAGUUGCUAAAAUUUUGUGCAACUUCACGGUAGAUUCUGCAUCAUAUUUCAAAUUCACGAGACUGUUAGCAUUGGGGGCGUGUCCCAACCUUACGAGAAGUGUUAUUUCCUGAUUAAGGUCAGCAGAUACAUGGUAUAUUUGCAGUUAAGAUCAGGAAAAUGGAAGCCUCAGGGAAUUCACUAGGAGAAACAAGGAUGAUUGUGCUCUAACUUGCUUUUACAUUAGUGCAACGAAGGGGAGUUUCCUUGUUUUUAUUUGGUAAUUAGAGACCUUAACUAGAAUGGGGAUGCGGUACUACACUAUUGCUCAUCCAUUGUUGGAAGUAGAUUGCAUUCUGCUGUUCCGUUUGAGUAUUUGGACGUGAAAAGUUUCUUUGAUUUUCCAGAUCUGGCUAUUCAAACUACAAUUUUGGACUCCUCUUGGUUCAAAGCAAGCAAACGGUUGUGUGCUUAUAUAAGCUGUCAGCAGUUGCGAGAAGUUGAUACAUCAAAAAUACUAGCAGAGUGUCUACCAUCGAGUCCUGGUGAGUCCAUCGAGUUAUGCUCCUUACUGAUUCUGUCGCUAACAAUUUGGUUCUUAUUAAGGGCAAGAGGAACUGGCAAAAGAUCUUUAUGUUCCUCGAGUGGAGGAUAAGAACCGCAAUAUGCGGAUGCUCAAAAUCACCACCAUGGAUGACUUAGUUAAAAAUUCAAUGAACAUUCUGGAACCAUCACCCGUGGAUGCUAGUGGUAACGAUCGUGAAGAUGGUAAAAUUUAUUUCCGUGUCACUUGGAAGCUUUCCCCCAAUCUAAUUUGUAUAAGUUACUGCAUCAAUGGGGUGGCUAACUUGAUCCUCGUUUGAUCCUUGCAGUAUUGUCAUCCUCUUCCCCGAUUGAUCUUUUUUUAUUGCCUGGUAGGUUCUCUAUCAGUUGCUUUAUACAUGCUCUGCCAGACCGCCACAUAGGUUCGAUUGGGUAAUACUUGUUAUUCAUGCAGGACAAGCAUUUGAUAGAACUGGUCGAAGACUGGGCCGUGGUGGAGGGUAUGAUUACAUAUUAUUCUAUUUGCCUGUAUUGAAGUUGCUAGUUUACAGGGAUAACUAAGCAAAUGCUCAUAUCCUAACAUGAGAAAUAAAAAAAAAAACUCGACCUGUGGGGGGUAAGGUAGCCCCCGGGCUUUUUCGAAGAGAUAAGACCUUCUCACGCAGGCUGAGAAAACUGCAUGAUUCCAUCUUAUAAUGACAUCUUCGUGUUUCUUAGUAGAAGUUUCAAAAAGCAAGGGCAUGUUGCUGCUGCAAUAAGCCGUCACCUUCCUGUUUCUUUCUAGAUUCUGUAGAUUGUUGAGGGUCUGUGAUAUAUGUUUAUUUUCCUCAAUGCAGAAAUACCAUCAUGCAAGUCAAUUUUGUAUUUUGUUUAUAUUGCCUUUACUGUAGCACUAUCGCCCUAAUAGACCAUGGCUCUGGAUUUUUUUAAUGCAUCUCUACUGUAUAAAAUGCUUAAGGAAUACAUGAACCUCAAAAAUAUACAGUGUUCCAAUCUAAUGGGUAGUUCAGAUUAUACUAAACUACAUGCUUAUGCUUUUAAAUGAGAAUUUUUCCCCCCACUAUCUUAUUGUUUCUGGGUGUGUGUUUUUUUCAAAUUUGAAAGGUACUAUGAUACAUUCUUGUUGAAAUACCAAGAACUUGCAAAAGAGAAAGGGUGGAAUCAACCUCUCUUAGGUAUGGCUCACAUAUUUUUAUAUUCAGAUUUUGUUAAUGUUUUUCUGAGACCUCUGUUUUUGUAGGUAAGGGUUUUUUUUUCUUCAGAUACUAUUUUGCAGAAAGUUAUUUUAUUUAGUUUGUGAUAUUCAGUUGAAAUAUGCUUUGCCCCCUCUAAUUUGUUGUUAGCAUCAUAUUGGUCAGUCUACAUCAAAACAAAAGCAAAAUGUACUGUUUUGAAGUGGAAGGCCAGAGUUGAUGGAGGUUGUUUUGGAGCAGAAUUAGAUCUUUAUAAUGUCUACUGGAAGCUAGUUUACAUUUCAUUGUUAACUUUAAUCAUCAAGAUUGUUUUAGUGUCAGAUCCCAAUAACAUCUAGUGCAAGCUAGUUUAGAUUCCAGUGUUUACUUUUUUUUUCUUAAUAAUUUUGCUGACCUAUUAUUUGACAACGUGUUGGUUACUUUCUCUUAAAAAUGCAUUGAAUUGCUAUGGUCCAAUUGGUAAUAUGGAGAGAUUGUUGGGUUUACAACCAAAAUACUUCUUGAAUUGUAAGAUUUUUGUAAUAUUGAACUUAUGUUCUCUUGUAGAACUGAGUACUCAUGUUUCUCAGUUUCUGAUCUGGAGUUGAUUUCUGAUAUGAAGUUGUAGUAGAUUGGUUUCGGAGAUGAAUUGCUAAACUUCUAUUCGCAUCAGCUCUCAACAGAUAACUAGUGGCCACAAAUUCCAUUUUAAUUUCUAAAUCAUGGAUGGUUGAUGCGAACUUGGUUGUCACUCAAGCAAACCUGCCAACAGUGUCCUGAUUUUUAGGGGCUUUGUCUACCUAUACCUGUCGCAACUGUUAAACCAAGUAUGCAAAAUGGAUCUCAAUUAGAGCAAUGGUUUGUCAGAACAAGUAUGCAUUGCUGUUCCAGAACAUAAUAGUAUAGCUUAUAUAGAAGGGAAUGGCAAUAAGCCUUCCUACAUAGUUCGAAUCACCCUUUUUUUUUGUCAAACCUAAUGGUGAAUUAACAAGUCAAAUUUUAGUUCAUUGUGCUUCUAAUUGAAUUAAAAGCUUUAAUUCCCAUAACAGAGCAUACAGUUUUUAUUUGUACCUUUUAGUUUUUCUGCCAUUCUGUAUUUCACGGUUCCAUGCUUUGAGGAAUGAUAAUACGUUACAUGCAUGCCAUUUUGAUUGCUAAAUUACCG